rnacentral:lncRNA from 1 species
UUAAAAUUUUAUAUCAUACUACAAAUUCUACAAAUUUUUGAGUUUAAAUUUUUACUGAUUAGAAUUAUUUUUAAGGUCAUAUCUUACCGUAAAUUAAUCCGAGCUCUGUCCAAUCCGACUUGUGAACAAUUAGCUUCAGUUACUGGCAGCAGAGGAGAAUAUUGACUUAAAAGAGAUUAACAUCUUGGCCUCCGGUGGGAAAUCAAGUUGGGCUAAGUCACGAUCGAAAUGACGGAAGAUCGGGUUGGACUGAGCCAUGUUCGAAAUGGUGUGAGGCUGAUUGAAUCGAAUCACAAUCGAGAUACCACAGGCACCAUCUCUAUAUACUUUAAGUGAAUUGAUUACGUACUUUUAACGGUUCUAAUUUUUAAAGUUGAUAAUUAGCACCAAUUAGGAUUAUACAGAAAAAAGCUAAAAUAAAUUUUUGCGUUCCAAGAAAUACUUUUGUGGAAACUCAAUAAGAGAGAUCCAUUGAAGCAAAUCGGAGAAAAUACAACUUUAAUGGCAAAUUAAAGCUCCACACACAAACAAUAUCAUUGGAACUAUAUAACUAUAUAAGCAACAAGCCCCAUUUACUACCCAAGCAACCUAUCACUCUUCAAGAAGCUAUACACCACCAUAUCCCUCACGCUCCCUUUUUGAAUCCAAUACCUCCUCAACACCCCCUCCCUCAUAAACCCUACCUUCUCCAACACCCUUUGUGACCCCCUAUUCUUCACAUCCACUAACCCCUCCACCCUCUCCAACCCCUCCACCGCGUCGAACACCUCCGCCACCGCGAUCCUCACCGCCGCCGUCGCGACGCCCUUCCCCCAGUAGUCCGACGCGAGGACGUAACCGAUCUCCGCCCUGCAUGCGUUCUCGCCUGCACCGGGCGUUACAGACACAGCACCCACGGGUCUCGCACCGACGCAGAUGGCGCGGAAGUAGGGGUGGGGGAGGACGGACGACUCCAUGUAGGCGAGGAGGUGGGACUUGUCGGUGUAGGCCUCCCACCGGCAGAAGCGGGUCACCUUGUCGUCGGAGGCCCACACCAUGUAGUCGUCGAGGUCGGAGAGCUCGAAGCGGCGGAGGGUGAUCGACAUCGUCGGCGCCGCGGAGUUCGCAGGCUCUUGUUGUUGUUGUUGUUGUUGUUGUUCCAUUUUGUGUAGAUGGGGGAUUAUGAGGAGGAGAAUUGUGUUGUUGAGAUGUGUUGUGGAGUAGUUUCAUUUUAUAGAUUGAAGAGGGGGAGGGGAGUUGACGCUGAUCAAAUUUGACCGGUCUCGUUGACUAAGUCAACGUUUGACUAAGGAGGCGAAAAGACUAAUCUACCCCUAUAGUUUUUACACGUAUAGGCUAAAUUGCAUAUUUGGUCCUCAAACUAUUAGCGGCAAUACUCACUUGUUCGCAAACUUUUAUUUGUUGUAGUUUUUGACUCGAAUUUUUUGAAUCAUUGUGAUUAAGUCCAAUAAUCCAGUUUAGUUGUCUACACUCUGCAUAUUAACUGUCGCCUUUGCGAUCCCCUUCCCGGGGUGCAGCAGCAAUGACACGUAGCUCAUCUCGUCUUUGCAUUUGCUAUCUAUCUGUUGAAUAUAAAAUAUUAAAAUAUUAUUCUAUAACAACUUAGAUUUAGGUAUAAUUACCUACAUAUCUCUUAAAAGUAUUGGACUAUUAUUUUGAUUCCAAAAAGUUUAAGUGGCGAAAUCUGUCUCUUUAAAGUUUCUUCAUUAUUUUCAGAUUAAUUUCAUGCUCAUUCUAACUGUAGAUCAAAAUAAGGAGUAAGUUUUAAAGACAUUAAAACUUUGUUGGAUAAUUUUUAUCACUUAAAUUUUGUAGGUAACAUAUAUGAAGGGACAAAUGAUUUUUUUUUUUUUUUAAGUAGAGUUUACAACUACUUUUGAUAGUAGAUUAAGAGAACUUAUAACUUUGUAGGGAAAGUUUUCGCCGCUUAAAUUUUUUUAAAAGUAAAUAUGAAAGGUGGGUACUUUUAACUUUUAAGAGGUACAUAAAUAAUUAUCCCUCAAAUUUAAGACUUUGUUUAAUGUUACUAUCUUCUUUUGCUUUUUAGAAUAUAAAUUUUAUAUUUUAAAUUUGUUAGACAAUCAAAAAAUCAAAACUUAGCAUAUAUCUGAAUAUAUUUGAUUUAUUCAUGUUUCAAAUUUGUCGCUGGCUAUUUUCUUAUUUGCUUCUAGAACAGUAUCAAUUUCUUCUCAAUAUGUCUGGGCCGUCGAGAAUUUAUUGGAAAGAUUUUAAAUUUUAGAGCUAUAUUUGAAAAAUAGAUAUUUUUGAGAAAAUAUAAAAAUUGCACCAAAAAAAAAUUGCUAUUUGUAUAUCUUCUAGUAGGGCGUUCAUUUUAAAUCCUAUCCAUCUCAGGGACUACUCUUUUCAAUUGUUACUAUUUUUGGAUUAUUAUUUAAUCCCAUUUUUAAAACAUUAGUAAGAUUUACAUCUCUAUUUGAAGCGUACAAGUGGAAAUUUUCAUAGGACCAAAAUUAAAUGUCGAGGGAGUAAUUUCAAAUAACCCUAUAGGUAAGGGGGUUCUCCGCAUAUUUGUUUUGUAUUUUUAAUUUAAUUUUUAGAACAGAACAAGCAGUAAAUUUCAAAUACCCCAUGUGGUAUCACACUUUCUCACUCUAGCAUCCUAUAGUUUAAAGUAUAUCAAGUUAAUCCCUGUGGUUUCGCACUUCUCACUUUAGUACCCUGUGGCUUAAGUGUAUCAAGUUAGUAUCCUAUGGUUUCAUUUUUCUCUUUUUAUUAUCUAUUUCACUAAUUUUUUCGUUAAAUCAGUAACAAAGUUAAAAUUAAAGGGUACUAAAGUGAAUAUUCGAUAAACCUAGAUAAGAUAUCUGAAGUUUCUUGUAUAUAAUUUAACAAAAUACUAACGAAGGAAAAAAAACAGUGACAAAGUUAAAACUAAAGGGUACUAAAGUAAAUAUUCGAUAAACCUAGGUAGAGUAUUUAAAAUUUUUUAUAUAUAAUUUAACGAAAUAUUAACAGAAGAGCCGAUGAAGAGAGAAAAAUGAAACUACAGGGUACUAAAUUAAUGCACUUAAACUAUAAGCUAGUACAGUAAGAACGUGCGAAACCACGGGGUGGUAUUUGAAGUUUCCCCCAAAAAAACACGAGGUGUCGACAAAAUUGGGGAAAGCGGAGCAUCAGGGGUUCCACCACUCCGCGAUGGCUCCUCCGAAGAAAUCGAAGAAGCCGAAGCGAAAAUCCAAGGAUUCUGCUGCAUCUGGAAGCAGAAGCACCGCACAGAUCGGCCCCGCGGAAGCCAAAAACUUGGAGACCGAGUGGUGGUACAGCUUCUUGCAGAAGCAGAGCGAUUCCGGUAAUUUUGAUCCAUUUUUUUCGGCUCAUUUUUCGCUCUAAUCCUUCAAAAUCUCCGUGGGUUUUGUAGAUUGUAGGUGAUUCUAGCCCCCAAGUUGGUAAAUUUACUUGCUUUGAUGCGUUUUUAGUAGAAAUUUCUACUAAUUAGAUGCUUGAUUACGCCUGUCAUUCAAUCUGACAUGCAAACCAUGUGCAGUUCCAAUCUCUGGUUCAAUAUGACAUGCGAAUACGAAGGGAAAAAGGGCACGCUUUUAACCAUUCUUUGAGCUAAGGCCCGAUCUGGAUGUAGGUUUUUUUUUUUUUUUUUUUGGGUAUGAUUGGAAGGGAGGAGUUUGAUUUUUGCUCCUUGAAAGGUCUUAAGCAUCCAUGAUUUGAUAGGAUAGCAUAUUUCAACCUGCAUGCGAAAUGUUUGAUCUUAUUCCCGAAAAAAUAACUUACGAUCCUGUUUAGAUGCGUAAAUAUCUUGUUUAGUGCAUCUCCAUGAUUUACUUGAAAAGCUUGUACAUUUCGUACGUGAGAAGUGUGUUUUCAAAGUCUAAAAUUGGAUACUUUAUUCGAUAUUCAAGUUGUUUUUUUCCGGAAAGGGUAAAUCACCUCGUAUAUGAAAUAUACUAUUCUACCAAGGCGUAAAAAUCAAACUCCUUUUUGUUUUACCAUCAUACUAUAAAAUUCUUAUACCGAAUAAGUUAAUUCUUGGAUAACUUAUUUCUGACAUCCGAACAGGACCUAAGUGAAUUUAAAAAGAUGUGUUGAAUAAGAUGUUCGUGCAUCCAAACAGAGCCUGAAAUAUACUGGGAAUGUUUAUUACAAGGAGAGAACAACACUCCAUCUCUUGGUGAAUGUAUUUGCUGGUUUACGUGUAUCAUCCAUCGACUCAACACUAGAAUUUGUUUUCAGAACCUGUGCAGACUCGACUUAAACAGUCAUCAUCGUAAAAAACAAUGAUAAAUGAUCUUCUUGUAACUCUCCUCUAAUUUUUUUUAUUAUGAAUUUGGAUAUUUAUUAGUGUCUUAUCAAAUUUUCCUUCUCAGCUUUUUUUUCGGUGAUUCGUUUCUUAGUUGUGUUUUGUCUUCUAUGGUCCACAUUUUUCUGCAAUUCUGGUCUCCAAAAUGAUGCAGACAUUUGCAGCUAAUGACAUUAGAAAUUUCUCCCGAGCAAAUUUUCCUGCAAUAGAGUUGCUUGAGUAGGUCGAUAUGGUGGCGAUUUCUUGUGUUUCCGUUACAUAUUAUCUUUUCAAAACCUUUUUGCCGACCUAUUUGUGAAAAGUGUCUAUACUGAGCUACAGAUAGUAAAGCAUGUAAUGAACGGUUAGUCAAAUAAAAGAUAGAUGAUUUUUGGAAUGUAUUAGAACUAAUAGCCUUCGACUUGCUGCAAAGAUAUGUUCCUUUGUCCAUGAAUGCCUUCAAUGUGAUCAGAUAUGUUAGUUUCUUGCAGAAUGGUGAGUUAUCACUAUUGCAGUAAGCGGGUCGGUACUCAUUUCUCUUUUCCUUCUCUUUUUCUGUGCGUGAUCAAAUUGCGACGCUUCUCUUUUCUUCUUUCAGAGUAUUGUUUGAUUGUAGUUUUCCUCUCUGAAUAUUGUUCCUUUAUGAAUAGUUUUGUAGUCUUUAUUUUUUAUCUUUAUUAUAUAGGUUAGUGUUUAGGUAGUUGAGCCGAAAAAUGGGAAAACUUGCGGCGCUUUAGUAAGUGGGAUGGGACAUAUUUAUAAAUCAUUGUGUUGCUCGUAGCUUCUAAAGCACUAUCGUUUAACAUAGAACUUACAUUAGAGAUUUUAUACCAGAGACAGAUUUUGGACCUCAGACCUUUCUAGCAUGAUGCUACAGCGCUUCCUUUGCGUAUUUUAGCUGGAUAUUUAUGUCAGUUCAACCUUUCUAGCUAUUACUUUACCAUGUUUCGCUAUUGAUAGCUCGGCAGAGUGCAAGAAAUAUUAGAGCGGAAUAUGUUAAGCAACUUUUGCCUGAUUAGCUUGCCUAUUUGUAUGAACAUCUUUAUUUUCUCUCUCAAUAAAUUUAUAAAACAUUGAUUUCAAACUCAACCUACAGGAGUAACUAUUCCUCCUGACGAGGGUGAAGCAUUCAAACAUUUCUUCAGGAUAUCAAAGAAAACCUUCGAGUACAUCUGCUCUCUUGUGAGGGAGGAUUUGGUGUCAAGGCCUCCUUCCGGCCUCAUAAACAUCGAAGGGAGGCUUCUUAGUGUCGAGAAGCAAGUCGCCAUUGCCUUGCGAAGGCUUGCAUCCGGCGACUCCCAAGUGUCUGUGGGCGCUGCUUUCAAUGUUGGCCAAUCCACGGUUUCCCAGGUGACAUGGAGGUUCAUCGAGUCGAUGGAAGCUCGCGGCAAGCACCAUUUAAACUGGCCCAACCAAGCCCGAAUAGAGGAAAUCAAAACCCAUUUCGAAAUGGCUUUCGGCUUGCCCAACUGUUGUGGGGCCAUUGGCGCAACCCAUAUUAUAAUGACUUUACCUGCAAUAGAAACAUCUGAUGAUUGGUGCGACAAGGAGAGAAACUAUAGUAUGUUUUUACAAGGGGUCGUCGACCAUGAGAUGAGGUUUCUUGAUAUUGUAACUGGUUGGCCAGGAAGCAUGAGCAUCUCCCGCCUUUUGAAGCACUCAUACUUCUUCAGGCUUUGCGAGAGCGGUAAGCGCUUGAACGGGCCCGCGAAGAAGCUUGUAGAGAACGAGGAGAUUAGGGAAUACAUAGUAGGGGAUGCGGCCUACCCUCUUUUUUCAUGGCUUAUGGUUCCUUAUGAAGGUAAAAGCCUAUGUGCCUCGAUGAACACAUUCAAUGCCGGGCAUACAGCAGCGAGAUCACUCGCGUCAAGAGCGUUGUCGCGGUUAAAGGGCACGUGGAGGAUACUGAACAAGGUCAUGUGGCGGCCGGAUAAGCACAAACUGCCCAGCACUAUCCUUGUUUGCUGCUUGCUUCACAACAUUGUUAUCGACUGUGGAGAUGAAUUGGAUGCUGACGUCGCCCUACCGGAACAUCAUGACGUCGGAUAUGAGGAGCAGAGUAUGCAGCAAGAGGGUUCCUUGGGGCAGGCGAUGAGAGAGAUCUUAACAAAAUAUUUGCGGCCCAUUUGAAGCUCCUUGUUAGAAAUGAAUAUGCUUUUAUUUCUUUUGCAAAUGUUUUGCGCAAUGCUGUCGCUUAUCUUGCAAGUUUGAACUUGUUGGUUCUCGGCAAGAUGCUCAUCUGAUGCUAAAUGUUGAUUCAAUGAUAAUCAUUCUCUUCCCUACCUAUUAUUCUCAAUACUUACUACUUAUUUCCCAACCUUACAAUUGUUACAAUCUGGUCCUAAACAUUCAUGUUGUUGCGACUUCACCAUAUCGCUUAAAUUUUUACAUUGAAGUAUACAUAAUCAUCAUAUCAUUUGAUAAUUAUGUAACUGGAAUUCGACAGGAAAGGUAAGAUUGCAACAAAAAGUAAAGAUUGCGGACCGAACUGUAACAAUUGUAAUAAUAUUCAUUGAUCAUGCACAUACAUCCCUGAGAACUCAGAAUGAAAGACAUGCAAUAGCACACACAUAUUCACAUACAUGAACUGAAAACAGAAUACGGUGAGAGGCAGAGGCUGCGAGGAAGAGGAUGGCAAUUAGAGAACACGCCGAUUUGUUGCAGGAAAUUCCGUUCGACGGUUGGCUCGUAGUCGAAGGUGUGAUCUUGGAUUCAACCCCUGCAUCAGAAAUAAAAGGUAAAAAUCAUGGAAUUUCAGAGGAUUAGAUUGUAUUCAGAGUAUACCUGAUUACAUACUAAUGUUUAGUACUUUUUCAUUUUAUGUAAAUCAUCGUCGAACCUGACGUACCGGUCGGGAUUGAUGAUGUCGACGGCGGUGUGGUGCUCCUCGGGGCCGACGGUGUGGAUGGGGUCUCCUGUGCAGAGUUGGUCGGGGUCGACGGUGUUGCUGGUGCCUACGGUGUCGGGCUGGUCGCGACGCCUGGUUUGGCAGGGUUAGCGGUAGCUGCCGGAGACUCCGCUCGUGCACCUGCUGCAGCUGCGGUAACCAUUUAAAAGAACACAAUUUUUCGAUCCGAGUGCCUUCAAUUCACUUGUUAUGAAAAAAUUUACAAUGGCUUGUUACAGGUAGUGGUGUUUGAACCUCACAGGCACCCGGAAGCUCGAGGGCGCGGGUUUCGCAAAUGAUCAUGCCAGGGGAUGAAGCGGGUGGCUGAGACCGAACACUGCCCGCAAGCAUGGAGCAGCACGAGGAGGAGGGCGCCGACGUGUUGCCCGUGAGGAAGUCGAGGCAGGGGGCGAGGCCCACGAUCACAGCCGCACAGUUGGAUUGGGCCGAGGCACAGUUCGCGAGCAGUAGUCCCACUGUAGCCAAGGCUACAGUGAGCAUCGGAACGCUUGGAACCAUUCUUUCUGAUUGGAUUGGAUUGGAUUGGAUUGGAUUUCGAAGGGGUUAUAAAUAAUUUUGAUAGACGAAAAAAGGAAAGAAAAGUUGAAAUUGGGUUAGUUUUGGUGACCAACUUUUCCUACUAGAACUGUUGUGGGAUGUUGAAAGAUCCAUUUUUGUGUAUAAUAAAACUAUUAAUUAUAAGAGAUUUGAGUAGGUGGUAGUACGAUUAGUUAAGGGUAGUUAUUUUAUGUUUCCAAUAACUUUUCCGGGUGACAAAAAUUUCAAACUCCGAAAUUAAUGGAAUAAAUUAUGCUAGGAUUCUCAAAUUAGUAGCACAGUUGGUAUGUUUAUUUUAAAAAAUAUAUAAAAUGUCAUUAUAUUUUUGCAUGCCAAUUUUUUAUUUUUCAAGGUAUUGUAAUUUUAGUAGUUAUACUAUUUCUCCUCUAAAAUGGAUAAUUGAAAGUUUGGAAAUGUGAUCCACGCUGUUUAGUUUUUAGUCUUUAUGGCAAAUUUUUUAUCUUGGUACCGUCACUAUUUAGUGCAGUUGGUAAAUAUUUCUCUUUCGGGCAGCGUGAUUUAAAUUUGAUUUCUGAUUCAUGAAGGAUGCGUGCAUGUGUGUGACUCACGUACAUCUAAAGAAAAUUAAGAAAAAACCUCAUCAGUGAAUAACGAGGUUAUGUAGAGAGAAAUUAAUAUUUCCUUUUGGGGCAGAUUCGGAGUGAAUUUUAAAAAAUCUUAACCCGAGUACCAAAAUGAAAAUCCAAACUCGAACCCGAACCCAUCAGAUUUUGAAAAUUCGAAACCAAAAUCAAAUUCGACAAACAAACCGAAACCUGCAAAAGAACCAAAAAUUUGAACCCAAAAUUAAUCAUUUUUUCGCCAAAUUUUUAAAAACAUAUCAUAUGCAAAUCUAAAAUUUUAAAGUACAAAUUUAAAUUCUAUAUAUUAUAUAAUAUAAUAUCUGUUGGGAUUCGGGUUUGAGUUGAGUGGAGAUAAAAACGAUACCCUGGAACCUGAAUCCAUGGACUUUCCGUUUUUUAUACCCGUAAUGGAAACCAUACCCGUUAUAGUACUUGUUAAACGCAAAGCAGCUCUGUUCGGGUUGAGGUUCAGAUAAGAUCCUGGGUAUCCGUGCCCAUUGACAUCCUAAUUUCCUCUGUAAUGUAUACAAUUUUUUUCCCCCAUCCAAAUUAGUUCAAAUUCAAAAUCUCAGCUUGUACAUUUUAGCCAAGCAACAAUUGGCCCGGCCCAGCCAAAUUUUGAGAACCUUUGCAUCAAAUACAUGGUGCGUAGUCCAGAGUAGGGCUAGUAAUUCAGUUUGCUGUUCGUGAGCCAGCUCGGGCUUAGCUCGAAAUAAGCUCGAGGUUGAUUUAAUAAACGAGCCGAGUGCGAGCUAAAAUUUUCAGCGCGAAAUUGUAACGGGCCGAACCUGAGCUAGGUUAAGCUUGCUCAUGUAUUACACGAGUCGAAAAUAACCUGAUCGUAGCUCGCUCGUAUUAGGCUCGUUGAUAGCAUUAGUCGGAGGAUCCCACACGUGCGUUAUAAAAUUAUGUUUUCACAAAACCGUUGUAGAAAUUAUUUAUAAGAAUUGCUUUGCAGAGUUUUAUUGUAGGUUUUUUAAUCAUAUUUUAUCUUCUUUAAAAAAAAAGACUUUAAUGUAGUCUAAAAUAACAAAUAAUAUUUUUAUUCAACCAUCCAAAUUACAACAUCUACAAAAUAUAAAUCCCAAAUAUCAAGAAUACAAAACAAGCAUGAAAUAACCAAAAAAAAAAAAAGAAUACAAAACAAAACAACAACUACACUCAAACAAACGACUCAAUGUGAUAAGUAAACCACAGUACACAAUAUAAGAGACUGGAGCAGUAGUAAUCCGUAGCACUCUAGAAUACGGCAACGGAUACUAAAGCCGCAAGGAAUAAGACGGAAAUCGUCGCCGACUUUGUAGAAACCCCAUCGGAUGAUUGGGCUGUGGUGGAAGGAGUGGUCUUAGAGCCUGUUCCUGCAUUAAAAAAAAAAAAAAAAAAAAAAAAAAAAAAAAAAAAAAAAAAAAAAAAAAAAACCCUGUAAAAAUAAGUUCAAAAAUUUAUUAAGUAUUUGUUUUAAUUUUUUUAUAUUUUAUUAUUGAUUUAUUGGCACGAAGGUGACAAAAUUUAGAUUUUAUAUUAUUUUAUUUAUUGUGACCAUCGUUGUUUAGAACAGUUAGUUAUUAUCUUCUUUUUCAAACUAUAAUAUUUUUGUUUAUAUACUGCUUCGAUGUUGUGUACGCUAAUUAACUUUUAAUUUUAAAAUAUUAAUCAUUAGUAAUAGUAGGGACAAUAAUCUAAAAGUGUUCGCUCAACUAGUCCACCUACUCUUAUACGUACCCACUUAUAGACCAUUCAAACCCAUAAUUUUUUUUAAAAAAAAAUUGUGUUGCAUAAUUUAAAUUAACUUUAGUAGCCAUGCAAUUCACCUGAGGCACUUGGCACUGAGGGUGUGGUCGGCGUCGUCGGCGUCGCAGGCGUGGUAGCGCCACUUGGCAUUGUUGGGGUCUCCGGCGUGGUCGGCGUCGCCGGCGUGGUCGUAACAGGAGUUGGAGAAGCAGUCGGCGAUGCAGCCGGUGCGCCGGAAACAGCUGCCACAAUCAAAAUCAUUCCUCCAAUUUUAGCCCAAAUUCAACUCAAAUUCAAAAUUCUUAGCGUAGAUUCAGAUGUCGGAAUAAGUUAUCUCAUAAUAAUUCGCGCUUGCUUACUAUAUAUAAAAUUUGCUAUUGUAGUAGAUAUCUUAACAUUAAGAGAUAUACCGAAUAAUAUGUUCAUGCAUAUAAUGUGAGAGAUUUGAGUUUACGUACCGUUGCAUUGGCUAACCGGCGGGGUUUUGACUUUGCAGGCACCGGGGAGCUCGAGUGCGCGAGUGUUGUUGAUAGCGACACCGAGGGACGAGGCGGCGCCACCCAGCACGGCACAGAGGCACUGCGGCUGAGACUGCAGGAUGCUGGAAAGCGCCGAGCAGCACGGCGAGCCGGGGACGGAGGUAUUGCCCGUCAUGAACCCUAGGCAGGGCGCCAGGCUGAUGAUCGCCGUCACGCAGCCCGUCUGCGCCACGGCGUAGCGGGCCGAGAGGAUCGCAGUGGCGACAGCGAAGGCGAGGCCUAGAGACAUGAUUUUGUGGGCCAUUUUGGGGGAUGAUAACUUUAUAUGAAAGUGUGUAUCUAGUGAGAGUGUGUGAGAUGUUGUUGUAGAGUUUGUGUUUGUGUUGUGAUUGUGGAGAGGGGGGGGAUUGAUGGAUUAGGGUUUAUAAAGAGGUAGGGCGGUGAGGGUGCAAAUUGGGAACCAAAUUGGUGGCCAACUUUUUCUACUAACAACUCUAUUUGGACUUUGAAAACAUUUUGGAGGGAGAGUGUGGUGGCAACUAAUAAUUCUCAAGUAAAUUAUUGCUUAUACCCGGUGCAUCUAAAAACUUCUGUCAUUCAUUCCAUCUCAUCCUUCAAUUUGUACAGUCUUAACUGUUAUCAUAGCUCAUCUAGUUUUUAGAUCAGAAAGAGACUGUAACUCAGUGUGGGGCUGGAGAUUGAAGUAUAAGAUGACACAGAUGAUGGGGAUAAUAUGUGGUGCGUAGAGUAUGUAGACGCACCGGGUGCACGAAAGGAUUUUCAGAGGGGUGUUGGUAGGGAUAAGCUUUGUUUUUUUUAUGGUUGGCCACCAUCUCUCCUGCCCCCUUGCUUGUUCCAACUAGAAUAUUCCUAAUUUUUUUUUUUACUACUAUUAUUUGGACAAAAUUAAUUUCAAAAACUAUUUGGACAAAAUUUUAUGAGAAAGCUCUCCUAUAAUUAUUAAUAUAAGUGUUAAUAAUAUAUUAAUAUUAGUCCUCAAAAUUAUUUUCUUCUACCCGAAAAAGAAAUAUGAUAAUUUUAGGUUAAUAAAUUAUUCUUAUAUUUUUGUGCAUGAUGGAAGCUAUUUUAUUUUUAAUUAACUGUUUCAAUUAUCUGUUGCAUGAAAUGCUUUCCAAUAAAUAUUUUGCACUUGGACUAAUCCAGUCCAUGUGUGAUGUGGUAAACCAAGUCCAAUAAGUGUUUCUCCUACCAAUCUUGCAAAAAAAAAAAAAAAAAAAAAAAAAAAAAAAAAAAAAAAAANCUUUUUUUUUUUUUUUGUCUAAAUAGAGUUUAGGAAGGGAGUGCUCACCUACUUUGCUUUCCUUUUAUUUCAGUGAUAGAACAUUCCAAAUGUAUAUUAUGAAUUUAGAUACCAAAUUUUAUAUUUUUCAAAAUUAUUUGUGUAGUGACCGAAAGUUCUCAAAAUCGAUAAAUUUAAUGACUGAUGUAAUUCGAGUGUAAGAAUAUAUGGUGUUCAACAGCCCAACUUAGAUAAAUUUUGAUUUUUUUUUUCACUAUCUAGAAUAAGAUCAGUACUUCUACUUUAAAAUUUAUUUUUCAUUAUCAUUUUAAAUAAAAUUUUUAUUUUUCAGUUAUUUAUUUUGAGACCACUUAGUCGUUAGAUAAGAAACGUUAACAAACCGUAAUAUUUGAUUUCAGAUACUUUCAAUAAUAUAGACUAUGCCUAUUAAAAUUAAUCGUGGAUUCAAAUGUCUUAUCAUUAAAACAAAGCAUAAAAAAAGACCUCAAUUUUGACACUAUUAAAGAUAGGGCUACACUAUUACGUACUUGACCAGUUCACCAUUAAGGUGGAUUAGGUAAACUGGUUAAUUAAUCCUUUAAUAAUUGAAGCAUUUUGUCUAAAUUCUUAAUUAAUUGUGCUUUAUAUGCAAUCAUAUCUUAUAAUAAUAGUUAUAUUAAUCAGAUAAUCACAUAUAAUUUUAAUUGUACCAAUGCAUGCAUGUGGUUGCUACAAAGAACUGUUAAAUUAUUGGUUUGGUGAAAGAGGCUCACAUGAAGCUCAUUAUCGAUAAGAGGAGACAAGGAAAUGAUUAAAUAAUAAUAUUCUUUAUUAAUUUUACAUGUAAUUAGUGACAAUUAGGGUUUAACAUGCCAAAACUUUACGUCAUUAGCUAUGUUUAUGUGCGUAAACUAGUUUAUAUAUAUAAAAAUGUGGAACUAAUUAAAAGUUUACCUAAAAAAACUCUUGCUAAGUGAAACACUCGAAAUAGAUUUCUGAGGUCCAAAAAUAUUAAUUCUAAUUAGGAUAUAGUAUUGUUUCAUAAAGUUUUAUUUACAAAACAACUGCAUCAUACCCAUUUGAAUAAUUGGGCGCCACAUUUUUAUAUAUAUAAACUAGUUUACAGAAAAAAAGAUAGCAUAUUAUAUGCUCCGUUCAUAUUUUUAAGAAAUGAAUUUAGCUGAAAAUUCGAAUUUAAAACUUCGGAAACCAACCAUUAAACCUUUUGCCGAUUAUGUUUCAUAAAGUUUUUAUUUACAAAGGGUGGCAUCUUUGGUUUUCUUUUUCCUCUUUUCUAAUAUACUUUUUAAUAUAUUAUUUAUUCUUCAAAAAUUAGUUUCAACUAUUCAAACUUUACAUAAUUAUUUUAAAAAAGUCAUCUAAAACUUUUUUUUUAAAAAUAAACUAUAUAUUUUAUAAUUAAUUAAAAAUAUUUUUAAAAUAAAAUUACAAUACAAAAAAAAUAAAAAUGUACUAAAAUGAACUGGCCCGUAACUCGGCCCGACCCGGCCCGGCCCGGUUCGGGCAGUGGCCCAUGUUUGGCCAUAGCCCAACAAAAGGUCACCCGGACUGGCCCGGCCCGGAUGUUAUUUUGGGUUGGGCCGAGCCACCUUGUGGCCCGUUCCGGCCCGAAAUAUCUGGGCCAUGCCAAUCUGACGUGGCCGAGAUUACACCCCUAUGGACUUGAUCGUUACAUUUUAUAUGAGAGCCGAUUCAUUAUGAGAUGGAUCUCAUAUAGCCUGGUGAUCUUAGGCUACAGAAGCACUAGAAAAUUAGAUCCCGACUAGAAUAUCGUGAACUAGAGAAGAGGAGUAUGAAACCACAUAAUUAAUUUUAUUUUUAAAUAGAGAUGGUCAUUUGUUCCGCAGGGUCUCUGAUACAUUUUAUUUAUUUAUUUAUAGGGGUUAUUGGGUUACACAUAGUUAGAAUUACACUGCAGUUGUAACUGUAUGCAAAUCUAAAUCUAAUGUUUCUUUUGAUACAUUUGAAUUCAAUUGCUACAGUUACAAUUUCACGAAAAGGCUCAAUUGCAAUAGUUGAAACUGCAGCUAAAUUAGUCGUAGUUCCAACUGAAGCACUUGAAAAGAGUGAUUUUAAAUAUAGAUAAGCUUAUCUCCCUAAUAAAUAUUUGUUUUUUCUUUCCUACAUAGAGGGUAAUCUCACCCUCUUAUAUAGAAAAAAAGAUAGAAAUUCGUAAAUAUACUUCUCAACUAUACGCAACCAAAUAAAAUAUUUAUAACUGCAACACUCUUCUGCAUGCAAUCAAACAAGAUGCAUAUAAUUAUAAUUACUGCAUUCCAAUUGUAUACACUUUUAACCUUACUACGUACAUUUAUAAUUUUGUCGGACCCUCUUCGUUUCUCCAUAACUAAUUUUUAGAUUGAAUUGAAGUUCAUAUGGAAAUUUUUUUCUAAACCGCUGCUUGCUUGAUAGAAAGUGAAUGGCUUCAAAAGUGUCGCUACUAUCCCAAUUUUUUUUAUUGUUUUAUUAAAAAUUUCGACACUAAUACCUAAAAAGGUGAAAGAAAAGGGCUUUUUUAUAAAAUAACCCUCCAAAAUUUAAAAAUUAGAGAAAUAAUCCUGUCAAAAUUUUAUUUGAAAAAAUAACACCCAUUUUGCCACGUAAGGGUCACGUCAGAUUUUUGCUAUGAAUGCGGUGAAUCAUUCACCGCCUUCACAUACAUAUAAUGAAGGCGGUGAAUAAUUUACCACCUUUAUAAUAUAUAUGUGAAGGCGGUGAAUCAUUUAGUGCAAAAUACUUCAAAUUUAUCGAAAUUUGUCUAAGUUCUGAAGUUAAACACAGAUAAGACGAUGAAUCAUUCACCGUCUUCACAUAUAUAUUAUGAAAGCGGUGAAUGAUCAUUCACCGCCUUCAUUAUAUAUAUAUAAAGACAGUGAAUCAUCCGCCGCCUUUAUAGCAAAAAUCCAACGUGGCGAAAGGAGGGUUAAUUUUUCAAACAAAAUUUUGAUAGGAUUAUUUUGCUAAUUUAAAAUUUUUGGAGGGUCAUUUUAUAAAAAAGCCCGAAAGAAAAUUACAGUUGUUAAUUUUUUAAUUUUUUGUUUCUAUUUUUUAAUCUCUGAUAAUUGACUUCGACGUAAUCCUAGACAAAGUAAUUUGCGGCAUUUUUAGAAUUUAACUUAUGUCGAAUCAAAUAACAAAAACACAUAUUUACGACUAAAAAUAAUUUUAGUUCCCUCCACUUUUCGUUAAACAAACAUGCUCUGGACUUAGCUCCGAGUCUAAACUCGGUAGCGACUCAGUUGGGUUUCGUUCACGAAACCCAAAUUGAAUCCGAACCUAACCCGAACAAAUCGACCCUUGCGGUUUCGUCCAAACAAUGCCAAGAAAUUUGCACUCGCGGUCGCAAACCAACCACACCUAACCAUUUUGGACCCUGUCGAAUUCCCCGAGCCACUAAAUUUCCGCCACGUGUAGCUUUAAUUCUCACGCUAACGUAUUCAUUUCUAAAAGCUUAGGUCCCAUACACAUUCCCACCUAACUUAAGCCGUUACAUUUUUCACAAGUAAUCAAAAAUUAGCUAUAGUCGCUAACUACCAUAACCAACCCUCAAUCUACCUCAAAUUUCAUCAUACACCCUCUUACUAUAUAUAUAUAUAUAUAUUAUAUAUAUAUAGACACACACACAGGAGUACUUAUCAUCUUUAACAAGUUCUCAUAGUACAAAAAUUUCAUUAAUCCCUCAAAACUUAGAUCAAGAGAUAUGGAGUUCAUUAAGCAUAAUGUUAGGGAGAUAAUGCUUCUACUAGCCGUGAUUUUAGUUUUUGGGGCUGCGCCGAUCUCCGGGCAGGUCGCGUCGUCGUGCACGAGCUCCCUCAUUUCGAGCUUCACUCCGUGCUUCAACUUCCUCACCGGGAGCACCAACGGCGGCGGCAGCGGGUCUCCGACCACCGACUGCUGCAAGUCCCUUGCUGGGGUCAUUACCAGCAGCACCAGCUGCAUGUGCCUGAUACUGACAGGAAAUGUCCCUUUUGGCCUACCAAUCAACCGGACCCUGGCCAUCUCGUUGCCGCGGAUCUGCCGCUCGAUGUCGGUGCCCCUGCAGUGCAAUGGUUCGAUCAUUUCGACUCGAAAUCUCUACGAAUUUUUUCAGACGUAAUGAAUUUGGCCGAGUUUUCUCUUAAGUGACAAAUUUUUAUUUUUAUUCUUAUUUGUGUGUUGCAGAUGUUGCCACUCCACUUCCUGGCCCAGGUACUCUUCUUUAAAUUGUGAUAGAAACAUUUACACUUCUCCCCAAAACCUUAUAAAUAUUUACAUAGUAGCCCCUAACUGCAAUCCACAUUUUGUAACCUAACAGGUUCUUCUAUUGCAUUUGGACCUGCACUUCCCCCACUAGGUAAGAUUUUUUUUUUUUUAAAAAGUUUGAAAUGGUCAUAUGACAAUAUACACUAACAUUUUAUUUUUUUUUCAAAAAUGUUCGAAUUGAUCGAUGCAGCACCGACGCCACCACAAUCGUCGAUUCCUCCUCUAACCACAUUCUCACCACCAGAGGCGACUUCCCCAUCCCCCUCGUCGUCGGUCGAGCCCGUGGCUCAAUCACCGACCACUGGAGAUCGAGGAGUAAACCAAGGCCAACGACCGCUCGUGUUAUCGAGCUCGGCGACGAAACACUCCCAAUACUACUUAGGGUUUACUGCACUUUUCAUGUUUGUGUUUAGAGUGGUGGUUUUCUGAAUUAAACGAGAUUAGAGUUGCAUAUUUAUCGGUGUUCGCCGAGUGAUAUACAUACAUACAUACAUACAUACAUACAUAUAGAUUUAUAUAAAUAUAUAUAGGGAGAAAAGAGUGUUAUUGUUUGUUGUUGUUAUUGAUAUUAUUUUGGAUUGUAAUUAUUUCUGAUAUAUUGAUAAUAUAAUUGGUUUGAUUUGUUUAAGUUUUCGCAUCUUGAUUGGAGUUGCGACUUUGUUCUAAUAUCAUGAUAAAUAAUAUCAAAUAUAUAAUGUUUUUCAGAAGUUAAAGCUAUUGGAAAAGAGAUUUUUAGUGGUUUAUAUUCAAUAGAAUCUUUUCAAAAUCACAUAAAAUUUAUAUAGUAAAAGAAAGUGACAGUCAUACUUAACAAGUUGUAAUUAAAUUUAAUAGCUUUGUUACGUACAUUUCUCAGUUAAUUAUAUAUAAUAGUACUAAAAAACUAUUAUAUUUAAUUCAUAAAAACUUUAAGUAUUUUAAAAUUAUGUUUGACAAAUUGUGAUCCUUGAUUUAAUUGCUCUGUAAUUUUGAAAGAAUUAUAAAAUGUUACAAUUCACACUAUUAUAGCUUUGGCUCUGUUUGAAAUUAUAGAAAAAUUUCGUUACAUGUAGCGAUCAAAAAAAAUAAAUAAAUUAUAUACAGUGAGAAAUUACCGUAAAUAAGAUAUAUUAUUUAUAUCUUAAAAAAAUAGAAGUAUAUCUUCAUAUGCUUUAGUUCCAAUUUGAUUUUGCUAAAUAACAUUAGGUCGCCCUUGAUACCAAACCAUUCAUUAUAUGACUUUUAAAGGUAAAAAUAUACAAAACUUAUUUGAACUAAUAUUUAUUUUAAUACAACAACUUAUGUGCGUGCGCGCGUGUAAUCUUACACUCUUCGCAUCUAAGGGUUCACAAAACUCUUUUGAACUUUAGUUUAAAAAAGAAAAAAAAAAUGUUCAUAAGACUAGAAGGCGGAUACCGGACUUUGAAUAAACGUAUAUAAAUCUUACACCAAAUUUAGAGGUAUACAGAUAGCAUUGCUCUUAAAAUAUGUUUGGUUUAAAAUAUUUGAGACUUAAAAUGAGAAUCGAAAUAAACCAUUUUCAUUGUUAGUGCUUGGAUUAAAGGAUUGAAUUUCGAUUUUUAUUUAAGAGGAUUUAUUUGAAUCCUUCAAAAGUGACUCCCACUUCCAUUGAGUGAUUGAAAAAAAAAAAAAAAUCACUAAUAAAUUAUUUGAAUUUAAAUAUAAAUCAUAUAAAUUCAUUAGAUUAAAUUAUAACUUCAAAUUUAAAUAUGAAAUAUUAAUUUUGAAUAUAAAUUCUAAUUUUUAAAUUUUUAAUUUAUAAUUCUAAAUUUAAAUUUCGACUUGGAUCUUGAAUUUGAAUUGCAAAUUCCAAUUUUAAUUUCAAAUUGUUAUUUCAAAUUUAGAUUCAAAUUUUCAUUAAAAUUUUGAAUAACAGAUUUAAAUUUUGAUAAAAAUGUAAAUUUUUUAAUUUCAAUUUGAGCAUGAUUAUGAUUAUGAUUCCGAUUCUUUUUAUGAAACAAACAAAUUAUUGUUUUAUCAAUUCCAUUUUCGAUUUCAGCUCAUUUCCAUUCCUAUUCCCAUUUCGAUUCCUCUUCUGAAUGCCCUUAAAGUAACCAAUAAGUCAAAAUUUUGCACCAAAAAAAAAAAAAUCAUAAAAUGAUAUAAAUUAAAUAAAUUGGAAAGAAUAGAUGUGAAAAUUAAAAUUUUAAAAAGUUUAGACAAUCAGAUUAGAAUGGGCUAUAAUUAAAGAUAAGAUCAAUAAAAUUUUGUCCAAAUGGCCUUUUUAAAGAGCAAUUAGUUGUUGACCAAACCUCAGCAAUGAUUUCACUUUCCAUAAAAAUCAAAAGGAUGUGUUGACCAAGAAAGGAGGUAGCAUCCAAAUUCACCAACAAUUUAUCAAACUACUCUAUUGUGCAAUGUUGCCCAAAAGAUUAUUCCCCUACUAAGAAAUAAUUUAAAAAGAUUUUUAAUAUUCCUGAUAACUUAUCAAACUGAUAUUAAAUAAAUCAUGUCAUGUGCAUUAAGAAAAGAAAUAAUGUCAGAUGUAAUAACCAAGAUUUUUAUGUCACUAAUAGCCAACUACUCAUCCAAAAUUUAAAAAUCGGUUUUCUUUCAAAUAGUAAGGCAGUGUUUGGAUUUGGGAUAAGGGGAGGGAUAACCCCUUAUCCACCUUUAUACCCAAACGCAAAUUUUUUAUCCGAAAAUAGUAAUUUUCGGGUACCUAAAAUAAUCUGGUAUAACUAUGUCCACCAACAUCUUCAUUUUCUAUAUAUAACUAUCCACUAUUUUUCUUAUUCCAUAUUAUCUAUUCAAACGCUAUUUUUCUUAUCCUCGGAAAUAACCCAAUUUUCAUCCAAACGCUAUUUUUCUUAUCCCCAUACUUGUAUCUAUCCCUGUAAUAGCUAAUUCUUGCUUAUACCUGAACCAAACGCUAUCUUUAAUGAAUAAGAUUGAUUUACCGACCAUACUUAGUACAGAUGGCGAAAGUUUUUGAGUUCGAAUUACGCCAGACUCACAUCAUUAUUGAUUUUCUUUUAUUUAACUCAAAUCACAUCUUGGGCCUAAUAAAGUCUCAAACCUAAACAUGAGAGAGAUAGUUCUCUGCACGCUGUAACUUUUGUUGAUAUUUAUAUAUCUAGCUGAAAUAAUUCCCAAAAAAAGUAAACGAAAAAGUUAUUAAGACUAUCGACAAAAUCUAAGCAAGACUAAAUGAAUAUAAUUUGUCUACAAUAAAAUAAAACUGACUCAGUUAAUAACUUUAAAUCCUUUCCGUAUAAUAUUCCAAGUUGGUCAACAUUUGUUCUCCUCCAAGAACAAGCAACUCCUUAAUUUCAAUGUACUAGUAGAACAGUCAUAUUUAAAUAUAAACCUCCUUAGAAUCACUUACACUCAAUCAAACAAUUUCGUUGCAAAGUAGGAGAAACCGUUCACCAACAAAACCCCACCUCCUCGUACACCCCCCCCCCCCUUAUAAAAACCCCUCAACCUUAAACAUAAUUCACCACCCCAACACUCAAAAGCAAGCCAAAUUAACCAAAUAUAUAUCUCUCUUAGCUUUGUUUGUUCAAAAUGUCUCUCAAAAUGCUCGCGCUGUUCUUACCAGUUCUUGCCGCUCUGUCGGUGGUUCCGAGCGCGUCGGCGCAGUCGAGCUGCACGGCGGCGCUGGUGAGCCUGUCGCCGUGCCUGAACUACAUCACGGGGAACGAGAGUGAGCCGUCGAGCUCGUGCUGCUCGCAGCUCGCGACCGUCGUCCAGGCGGAGCCGCAGUGCCUCUGCCUGGUGCUCAACGGCAGCGCGUCCUCGAUCGGGAUCGCCGUCAACCAGACGCGCGCCCUCGGCCUCCCCGCCGCCUGCAAGGUCCAGACCCCGCCCCUCAGCAAGUGCAGCAGUAAGAACACCCCCGGGAACACUUUGAAUUGAAGUUGUCUGCGUAGUCCCUCUGCUAUCCUGAUAUUGCACUUCGAACCAUGAACUUUUCCGCAAUAUCUGGAUCAUUUUAGGGACUAUGCAUACAUUUUACCCCUUCAAUUGCUCAAACUACUAAUGUUAAAUGCAAUUUUUUUUUAAAAAAAAAAGGAAAUUCUUAUUAAAUUUUGCUAUGAAAUCUUUAACAGCAAAUGGUGCACCCACUGCUGCUCCAACCACACCAUCCACAACCACCCCAUCAACGCAAAAUGCUCCUGCAGUAAACUCUCCACCAGGUAAGAGAAUUUACUAAAUAUUAAUGAAUUAAUUACUAAUUAGAGGAUAAAUGAGGGAUUAAAUCCAAACUAUUCCCCCUUUUUCUACCCAAAAAAAGAAAAGAGAAAAAAGCUUAGGGAUGGUUAGUCUGGUCAAAAAUCUGAUUUUUCUCUCAGUUGGCCUGGAAUUUUUAAAAGAUACAACCAAGAGAAUAAGAAUAGUAAUCCUAUUUGACCUUCUCAUGGAAAAAGCUUGUCCUAAAAGUUAACAUCAGACAAGAAAACUCAGAUAUUCCAACAACAAAAAAAUCUAGAAGCAUUUGCACUAAAAUCCCUCAAGAGCUUCUCUCUACAGCAGAAUCAGAAACUACAUAUUACAGCUACUAGUUUUUGGAGUUCAAUAUCUAGUUUCAGCUUUUCACUAGAACAGCAUCUAUAGACUUUUCUAGCUGCAAAACAACUACAGUUAAAAGUAGAAACAGAAGUGCAACGAAAGAGGAAUUUACGAACAUUGAACCUCGGUGCAGGUGAAGGUGGAUCGAAGACAGUGCCGACGUCAGCCGGAAUUGCUCUUCAAACCCCGGCCCCUUUCAUCUUCUCCCUUCUCUUUGCUGCGGCAUUCGCCUCCUCGGCCUUUUAGACCUGCUUCUUGUUCAGCUGUUCUUAGGAGAUACUGUGACAUGUUAGAUGCAUCAUUUUGAUUCAUUUGGAUGUAUGGAUUACAUCCUAUGUUUAUGUUUGCUUUUGUGAGUGUGCUUUAUUUUUGAGCUUAUUUCAUUUGUACUACAUUACUUAUAGAUAAUAUUUCUUUUCCUUCAAUAAUAAAUCAACACAGUUUACACUUACAAAGACAUUUCAAAAGAAAUCAUGUAUCAGGAAACCAUAAUAAGCAGGUAAACAAAAGAUUACUGCAGUACGGAAAAAAAGAAGAAAAAGAAAGGUGCCGUAAAUGAUUAAUUAACUGUGAUUAGUAACAGCCAAAAUGCAAACAAUAAUUUCUUCUGAAAACUUAUUUUAAAGAUCAACAACAUGUAUGGAAAACUUCAAAAAGCCCCCUUGUAGCCUAAUGCAUUUGCAGUGUAUGACCUUGCAAUUUACAGCUUCGCACUUUGCCACUAAAAUAAUAACUUUAGCUAAAUUUUAUGAACCACAAGAUAGCACGAUGUGACACUUUAUUAUCUUAUGAUAUGCAGUUCACCAUCCCGUAAUACAUAAAAAAAUAGUCUAUAUGGAACAAACGCAAAAGCAGCAAACCAAUAUAGAACUACCGAUUUGAAACACGGAAUAGUAAACUGCAAAUGUGCUGAUUACAGAGGGCCAUCCACAAGUUCGUCAGCGUGCCAUAUCAUUCAUAUAAGUCACUUAAGUAUGAUGGCAAAAUUCUAUCAAAGUAUAAAUGAGGGAAUUUAUGCCUAAGCAAUCAGCUAGUCAUGAAGCUAACUUUCGCAUCAGGAAAUGAGAAAAUCCCCUAGCAUUCUUAUCAUGUACAGGGAUAUGUGAGCAUCGACAGUGAAAUAGAUCAAACUAUGCGCUUCAAAAUUCAUUAGCUUCAAAUCAUUCAUGGCAAGUAAAAUAAGAUGUAGAAUAACAGAUAAAUAAUCAAAAAAAGAAAUAAUAGAAUCAUCAACAUCAUACCAGUAAAAGUUGAUAUUUGCGAAAUUCUUUGCUAUUCAGAACAAGACAUCUAUUAAAGUUUCCUCAGAAACUAAAACCAUGAAACAUGAGGACACCAAAUGCAUAAAUAUUGAAGUUUACAGGACAGUUAUAUUUUCGCCAAUCAAUAUAUUUUCGCAUCACUAAAUGAAAGACAAGAAGGAAUGUUUACAGAAGAAAGUUUCUCUGAAAGAAAGCAUGCUUGUUUACAAACAGUCCAGAUGUUCCGUUCUGUAUGAAUUCGCAUCCCUACAUUCAUUUGAAUCUAUUGAAAAGUCCGUUCAUAAGAAGACAGAAAUUAAGUUAAACCAGAUCAAACACUUUUAACUUAAUCACUCUUGAUGGAUUUACGCCAAGCGUACUCUCUCGCGCCGUCCUUGUCAACAAUCUUUAUCACGAAGUUCGGUGGGGCGAUGACCAACCUAGAUCGGAUUUCCAUUAUGCACUUGUCAACCAAAUCGAUAGCCUCUUCUAGAGACAUACCACUGUGGUAGUGCCGGUCCAUCAUCGACAAGCAAAAGUAGGAGCCGUAGCCGAAUGCACCCUUCUCGAUCUUGUGGAGUGUUGCUAUGUAGUCAAUGUAGUAGAGAGACGGGCCAAUGUCCUUAUCAUAGCCCGCCAAUAAAAUAUUGACAGAAUACGGAUUCUGCCAAAACAAAGCAUGAAAUCAUCAACCCUCAAAUAACUCAACUGAAAUAGCAUAAGAUUGAAAAUAUAACAAAAACACACAUAAAGUAUAAAACCAAAUAAGUUGUGACAACUGCUAGCAAAAGAGAGAAUUUUGGGGUUAAAAAGUUCUGUGCUCCAGGGGUUAAUCACUAUAAAUGCCAUGACUAAAUCAAACAGAAAGAAUAAGAUUUCUGUGUGGACAGACGCCAUCUACUGCCUUCUUUUUUACUAUCAAGCGAAACUUAAUGAGUUUCAUACCAACUUUCAUUUAAAACCACAAGUAACAACUAGAAAUAAAACUGUAGCGGAUAAAGUCAAUAGUUAGCAUUGUAUCUCGAGAGGUAUAGUAUUAUGUAGACAUCAGAUCCAAUAGAUGGAAGCCAGAGAAAAUAAUUUUCUCAAACAGAACUUAUAGCGGAGUUACAGAGAAGCAAGAAUAUAUCAGUUGCCAUAACUAAUAGAAUUUUGAUAGGUAAUUUGUUAGUACAACACAAAAUUAUGGACUGACAAAGGGCACUAGAAAAAAAGUAGUGCCACAAAAUUUGAAGAUUAUCAGGAAAAACAAAUCAAAAUAAUUCCAGUUCAACACCUUCAACUCAGGAAUAAUAAUACCAACAUGAUUCAAGUAUUGACGACGGUAAACAACUUUAUUAAAUAGGACCAAGUAUGACUUGUACAGUUCCCAGUACCUCUGGAAAAUCUGUUAUUCUCAUGUAGCUAAAUUGAGCUUAGUUGACUCUAUGGUGAGAUUUUGUCAAAAAUCACUUAAAUAAUGAAAAGGAAAUGUACUAUGACAAUAGUGAUAAUACUCAGAUAGUAAGUAGAAUCUAACAAAAGAGUAAAAAGAAUCAAAUCAUAUACUGGGCCUUGCUGUAAGGUCAAGUUAUUUCAACGCCAUCGGUACAAUAGUUGGUGUUCAGUAGGGUCUUCCGUAGGCUACUCCUAGAGAAAAUGUUUGACAAACUAGAACUUAAUAAUAAAAUAGCAUACAGCAUAAAAAAGUCAAUAGUAACAAAUCACAUGAUAAGCAAGUAAUAGAUAUGUGCUAAUCUAGAAUCAGCACAAAAGGGAAUGGUAGAUGCCAAGUACUGAAAAUGUUAAUUCUUGAUGAAACGAGCUAUGUGACCUGAGACAACUACAAGAACUACACAAUACACACACUAUCCUAGAAAAUCACAAGUGGGCCUCCAAUAUUCGAAAUGGCAACUAGCUCAAUCUUUUACCAGUUGAAAACAACUCAUUAUCAAUUAUUAAGGACCAGAAAGAUUACCUACGAUGCAGGCAAAAAUGUUAACAUGAAAUUUGUGCCUCAAACCAAAAACUCAAAUAUUAUCUAAAUAUCAAACAAAUGCAACUCUAAUGAAAGUUACAGGAGAAAGUAAUACGCAUUGCGUACAACAAUACACAGGCUAAGUGAUGGUUGAAAGGAAAAUUAUGAAUCUAGAAGUUACUAUGACCAACACAUGAAAUUACUUGUGUUUCUCAUCCCAAUGAAAAGUGUGAAUGAUCCUCCCAUCCAGAAUACUAAUUAACAAUGACCGAUGUGAUAAUGUCGUUCAAGAAUCAAUGCUCCAUAACUGAUAAGCUAUAAUAGAAGCAAUAAGAGUCUAGAUGAUUAGUUGCCAGAUCAAAAAGAUCUCAUUUUCCCCUUAAACCACAAAGAAACUAAACAUAUACUAAUACCCUGCCUCACUGUGUGAUAUCUUUCACUCUAGUAUUUUCUCUAUUAACACAAGACGAAUAUUAGGUUGGAAAAAAAUCCCUAAAACUCAAACAAUACAAGCACUUUAGAAGAAGCUAAAAAGAGCGAUUCAAGAUUGAAACCCUAGAUCUCAAAAUCAAACCACUCAAGCGGUUCACCAAAUUUGAUCUACGCAAACAUAAAUGGUACAAUUCCUAACUCAAGAUUAAAACCCUAGAUAUUCAAGAUCAAUCAAAAGAAUAUCAAAUUGCCUCAAAAAUAACAAAUUCCACACAAAUCGUGGGGCCAGAGAUUCCAAAUUCAACAUUCCCAAGCAAUGCAGCAAAGUUGAUCUACAGAAACAUAAAAGCAACAACCAUUUUAAAUUUCCGCCACUCCUACCUUAAGAUCAAUACUCUAGAAAUUCAAGAUCAAUCAAAAGAACAGCAAAUUGCCUCAAAAAUGCCUAAUCCCACAGAAACCGUGGGGGCUAAACCACAAUUCUCGAAACAGAUCGCAAUCAAACCGGAAAAAAAAAAAAGGAAAAAAAGAAACUACCUUUCGGAGGGCAGUGGCGAGCUCGCCGCGGGUGAAGUUGGCGGCGGCGGCGGUGGUGAGGGGGAUGCCGUUGCGGAACUGGUAGAGGUGGACGUUCUUCUGGAUGUACUCCGUAAACUGCGCCCUGCGACCAAUCGCAUCGAGAUCGAGAUCGAGAUCGAGAGAUCGAGAUCAAACACAAAAGAGAGACGAAGAUGACGAUGAUGAUGAUGAUGAUGAUGAUGAUGAUCGGGUUAGGGUUAGGGUUAGGGUUAGGGUUAGGGUUUAAGGGGAACGAACCGGUCACCGGCCUCGCCGGAGGCGCCGAGGAGCUUGUGGGAGUCGAGGAGCAUGACCUUGUCCUCGUCGGACUUGUGGACGAGGAUGCUGUGCACCGCGGAGCUGUCGGCUGCGACCACGGCGAAUCCGUCGCCCACGAGGCCGAAGACGCACUCCAUUGCUGGAGCUUCGCGAGAUCGAGAGGAGGAGGAGGAGGAGGAGAGGGAGAAGGUGAGCGAGAAGGGAGUAGGGUUUCGCUCUAUUUGAAGAGAAAGUAUACACACACAACACAAGGCCUACUUUGGCUACAAGAAAAGGCUCGGGUAAAUUUGUAUAAAGACACCUCAACUACGAGCUAUUUAUAAAAUCGGCCCCUUUCAAAAAUUUUUGGAAUUAAAUAAUUUUAAUUUUUUAAAAUUUAAGAAUUUUAAUUAAUAAUUCUAAAUCUAAAUUAAAAACCCUAUUGCAUCAGCCAUAAUUAGUGUAAAUCAUUAGAAGGUAAAAAUUAGUUUAUUUAGCAACUAGUUUAUCUUGACCUCAAAAAAAACUUUUAAGGGUUUUUUUAUUUUUGUGUGGAUGCNUUGGUACUAUCAAUAAUAUAGUAGUCGAACUCUCUCUCUCUCUCUAUAUGUAUAGUCCUACUAUUAUACUCUUAUCAGUAUAGACCCUUUUAUACUCACAAGUUUUCGGCCGUUAGAUCUACCCCCUUGACUAUUUUAACCCAUUAGAUCAUAUUGUGCAACCAACCAUCCACUCAACUCUAGGGAACUACUAUUAUUAUAUAUAUAUAUAUAUAUAUAGAGUCCGGCUACUAUACUAUCGGUAGCACGGAACGCUCCGUGCUACCAAAUUGUUUUCGAUGAUGCGGUUUUCAAAUUGACGAUCGGCUCCGUUAGACUUGAUCUACACUAUUGAAAGUGUUUGAAAGCUAAAUUUCAAAUUUUUUCGACAUUAUUUGACUAGUGAUCAAACGAUCUCAAAAUUGAUAAUUUUAAUAGCCGAUGUGGUGUGUUUGAGAGUUUAACGGUAUAAAACAAUCUAAAUCCGAUGAAAAUUUUAUAAAAAAUUCUUUUCACUAUUUAGAGUAAGAUCAGUAUAUCUGAUCUUGAAUUUAAUCUGUUAUCAUUAUUUUUUAUGAGAUUUUUAUAUUCAGCCGUUCAAUUUUAGACUACUUGUUUGAUAAGUAAAUGGUAUCGAAAAAUUAUGAAAUUUAGUUUCUAAAUACUUUUAAUAGUGUAGAUGAAGUCUAACGGAGCCGAUCAUCGAUUUGGAAGUCGCAUCAUCGAAAACAACUUGGUAGCACGGAGCGCUCUGUGCUACCGAUAGUAUAGUAGCCUAGCUCUCUCUCUCUCUCUCUCUCUCUCUCUCUCUCUAUAUAUAUAUAUAUAUAUAUAUAGUUCGGCUAUGGUGCUUGUAAAUGUACCAACUACUUGGUACUUGUAAGUUUUUACCGUUAGAUCUACGUCUUUGAUCAUUUUUAACCAUUAGAUUAUACUAUUUAACCAACUACCCACUGAACCCUAGGGGGCCCACAUCAUCCUCACCGUACAUCCCUUAAUCCAAGGACCGAAAACUUAUAAGUACCAAUGACUUGGUACUUUUAAAAAUAUAGAAGCUCAAUUUUAUAUAUAUAUAUAUAUAUAUAUAUAGUGAGGUUACUAUGCUAUCGGAAGCACGGAGCCUUCCGUGCCUUCCGUGCUUCUAGCUCGUUUUCGAUGUUGCGACUUUCGAAUCGUCGAUCGGCUCCGUUAAACUUGAUAUAGAGUAUUUGGAGUACUUAGAAAAUAAAUUUUAUUAUUUUUCGAUGUCAUUUGCCUAGUGAUCGAAUGGGCUCAAAAUCAAUAAAUUUCAAUGGCCGUAGUGAGCGUUUGCAAGUUUAACGGUGUAGAAAUAUCCAAAUCACGUGAAAUUUUGAUAGAAAAUUUUUUAUACUAUAUAAAACAAGAUCAAUAUCUUUGAUUUAAAAUUUUAAUGUCAUAUUAUUAUAUUUUGUAAGAUUUUUAUUUUCAGCCGUUGAUUUUGAGCCCCUUCGUUCACUAGGCAAAUGAUAUCGUAAAAUNNUCUCUCUCUCCCUCUAUAUAUAUAUAUAUAUAUAUAUAUAUAUAUAUAUAUAUAUAAACUUAUGCAAGAAUCUUAUAGUAAUUGGACAUGGAAAAUAUAAUAAGAUAUAGAUAAUGGCUUUGGGCAUAUAUUUAGUUUGGAAAAUACUCAAAAACAUAAGAAUCAUAAACACCAAAUUAAAGCUUAAAUUGUUGAAAAAGCAAAUUGAAAAAGGAGCUUCAAGAUUUAUCAAAAACUAAAAAAAAUGACUAAAUUACAAAAAAAUCUCCUAUAAAUAUCUAUUUUCUCACUUUUUCUUCGUGACUUUCAAAAGUCUAUAUUUUACCUGCUUAAAAUUUCAGAAAUAUUUUCAAAAAAAUGCGGCAUUACUAAACAGGACAAAAUGAUCAAAUUAUCCUCACUAUUUCUAUUAAAAAAAUUUAAUAUAUUUUUAUAUUUUGAAGGACAUUUUUAAUAUAAAUUAUAAUAAAUAAACGGAAUAAUAAUAAAACCCUAAAAGACUAAAUACAAUAAUUUAAAAUUUUAAAAAGAUAAAAUACAAAAUUUCAAAAAUUAUAAAAAAAAUAAAAAAUUCAUAAAAAAAUUUUCUAUAAUUUAAAAACUGCAAAGAACACUUAUCUCAAAAAAAAAAAAAAAAAAAAAAAAAAAAAAAAAAAAAAAAAAAAAAAAAUAGAUAAAUAAAUUGAAGAACAAUGUAAAGCUAGAUCUUAGGAGAGCAAUUGACUAUAUAUACAAAAAAGCUCUUGCAAUACAUUUCCAGUACACUCUCCAGUACAGUUCACAACUCACAACUCACACAACUCCUGCAACUUGCAUGCAUGCUGCUACUUAUUUAAAGCCUAACUACAGGAAACUGGGAGUCCACUGAACCAGCUCAGAAACUGGUUGAGCCGCGACCGCGACCGCCGCCGCCGCCACGUUGGUUCGGUCCAGGGAAAAAGGCCGACUCUUGCUGCGCGUUGAAGACCUCGUCCACUUCUCUCGCUGCCACGUCGAAUGCGAGCUCCUUAGCCUCCUUCUCCAUCUUCUUUAGUAUAUUAUUUCUCCCUGCGCGAAACCAAGUUCAGGAACAUCUGAUUCAAUAUAACCAACCAACGAAGCUACAAUUCGCAUGUUGAAAAUCAAUAUCGAAAUCAAUACCGAAACAUAUAGUUUUAGUUAGAAGUUCUAAGAUCUUCGUAUAAUUCUUGAACCAAAAAUGAAACCCAAAUAUUGGUUUACAUUUAGUUAGUUCAAUAUUGUGCAGGACAAUUAUACAUGCAAAUUAUGUUCUUUUUUUUUUAUUCCCGUUUAGGCCCCAAGGACCUGGUCAACCUAUACAAUCUUACCAAGCGAUGUAAGAUUUAUCUCACACUAUUGUUUAAUGAACUAAUUCCGAUAACAAAUGUAACGAUUCGACCCACUAAUAGUAAUAAUCUGUUGUUCCUAAACCACCAGCCAAAAAUACUUAAGUCCAGUUAUUACUAAGGGCACGUUUGGUUCGAGUUAUGUAAUAUUAUAGAGUAUUUCGAUAUAUUCAUAUAUCUUGGAUUUCUAAAUAAAAUUACUACUGAUACUGCAUUAGCGCGUUUAGUUUAAUACAGUAAUAUAAUACUGGAUUGCAGUGUUUAUAGCAUUAUUGAUUUGUCACAUAUCAUGAGUGUCUUACUAUACAUUUUCUCUCAUAUAUCUUUGGGUUUUUUUUUUUUUUUUUAAGUCAAAAGUGAAAAUGAAGCCAAAGUAUUCUGUAUAUACCUGCAAGGAAGAACUUCUCAUUGUUCUCUGCCCUGAUGCCAAAGCAGAGAACCUGGAGGUUCUCAUUCGGGGAGGCGACAGCGACUACCGGGUGGCCGGGAGGGAUCACGAAGACCGAUCCGCGGCAGACCUCUGACUUAACGAGCUGAUACCGCGGGCCUUCUUCUUGUUCUUCUUCGCCUUCCUUCUCCCGCUCUUCUUCGCUUUCGCCGCCUCCUCGUCUUCUCGAUCCUUUUUGCUUCGAGAUGUGAGGACACGCCAUUUCCAUGUAUCCGCUCCCUUGCACAACAAAUGCAAUCUUGAUUGCCCUUGAGUUGUAGUUUGGUGCCAUCAUUGAUCCCUGAAAUUAAAGGGGAAAGGGCUCAUUCUAUGUCUAAGUGCAUAUUCUCAUGGAAAUAUACUUGAAUUAUGAUAUUGUUUGGUAAAGUGCGACCUAAAUGGCGAACGUAUUAGUUAAGUGCUUCAAACAUGUGUUCGCAAGACUCAAAAGUCUCGUUUUUCUCUGCAACUAAAACUAGUAUCUACCAAAAGCAAAAGCAAAAGCGAAACCAGACAAGUGCAUUAAUUUUUUCUCUUAAAAAGGACUUGUACAUUUAAGUGACUCCUAGCUAGGAUUGUUUUUACAAGUGGUUGUUUCGUGCAUACGACGGAUCUGGUGGUGUAUCUGAAACUUUCGCUAUAAUCCAGGACGUGACAGACACGGUAAAUAAUUGAUUAGAGUUUGAUAACUACUCACUUGGCUUAUAUUAGCGAUGGAUACAUCCACAUUGGGGUCUUGGAAUUGUCGGUAGUCGUUAGCAUUUACUUCAUAGAGUUGGCCAUGGUUGUUCGCGUAGGACGGUCGCUUGUUCAAGACAUUGAACGGCUUUCUCGAUUGCUCGAAAGGCCGUUCUCCGCCGCCGCCGCCGCCGCCUCGGCUUGAUUUGCUUAAUGCCUCGAUUUGUUCUUCGGAUGCUCUUAUGAUCUCUCCUUUACUUUGUUGCCCAAAGAGUCUCUCCAAUCUAUCUCGCGGGGUCUAAACUUGUUUAAAUGAUCAUACACAACUAAAUUGAGCAUAAACCAAGUAUAGAAAUGGUGACUUGCAAAAUAUAUAUAUAUAUAUAUAUGAAUUAUUAUAGAGAGCAAGAAAUAAAUAAAUAAAUAAAGAUGCGAACGCACAUUGAACGCUGCUUCAAGAACUUCAUCACUAAAGCUUGUGUAGAAUGUCUCCGGUUUCCUUCCGCCUGCUCCAAAGAACUCCUAAUUAUAAAGAAAAUUUUUCAUAAAAGAAAGGCAAAAAACAAAUUAAAUUCAAAACCUUACAUAGAUUUUAAAUUUAAAUCCCUUCAAGUUUCUAAGCUUAAAAUUGUAAAUCAUUUUGGGAUCUAGACUCGUUUAUCUUCUUUUCGUUUUAGUUUCGAAAAUUAAGAUAAAAAAAUUUCUAGCUAUCAGAUGAGUGAGAGUCACUACAACAAUUUUUUUUCUAUCACAUCAAUUUAAUUACAUCAAGAAUUAAAAUAUUAUACCGACCGUUCUUAAAGCAAAUGACAAAGGAUUUUGUGGUUGGUAACCCCAGGUCCCAAGUUCGAAUCCUAGUUGAUUCGCAUUUUUCCAGCUAAGUUUAUUUCUAAAUAAAAUAAACGAAGCUCUGAUAUCACUGAUGCUAUUUUGAGAAGCGACGCCCCAUCAUGUUUAACAUUAAAUCGAUUAAAUUUUAAAAAAUACCGUUAUCUAGCAGCAUAAGUCGUGAAAAACAAGCAAAUGGUUGGUUCAUAAUUGUUGUCGAUAGCAAAUUGUUCAAUGAGAUACAAAUAUAACCUCGAAGCGCCCCGGAAUGGAGAUCGGACGAAGGAGCAUCGCGAUCCGGAGCUUCUCGUUACGAUGUUUAUUGAUCAAAUACACUAUCAUACCAGAAGGAACCACCAUUGUAUCUCCUUCCUUGAUAUCAUACGACUCUUUGUUCUUCUCCGAUAAUAGUGUUAUAGUUCCCUCCCCUGUAAUCAAAAAUAAAAAAAAUAAUUAUCAUUGAUCUUAAUGAAUGUAGCAUGUAACUCGCUCAUCGUAUCUAAAUAAUAAUAAUAAUAAUAAUUAACCUCAGCCAUAUGUAGUGACUAACUAAUUUAAAAUGAAAAGAAAAAAAAUUAUUCUAAUUAUUAAACACAUAAGAAAUUGUUAUAUUUACUGCACACUUCAAAAUUUUAUUUCUUUUACAUAAAAGUAACCAUUUUACCUUAAAUAAAUAUGUGAUGAAGUACUUUUACCAUCAAUAUUUUUUUCGAAUGUAUUCAUAAAUUAAUUAAUUAAUUCUAUUUCUCACAACAUAAAAUCUAGACACUUAAUUUUUUUUUUCUUUCUCAACAACAUAUAAGAUAAAAAAUCAGAAGCUAACUAAAAAUGUCAGAAAAUUCAAAACUUAAAAUUAAAAUUUUAAAAGAUUGAAUAAUUAAUUAGUUCACAAUGUCUAUAGUUUUGACAAAUUAUUGUACAGUUUUACAUUCUAAAAAUAAGUAGAAAAACAUAUAUACCAGCUAUAUACAUUAGAUUUGAUUUAGAGAAUUUGAAGUAUCUAAAAAAUAAAUUUUACAAAUUUUUGAUAUCAUUUACCUGACGAUCGAACUGAAGAUCGAAGAUACUCAAAAUUAAUAAUUUUAAUAAUCGUGGUGUGAAACAACCGUUGUACUUAUAUUUAACACUCCCCCUCACGUCUGGGCUCGAGACUUUUUAAUCGGCCCAUGACGUGGGCUUGAAUUAAAUGGGAGGAAAUUAAUAUGCUAGGAGUCUGGCGUGACUCGAACUCAGGACCUCCUGCUCUGAUACGAAACAACCGUUGUACUCUAAAAGCUUAAGCUGUUAGAGAACGGUGUUUAAACAUUUUUAUAUUUAACACGUGGUGAGAUAUUAAUUGUAAAUUUUACGAUGUAAAAAUAUUCAAAUCAUAUAAAACCUUGAUAGAAAAUUGUUUAAUUACACUAUAUAUUUAUAUAUACCUCCCAUCACGUAGAACACUUCGUCUGCGUCCCAGUGGCUCGGCACGAGGAACGCCCGCGGCGCCGCCUCGAGCACGGCGACGCGAUACUCCGCGAUCCCCCGCAGCAGCUCCGACCUCUCCGCGAACCGCUGCAGCACCCUGAAGCGGCCGUGCUGCGUCUCCGCCCAGCGCUCGUAGCUCCGCUCGUCGAAAUAGUAAGGGUUAUAUGCAUGGUGAUCUUCGUCCCUUGCGUUUGGUGAUCUCUCCCUCUCCCCUCCACUCCCCCUACACAAACUAAAGCACCUGCGCUCGCAAAGCUCCCUGUUUUGUGCGUCGCCCUCUAAACUACGGCAUAUUUUGUGGCAUUGGCAUAUCCGUGAAGCAUCAGAAUUAGCUAAGGAGAUCGAGGAGAGGAGGAGGAAGAGGACUCUAAUUGCUAGUGAUUUUGGAUUCAUUUUUGUGUGUUUUUUUUGUUGUUUUUUUUUUUUUUUCUUUUAACACUACUAUACUAUGGAGGUAUGGGUUGAGAGUGGGAGAGAAAGUGUGGAGUAGUGUAAGUAUAUAUAGUGCUCUUUAUUAUAUAGGCUAAGGGUGGUGGGGAUUAAUGUGCACGUAGUAUAAUUUAGUGUGAUACGUGGAUGCAUGCAUGGCGCCAUGUGGUGACGUAGGAGAUGCGACGUGGAGAGAAAGAGAGAGAACUGGGUCACGGGGUGGCGUUGGAUAUAGAGAGGGAGAGAGAGUUCACUUAGGGUGCGUUUGGUUCGCAUUAUGAAAAAUUACUAAAAAUAAAAAAUAUUUGAGAAUUUUUUUCUAUUCAUUCUAUUACUAAGAAUGUGAAAUUUCUGUGUUUGGUUCGCACGGUAAUAUUAAUUAGUCAUAUUAUUUAAUAUUAUAAAAAAUAUGCAAUUUAUUUAUUUAUUUAUUUAUUUAAUUUUAGAUAAUGUUAUCAAAAAUUUCAACAUCUUUUUAGAAAAAAAGGGAGAGAGAGUAUAAUUAAAAUAAAAGAAAGAAAAAUAUAGUCGAAAUUAGAGGGAGUGAGAGAGUUGAAAUUUUAGAAAGAGAGAGAGAGAAAGCUUAGUUUAGAGAGAGAAAAAAAAAUUGAAUUUUAAAGAGAAAAAUAAGUUUAGAAAGAGAUAUAAGGUUAGAGUGUAAAGAAAAAUAAUAUCAAUUAGCCGGCGGAUAGGAAGAAAGAAAGAGAUUAGAUAUAUUAUGAUUACUUAAAUCCAUUAAUAUGAGGAUACCCAUCCUCCCUCAAGGAAAUGAGAUUAGUACUUUGGGGUGAAUCUUAUUCCCAAGUGAAUCCAAUAUUACCAACUGGAUUACUUAGUGCGUUUAGCCAAACACCAUCAUAUUUUUUUAUUUCCAUUGAAUUACUAAGAAUUUUUGAAAGAUAGCGCGAACCAAACGCACCCUAACAUGCAUGCGUGGUUCAAAUCGAUAUUCGGUCCAUGGUUUUGCACCGUUCAUUUAAUCUAGCUAAUUGGUACCUGCACUAUGCCGGUACUUUUCAUCUUCAAUCACCGUCGUGCCUAUCUCUUUCUCCUUUUGCAAAUUAGGCUUGUGUGUUUCCUUUUUCCAGUUUGCUACGUGUUUUUUUAUAUGAACUAAUAGAUUUUUUUAACCUUCGACUGUUGUUCGAUGAAACCGAAAUUAAUAAAUGAUGAUGAUGCUAAUAUAUUCUGUUCGUGUGCAUGCAUGAUAGUUAAUGCUCAGUGUAGUCAUUGUCGUCGUUGUUGUUAUCGUUAUCGUCAUCACGCUUUGUAUUCUCCAUAAUCGGCGCCGCAUUUGUAUUUUAUUGUGUGAAAUUGGUGUUGUUGUAGGGACUUUUGUGAAAGAAAAAAGACAAAGUAAUGUGGUCCCAUUAGUACCGUCCAAAUAUGUUAGUUACUUGUCGACCGCGGUCUAAGCAUUGUCUAAUGGUAUAAAAUAAUAGGAUCUUUAACAACUGCAAACAUUAAUAAAUAAACUAUACUAUUCUCCCUUAANUUUAGAAAGAGAGAGAGAGAGAGCUUAGUUUAGAGAGAGAAAAAAAAAUUGAAUUUUAGAGAGAAAAAUAAGUUUAGAAAGAGAUAUAAGAUUAGAGUGUAAAGAAAAAUAAUAUCAAUUAGCCGGCGAGUAGGAAGAAAGAAAGAGAUUAGAUAUAUUAUGAUUAUCCUAAUCCAUUAAUAUGAGGAUACCCACCCUCCCCCAAGGGAAUCAGAUUAGUACUUCAGGGUAAAUCUUAUUCCCAAGUGAAUCCAAUAUUACCAACUAGAUUACUUAGUGCAUUUAGCCAAAUACCGUCAUAUUUUUUUAUUUCUAUUGGAUUAUUAGGAAUCUUUAAAAGAUAGUGCGAACCAAACGCACCCUUACUACUAUAUUAGCAACUAUUUUAUAACCCUCUCCAACUCCGCUCCGUUGAGUAAAUAAAGUAAGAGGUUGAACAUUUUUUUUUCUUGAAUUCGAUUUGACUCAUCAAAAAUUCGCUAAAAAUUUACUUUUAUUCUGAUUUGUUCCACAAGUGACACAUAGUAGAACAGAUAUCGUUGAGUAGGAGAUUAGACGAUCUCACAACUUCAGUAUCGAAAUAAAUAACAGCGUAAUCAAUUAUCUCAGUGUGCGAGUUCAACCUCCGAGAGCCACUUUUUACCACGCAAACAGCAAAAUUUGAAGAACUCCAGUUCUAUAUAGCUAUACAAAUAAACAACCAAAAAAAAUCCACCUGAACACUUAUUCAUCCAAAGGCUACUAUGACCUUUCAACUUCUAGCUUCAGUGAAAGAAACAUGCUUCAGCUUCAAAAAUAAAAAUAGUACGAAAUAAAUAAAUUAUAAAAAAUAUAUAUAAUUCAUGGCAAAAUUUCUUAUAGGCCGCAAUGAUGCCUCUCUAUUACAAUACACUAGGCAUAAUAUAAUAAUAAUAAACAAGAUUACUCAACUAAAGAAAAGUUACAAAAAAAAUACAACUGAGCCAUUUGAAGCAUGAGCUUCAGUGAGGAGAGAAAACAGGUUAGAAGCUGUACACUCAGAAAACAAUUCUCUUCCAAACCGCGAUCUUCCUCGACAUGGUAGGAGUAAGAAACUAUCUCUUCCAUGUCCCCGCCUUCAUCGCCGCUAUCUUCCGCUUCUUGUGGGCGCGGUGCUUCGCGGCGAUCUGCAGCUUCCGCUUGGCAUGGCGCAUCGGGUUGACGACCGCGACGAGCUUCUGCGACUGCUUGCGCUUCUCCCUCUUCUGCUUGAGAUUCUUCCUGAUCAUGUUGUAGACUUGCACGAAAUUAUCCACCCCUAACACGUCGCGCACGCUGUCGCGCACCUCUUCCGCUAAUUGCUUGAUUUCAUCUGAUAAGAUUAGAGACAGGUUCAAAUAUCCAUUAUUCCGGCAAUUCAGAUAGCUGUUUACACUAGAUCGACGCAACCAAGAAAUAGUUUACUAGGGUGGUCGCUUGGACGCGGCCAAAUUGCCCCGACUCGAUGCGGAGUCUUUUUUAGGACAGGUUAGUGGUGAUAAGAGGUGUGUAGCAACAAGAAGCUUACAAGCUUUAAGCAAUUUAGUGCACUCGCAAAAAUGGUAAAUCAGUAAGAAAUAUCAGAAAAUGGCAAACAAUUAACCAUUCGACCAUUCAAGAGUGACAAACUCACCGCCGACGAUCUUUCCAGCAAAUCCUUCGCAAACUUUAUAUAAAGGAAAAAGCAUCUGAGGGGCAUAGGCAAGGGAGUCUUCGGAACCAAGUUGUAAUGAAAUCAUUUUGAAGCAAUUAAAGACGAUUUUCAUCUGCAAAAACCACAAAAUAUAUCAUGCCUCAGGUAAAUAACAAUGUCGUGGAAAAGGUAAAAUUUCCUUAACUAACAGUACUCAAAGAUGGUCAAUUUGACCGUAUAAUUCGAUGCUCACCUGAGCAUCUUCCAUUUGCAUUGCAAUCUUUCCCAUCUUCUUGAGCAAAGGCGCAACUAGCAAGGACUUAAGAUCUUCACCUGCCUCGUGAAUAAUUUGAUCCUCUCCGACCAAAGAAACACUUGUAGUGGUGGUACAAAGCAGAAACUGAUCCUGAGCCUUUCUCGAAGCUAGCAAUUCAAAACCCUUGAGGUACAACCCUUGCUCGUCAGAGCUAAGAGUAGACCAAAACUGAUGCAAUGCUGAAAGUUUCCUCUGCUUUGCAAAGGAGUGCAACCCACAAAUAGAAAAUACGAUAUUUUGUGCAAUGAGAUUGUUUGCUGCCUCAUCGCUAAGUUCUGUCCUGAGUUGACUUACAAAAGACACCGCUAAUAAGAAAAGUCUACUUGGAUUGACCAGAAAUAGUGCUCCACUCUUUAUCGUUUCAUUAUUUGUUCUUCCAGCCUCUGACGCCGCAGCAAAGUAUAAAGCUACUAGCCGAUUCGAGAUGCGCCGCAACCACAUGUGCGGAUGAAGCAAGGACUUACAAAUCAACGCCCAUAAGUCCUGAAAAUAUCAAAAAGAUUGCUGUUAACUAGCUAAUAUAGUUAAUGACACAAUUUGCCAAAAUGUGCUACACACAGCACUUUCAUGCAUUUAAUGUCAUAAGUUGAGUGCUUUAUCAUACAUAUUAUUGAUGCCGAAGAGAGAACUCGUACCUCGAAUUUCCUGUCAAAAUACAUUUCGGGAAAAUGUUGUAGUAUCUUCUCGAGCAUAACAAGUGAAUAAUAAGCCUCCUUGUAAAAUGGAACGCCAGCUUCAUUUGAAAAGUCAAGCUCUACAUCGCUAGAAGCAAGAAUAGAAGAUUCCAGAAUGUGUUUUGCAACUGAUAAUACUCUAUUUAUAUGCUUGUUGAAUCCUUUUUUGAGAACUUCAACCAGCAAACCAAGGACCUGGGAAAUAACAACGAAGAGUUAUUUUGUUGUUACAGAUCAAAGGAGAUAGUGAAAGAGAAACAAAAACCCCACAUUCUAAUUACACGAACUGCAACCAAAAACAUUCUUUAACAUUUCAUAAAGUAUAGAGCAACCACUCUUACAACGCAAACUUCAACCAAAAACAUAGAUUAACAUUUUAUAUAGUAUAGAGCAACCGGCCAAUCAGAACCAAAAAAAAACUUGCGAGAGUACUCCAAAUUAAUAAAGGGCAGUAAGGAAGACCGUCUUUAUGAAAAAAGAGCCUUAGAAAGCCACUUGCAUACCAUGUCAUGAACGAAAAAAAAAAAAAGGCUGACAGAAAAGCCAACACACACACACACACACACACACACAGUUUGCCCCAUUUGGCAGAAAGUACUACAUAAAGUCGAGCAAAAAAGUUGUAAAUUCAAUAGAAUAUGUUGGGGGUUUGGGGCUUAUAUAUAAAUCAAUAGGUAGUGAAUUUCCAACUGUAGGAAAAGCUCAAAUCAUGCCUUAGCCAUAUACACACAAUACAGUAAGAAUGCAAGUACGCAACACAGUAGAAUGCCACAACAAAUGAAGGUUACCUGAGCUGCAGCACUCCAUAGCUGUUGUUUCUCACCAGAUAGCUGUUGUUUCUCACCAGUGUACCAAGCAAGACUAUACUCGAGAAUAGGAUCCAACGCACGCGGAUUAGCUCUUAGAUGGCAAAGGCGACCUAUCAACACUUUUAUCACCGUGCCAACCAUAGAUUGGACUUUAUGUUCAUGAUCAUUGGCCAGAGAAAGAACCAGACGAACAAAGAAUGUCUGAGCCUGAUUCUCAAUGAGACUUUCAGGAGAUUUAACCAGGAGAGCAUGGAUCAUCUCAAGCACAGCUUCUCUCCCCGAUGAAUGUUCAUAACUGAAAAUUUGAAAAAAGAAAACAAAAUUAGGUGACAAAAGAAAACAAACUUACUAUUAAAAGAGAGCAUGUGGUGAGAUACAAACCUCAAAUUUGUGAGUAGAAAAUCCAUGUGCUGUUGUAAGCGCUUGUUGGAAAGCUCAUAAUCCAACAGAAACUGCAGUAGAAUUUGGCUGGACUUCUUGCGUAUGGCUUCUGAUUGACUAGUUACCAUCAAUUCUGAAACUUUCACCACAAUAUCAUAGAUUUCGGGGACAACUAAUUUUCUACUAACAAUCGACUUCAAGAGAGAGAGGGCAAUAGGUGAAGGGUUAGUCUCCAGAUCAACAAAAACAGGGAACUGAAUAAGCAUGUGGAGCUGAUUGUUAGAAAGUGAGAUCCUGCAGCUUUGUAGUAAAUUCGUGAGCAGCUUGAGACAGGAUUGCAACAAAGUAUUUUUAGAAUUUCCAUAUUUCCGAGCUAUGUCAAAAAGUAUAUUCUUCAUCUUCUCGGCCUGGGCUUCGAGGGACGGUAAUGGCAACCUAAUCAAUGUAGCAAGACAUCUAAUAGCAGAUGAAAGGACAUCUUCAUACUUGGAAUUCAAGCAUUCUCCGAAAAGUUUAACAAAAGGGUCUAACAUUGAUAGCAACUGCUCGUCUUUCUUGUCCAGCUUCAUUUUCUUUAACCUGUUGCGCAAUAAUCCAAGGGAAAACUCGGUGAUCAGAUGUGAAUUUCGCAAACCAUUAUCACCAAGCACCAAAAAAGUUGUUCUGUUGCUAAUUUCAUCGCUGGAUGCCUCUUUGCCAUUGGAACUCUGUUCAGUAACAGUAUCUUCAAUUAGUCCAUAUGCAAAUACAAACAACUCCUUAUUUCCUGCGGAUGGGUUACAUUCAAUUCCCAAAGCUAUAUAAUUAAGCAUCAUUUCCAGCCUUUUCUUCAUCUUUGGUGUCAGGUGUUUCUGAAGGUGUGCCGCGAUGGGCCAAAGCAACUUCAGAGCAUGCGUUCUAAAUGUAAUACUUUGAGCGAUCAACUUCAGAGUCUCAAACGACUUCUUCUUCCUCGUCUCUUUCAUUUUGGAAGCAAUUUUGUCGACUUCUUUCUCCUCCGCGACAUCUCCAAGAAUGUCGCUUUCAACUACAGAGAUAAGCUCCGCCAAACAGUAGUCAAUCUUUCCAGUAGAGCCUUCUGUUAGGGUCUUUGAUAAUAUGAAAUUGAGGGUGUAGCCCAACACAUGUAACUCAUACCCCCUCUUCAAUAUAGCUUGCAAAAUCUUUACAACAAGCUGCAAAUACUCCACACCCAGUUCCUUCAGACAUGCAGCCAAAGCAGACCUAGCUUCGUCACGGAUGCUUUCUAGACGGUUUUUCAAGAAAUUACAAAUGCGGUGUAUAAUGCUUGAAAGUUGUGAAUCCAAAAUAUCUGUCGGUAAUAAUUUAAGUACUUUGAGUGCCACAAGACUAAUAUUUACAUUAACUUUCUCAGGGUCUGAGACAAGCAAUUUUUGAACCAGAGGAAGAAGCACCUUUUGCAAAUAUUGCUGUUUCUCAGGGGAGACAUUUUGCGAAGAUGAACUACAAAGAUGAAAAUCACCCUCAACUCCACUAUCUUUUACACCAUUAUUAGAGUGGGAGUCAAAGAAAUGGAAGACAUGUAAGACGGCACAUAUCAGUCGCAAAAGGAUUUUCUGUUUGUCUUGCUUAACAGACAGCUCUCGGAAGCAUCUCAUCAGAAUAGUACGAUAGGACUCCCACUGAAGCUGGCCUGCUACAGAAGCAAGGGUCUCUACACAUGCAUUUCUUAGAUGUUCACCCUUUCCAUCUUUCACAUCAAACAGCAUGUUGAAAAACAGUGGCACAAAGAUUUUCAUAGUCAAGUCCUACAAUCCAGCAAAGUAGUCAACAUUAAUGCCAUACAAUGGCUAAUCAUACCUAUAUCUAUUUUCUUUUCAGAAUGCAAAAAUGAUAGAGAUGCAAAAAACUUAAAAGAGUCCGAAAUUAUAUUUUCAAGAUUUGAAAGCACAUUAAAAUAUCAAAUUCAUCUACAUUUGCCCAAAGAUGAGUAUUAUGAUCAGGUAAAAUUAGUCCAUAGCACUGGAAAAGAAAAUAUACUAGUCCAUAGAAUACCAGGAAACACAAAUGACAAGUCAUUGAUUUCCAUAAAAAAAUACAAGAAUUCCUGUUGUAAUCUAUUAACAACACUUUAUAAUGAAUGUAUGGCUGUAUGAAUCUGAAUUCAGGUAUAGAUAUCAUACUGCUGUAAAGUUAUUAUGUUAUAUGAUGAUAUUCCAAGUAUGUGGCAGUAGAAUCUAAAUUCUGAUAAAGCAAUUCACUAGCACAACCGGGUAAUAAAACUAAACCUGGAAAGAUUAAAGCCAGAAAGUUGUAGAGGGAAACUAAUUUAAAUGGUGAUAUUGUCUACUAUAAUAAACUAUAUACAUAAAAAAAAAAAGCAUGAACAUCAUUUCUCUUCCUCUCUUUAAUCCCAAAGUCUUGUCCUUAUAAUCAUGUUUGUUUACCUCUGAAAAGUUCCCAGCAGUGAUUACAUUCCUGAAUCGUGAUAACGCUCUUGAUCUUCUAUGAAUCUGCAUGAAGAGAAAAUUAGAAUAAAAGCUUCAGUUUGUAUGUCGCCCAUAAAUGAAAUAGUCAAUAAGAAUUACCUGUAAAUGAGUUAUGUUGUUGAAGAAGUCUACUUCAGGAUCUGUGCUACAGAGAGGUUUGAAUGAACUUAGAGAUGGAACUUGUUCAAAAUUAAACACCAUUUCUCGCAGUAAAGUAAUCCAUUCCUGCAAAAUACAGCCCACUUAUUAGUUACAAAACAAAUAGUGAAACAUAAAAGUCAAGCGGCGAAUAUUAUAACCAGACUAUGGUCGCUGCAUACUUUUUGAAUUGAAAUGUCCUUGCUCAUAGCAUCUCCCAUGCUAUGCAAAUAGGUCUUCUCUAGAAUUCUCUGAAUGGAAGCUUUUGUCCAAAUGCUGCUAAUAAUACUUUCCGCUGACCCUAAAAUUGAUGUAGCAAACUGUAGAAAAGAAUGUAAUGCCCUCGAUGCACUUUGUCGAAAGAUCAGUUCUUCCGAAGACAUAUCCCAUACACAAUGAGAUAGUAUGGCCACAGCAUGCUCUUCUCUCAAUUCAGGAAAUAACUCAUGCCUUACUGUAUCAUACGCUUUAAUUCUUGCGUCAUAAUCUAGUUCACCAAGUUCUGAGGAAGAAACUGCAUUUAGAUCUCGUAAAAGUGUAGCCUGAACCAGUACAUGUCACCAAAUAAACAAAAUUUAGAAUCUUUAAAGAAUUAUUUGCAAGGAUAGAAGUAAUAUUAACAAUAUUAGUCAUGUGUAGAGCUAUAAUCACCAGGAAGGCAUACGAAGGAUCACGUAAAGCAAGACCGUCGAGAAUAUCACAAAUGCACAACCGCAAACCUAGUUCAGCGGUAACAAGUAAUGGGUGAAUUGCUUGUAGGACUUUUCCAAAUGCUUCAUGACCUAAUACUGCAACAAUUCCUUUGACAACUUGUAGACCCUCCAAACAUUCAUCUGUAAUAAAAAUUCCAAAAACAACAAUAAAAAAAAGGGAGAACCACCAUAAUCUAUCAUCAAUACUUAAUAGUUCAUUUCAAAAAAAAUAAUCAGAAAGAAAAAUCUUCAAAUAACAUGAAGGUGGAAACUAGAUGGCCUUACCAGAAUUUAAAUCUUUCUUCCUUAAAAAUGGAAGUAAAAUAUCAAGAAAAUAAUCUGCUGACACAGGGUCCCUGAUAUACUUCACUAAUAGUUUGAAUAUCCUCAAUUCCCUCUGCCCCGGCCAAAUGGUGGAUUUCCUAUGACCAUCACCAAGAAAAUGAGUGGACCAAAAUUUGGAAAAUCGAAAUUAAAGUUAGAAAAAAAAAAUACUUAAAACAGUAAGUCUUAACAUUAGAUAUUAUUUCAAAACAUUUCAUUGGGAAAAACAGGGCAAAAGAAAGAAAUUAUUUCAAAACAUUUUAUUGGGAAGAAUAGAGCAAAAGAAAGAAAAUUUAUUAAUAAUUAAAAAGCAGAUUGACACAUAAUUGAAUCACAACCAAAACGAAUUCCACAUGAUGAAUUUUUCAAUAAAUUUGUUGUUAAUAAAACUUUAGAUAAUUUAAGCAAAAGCUCUAAAAUAAUAACAAUCAAAUAAUAAAAGCCAAAGACACAUAACUGAGGAAUAUAACUAGCUAAAUCAGGAAAAGAAGCAUUAAGAUAAUUGGAAACUUUUGACAAUCUUAAAUGAACUUUUAGCAGAUACCUAUGAAAUUCUCUGCGAGUCUGGUAGAGGUCACGGAAACUACUAACAAGAACCUCAACAUGAGGCUCUAAAAUCCUCUUGACAGUAUCACUCCCCUCGCUAUCCAAAUCUUUAUCUAGCUUCAACAAAUUUUCAAUGAAAUCAAGAACAGAAGAUAGGAUAGCAUCGGAUGCUGUCCUCACAGUUAAGAUAGAGAAUAUUGCUGAGAUAAGAUUAGUCUCCCUCCCUAACAGAGGGACUAGUGUUGGGCUCUGGCUCAUUGCGAUAAAGCAUGAAAAAAGUGAGCUUGGUUUUUCACUACUUGCACCCUCCUGCUUGAAGUUGUCGAGUAAAGGCUUCACUGAAGUGAAAAAGAUGUGCCAAAACUCUGAGCUGAAGUCAUGAGUGUCGUGCUUAUUAAGAGUGGAAGAAAUUACUUUCAGGCACAGGGACCGCAGAUCCUUGACCUGGUCAUUGGAUAUAUUAAUCUGCACAUCAGAAAUAGCUUUCAAAUGUAGGAAAAUAACAAUUCAUCGGAAAAGAAAAAGAAGUGAAAAUUAUCUAGAGCGGCCCAAAAGGUAAAAUUAGCACAUGAAAAUGGUAACAAAUGGAUGCCAUGCACGGCCAUCGCUAUCUAAAAAAGAAAGGUAAUUGAAUUAAGAGGAGAAAUGCAAGACAAAUGGCUAAACUUAACCAAACCAAAUCUGAUAAGUUUCAAUUCAAAUAAUAUUUUGGCUCAGUUCAUUGCAUUUGCAAAUGGAAAAACGCAUUAUGUAAAUUAGCUAAGUUCUUUAUUUUCUAGGCCAUAGGUGACUCUGUUUGUUCAUUAUCUUUGGUGUCCACCAGCAUUACAUACUGCACCAUAUAGCCAGCAUAUGUGUUAUAACUACAAUAGAUAAACAAAAUAUUACAAGGAUUCCAUGACUACUCUGAAAUAACAAGUUUUAAAAUAAAAAGGAAAAAGCAUAUUAAGUUUUGAAGAAAGAAAAUAACAUAUACCAUUAGAGAGCCUGGUGCCAAAGUAUUGUCCUUGUGAACCUCUAAAUUUCCAGAAUUAUCUCCCCUGGGAUAAGUGUUACCACUGUUUUUGCUUGCCAGGUUCCACUUGCACAUUUCCAGAAUUCGAACAACAAUCAUCAAAAAAGGAUUAAGAAAUGGCCCAACAUGCAUCAGAUCAAAAGUUCCCAAGAUAUCCUCAACUACAUGGAGGAACCCAUCUAUUCUUUUCCACGAAAUAUCAUCUGUUGUAGUUAAGGUUGCAACUUUUGCAAUAUAUGAUAAAAACUUGUCUAUAAAAUUGUCAAACAUGCUGGUAGUCAGGGAAUCUGAAACUUCAAUAAGGAGGGACCUGGGAACUAAGGGCUUCAGCAGCAAAUAAAAGAAGAGCUGCAGCUCGUUUACAUCAAACUGUGAGAAAAAACGAAGAAUCGCCUUUCGAUGACUAACACCUGCAUGCUAAGAAAAUAUUGAAACACCAAAAAGGAAAAGUCAGUUAUCAAAUAAACAGAACAAGAAACUUUACCGCCAACCAACAAUUAACGCCUGUUUGGCCAGGCUUCGGAAGCAGAUAAUCUAUACUAAGGAGCAGCCAGACAUUGUCAAACGCAGAAAGCUUUAAACGAGGUUUGAGACCAAAGGGCAAAAGCUCCAAUUUGAAACUUCUACUGCAAAUGCAAUAGAAAACUGCUGGGGGGAUCUUAAUGUAAAAGCUAUUAAUGCUUUCCGUGAAUAACCGAAACAGCACCAAUACUGAAGCUCCAACCAGGCCAAACAAACCUAAUUAUAAUGAGCUUAUCGUGUGAAGAGCAAAGAGACCAACCUUCCGUGAGCCAAGUGUCUUCAGUUUCCUAACUUUAGGAGUAAGUACUCGAAUAAUUAAAGAAACUAAAUGGCCUCUGUAAUCUUCCUGAAUGGACUGAAGGUCUUUUGAAACUGCCCAUGUAGUAAGCUCUUCUCGAAGGUUCUUUGCAAUAACAAGAUUUUUAAGAUGCUGUUCAUAUGGGACCAAAAAGUCAUCCUUCCAGUUCAAUAGGCAAUCAAGAACUUUCAGUUGUACAUCAGGAUCUGUCUCAUCAAGGAGCCUAAAAGGACUCGGAAGGAAAAAACUUAGCACAAUUACAUGAAAUAUUUAUAAGUAUAUUAAAUUGCAAUCUUAAUAUCGCUUUUACAAACCUUAUCAUUAAAACUUCCUUAAGGACUUUGUUGCAAUACAAAGAUCGAGCAUUGCGCAUCAGUCUCAACAAGUUCAGCCAUUCUUUAAGAACCAUCCUCCAAUCCUUUCCCUUGCAUUUCUCCGAUAUAUAAGAUUCGACACUGUAAAAUAAUCAGAGAAGGCAUGAGCAAAUUAACUGCAUUUAAAACUCAUUUACUCCUUAAAAAAUUGAAGAAAAUUAUACCUUAUAGCAUCUUCAUCAGUAUAACCCAUGAAAUUUAGGAACAAUGGUAUAAGCUGUCGUGAGCGAGAUUCUGCAAUUUCAGGUAUCUUUUGAAGUGAUUGCAGCAAUGAGACAGUAACCGUCAUGCAUGGAGUGCAAUCAGAAUCAGGAACAAGGUAUAAGUCGAAGCACUCAAAGAGAGCUGAAAGAACAAGAAGACGAAUUUGUUACUAUUAUAUAGCUCAUAAAAAACAGAAGUAUUCUUUCUACUAUAAAUCAGUUUACCACCUUCUAAACAUAGUCUCUCUCGAAAUUAACCAUGCAUAAUUAGACAAUAUUCUUAAAAUUAAAUACAAAUUAUAUCACAUAUUGGUAGAGAGGCCACUUUCUCUAAUGUCUAACAACAAAGCAAGCAAGCUCAAUCCCACUUGGGCCACUUCAAGUAAAUGGCAUAUUCUUAUCCCACCUCAAGUAAAUGGCAUAUUCUUUCUAUACCAGAAGAGAUGAGAGAAGUAAGAAAAACCCUAUGCGAAGUAAGCAAUUUAGAAAUCCCUAUGUGCAGCCCAACGCCCAACAAUAUCCGCAAAUGAAACCAACUCAUGUAAAUAAUCUCCAUUAACUGGAAUAGCACCAUGAACUUGAGCAAUUCUGAGAGAUAUUAACCCCUAGGCAGGGAUGCGAAUUCUGAAAUGCCAAACAUUAACUAACACACUACAAAAAAGCAUGCAGCAAAACAUGCAUUCACACACUUGGAAACUCCAAACCCCACCCUUCCAUCCCCACCCCCUUUUUCUAGAUAAGAAAAAAAAUGCAAAAUUUCUAAUCUACUGAACAGAGGAGAACCAUUAAGUUGGUACCAGACAGUAGGAAACCUAUCAGAGAAAAAUGAACUGAAGACAGUGCAAAAAUGUAGCAAGGCGUUAUUGAGGAUAAUGUCUGAACUAAUGCAUAUCCAUUGAUCCAUCGUGUUAUCAAACACACUAAUGCAGCAUUUAUGGAAACUACCCUUUUUUUCUUUCACAUAUUUACCUAUGUCCUGCAGGAGCUUUCUUCAGCUGUGCGGAAGAUAAUCUCUAAACUAACACAUAUCUAUUGAUAACUGGUGCAAUUAGGCAUACUAAUGCAGCAUUAAGUAGACUACUUUUUGUACAUAGUUUAUGUUCUCCGGGAACAUUUCUUCAGCUGCGUAGCACAUAAAAUAGUUUUUACAAAUCCUUUAUCCUAAAGGAAAUUAGCACAGAAUAUAUAAGAGUAAAAAAUAGCAAAUCCAUUACGCAGCAUGCAGAGAUUAUGGCCCUUACAAAUUGGUUGAGGAGCUUCUCUAUUCAGCUUCAUCAGGUGAUCUUCAGAGGAUAAAGAUUUUGACUGAAGAGUUCCAAGAUACUGGAUAAAUCUAUUCCAAACAAGAUCCUUGUAUUUGCUGAUUAGAAGAGCCAAGCAUUCCAAUGCAGGCUUCCAAAGGCUGCUAAGUCUAUUGUAUAAUAUGCCUAUAAUCCCAUUUAAAAGAAGAGGUAUGUAGUCGUUAUUGAUCUUCCCAAAAUAAAGGCUCGUCUGUAUUCUGGAAAUUAGUAUUGUGAUACUCCGAUCUGUAGAGGUUGAAAGAGGGAGUGACUCAACCUGAAGGAGGAGCUCAACAACCUAUUCAUUUGACAAAUGUUAGAUUUUAUUAGAAAGUUUGAUGAACCAAUAUAAUAACAGAAACAACAAGACCAUACAUUAGUGUGUUUAGCAUCUUCUUUCCCUGAUCCUGAAUCUUCUGUUUUCAGCUUUUUAUUAGGAGGUUCAUCACCUGUAGGCAACUGUUGCUCCAAAGGUGCAUAAUGGGACAAAAUUCUCAACGUCGAAACACGAACUUCCUUAUUUGGCAUGCUCAAGUUGUCAGCAAAUGUGCAAAAAGAGUCCAAAGCAUUCUGCACAUCGAAUUCCUGUAGUACGCUCUGCGAAGAGAAUUUUUCACUGCAUGAAGGCGAUUAGGAAAAGUUAAUUUUUAACUAGAACGGACAAAAAAAAUUCACUCAAAGUGUAAAUAGCUAUACCCUAGCACAGAGUCCCAAAAGUCGGCGACAGCAGAAAGCACAUGUGGAGAUGUCCUGUAUUUUUUAGCCAGAGACAGGAAGAGACUUCUUUCCAGGCUUCCAAGAUUGCUGACCAUUAACAAUUUACGAAAUGAUGUCAACGCCACACCAAUUAAACUUUGCCAAGUGGAUCUUGAAAGGCCCCCAAUGCUAUCUAAAACAUAAUAAAAAAAUAAUGGACUAGUUGUUAUUUUCUCGCCAGGAGAGAGAUUUUCUGAUGAAGAACAAGAGAAAAAUACAAAACUGAACUACAGUGCAUUUUGCAAUUGGAACCUGAACUUUAAAAUUUAACUUCAGUGCCUAAGCCAAGAAUUUAAGUGUUGUGGCACAAGAUCAUGCCGGAAACUUGCCGGCCCGGUGCAUGCCGGGUUGUACCGAUGCAUACGGGCCACGAAAAAUACACGUGUGCCGACACAUAAUGGCAUGAAAUAUUUAUUUUCUUUAGCAACAAAAUAUUCUAACUAUUUAUUAUAUAUUUUUAUCAAAUCUUUUGAACUUUAUUGAGAAAAUUACUCACUAAUUUAAAUAAUAGAGGGUUUUGAGCUAUGCCAUCGGUAUGGGGUUGUAUCGUGCUAAUAUUUUGUUGGCACAAUACAGCACAGUGGAUACCGCCCAUUUCGAUGGACACUUAAAUCCUUGGCCUAAGCUUAUAGUUAAUUCCAGUUAAAAAAAUUCCAUUAGAUUCUGCUAGAAGUCAAUGUUUCCCACCAAAAAAAAAGAGGUGCAGGAUAUUUAGUAAACUAACAGAAUAUUCAUCCGGUUACACAAUAUUCCGUCAGAAAGUUGUACUUAAAUCAAAUAACUGUAAAGUUACAUACUUCAGAAGUCUUACAAAUCAAGUAAGGAUCUGCAAUUUUUCAACUUAAGCCUUAAGCACAUAAAGCAUCAAAAACUGAUAGGUACCUGUACCACCUUCUGCUUGCAGAAGACAAUCAAGUUGGGCAAUAAGAUUCUUUAUUGACCAUAAAUCAUCUUUUAGAUUUUGGAAAUGAGGAUAGCAGCUGAGAACUCCCCAGAGUAUUCCCGCUUCUGAUACACUAACUUGAAUAUCUGCUCGAUUGCCACUUGCUUCAACACCAUUUAAUAACUCGUUCCACUGACAAAGUUUCAUCUUAAAGAAGCGGCAUAGUUUCUUUACCUUAUCUUCAGGCUCCCUGAUUAUGCUAUCACUCCCUUGUCUUUCAAAAAAUGUCAAAAGGACAAAAAGAACUUCUUCUGGCGAAGCUUCAACAAAAUUAUCCAUGGCACUACAAGCCCAAAAUCACGACUUUAUUAUCAUUAAAACAUAUAACCAUGGCAUCUAAAUAAAUAGAAGCAGUCAAUCGAUUACCUCAUAAUGUGACUACUGAAAACAUGUAAUAUUUGAGGAUCUUUUGUAAGAAGUUCCCUGACAAAAGUGACGAGGCUGAAACAAACGCAUAAUUCCCAGUCAAGGCAUAGAAGACACAUGAGCAAUUUAUUACAAAUCAAUGUGUUAAUGCAUGUUUGGCCUAGCUUUUGGAUUUACCAAGAAAGUAGAGGUUAGGUGUUUGGGAAACAAGCUACAUUUUAGAGCAUCUAUUUCUCCCACCGUUUGGCUUAGCUUUUAAAAUAACUUCUCUACUAAGCUCCAUUUUAGAUCAACUGUUUCUGCCAAGGAAGAUUUCAAGGAAUAAUGGCGGAGCUUUCAAUGCUUUCAUAACAGCUCUAUCAAAUCAAACAGCACUACUGCAAAAGCUCCAAAGGCCAAAUAGGCCCCAACUAGCAUAGCAUGUUCAAAUACUUAGACAAACUUAAAAAGUUACCUUGAGCUUCUCAACUGAAAUGCCGGAGUAUAUAAUAGUGAUAUUCGCAUUAAAUCAGUAGAAAUGAGAGGAACAUCCAGAAGGCAAAGCAUUAGCCCCAAAAUACUGCUAACAACCUCAGAAAACUUAUUCUCCAACUCUCUAGCAUCAGCAGCCAUCAUAUACUUUUCUAUGAGCAAUUGGACAAGCCGAAACAUGGUUUCAGUAUCUGCAAAAACACAAGGCACGAAAAGUUCAAAAACUGACCAAAAACCACAAAACAAAAACAACAGAAAGGGAACCAAGAAAGGAUUAUUACCAAGAACUUGCUUCCUACUGCUUUUCUGAACAGCAAACUUAAGAAGGCCCAACAUUUCAUUAAGAUGUUCCGAGCAGCCAUCAUCGAUGCAGUUGAAAGUUUCUUUUAAUAAGCAAUUAUACAUCAAUUUCAAUUCUUUUUGAUCCACUUCACGACAUAGUCUGGAGACUAAUCCAGUUCUAACCUCAUAAACAGCUUCUGAGCCUGCAAAAGAUUUAAAACAUCUUAAACAUAAGCAAACAUAAAUAAAUGGCGACUUUUUCAUAUUGUUGCAAAAAUGCUUGUUUAAUUUAGCAACAUUAUCUCCACUUCCUACGCUGGUAAAUCAUUUUCAAUUUACAUUCCAAUUCGUGGUGGGUUCUCAAUCCAGAUUGCACAAAGUGGCAAAGCCAAGAAUAGUAAAGAAGUUUCUAGAUCUAUUUGUUAGGUUAGAUUAAACAAAUUAGUUUAACAAGAUAGAAUAACAGAAAAGAGUCAAACCUAUAUGUCAAAAGAAAGAGCCAGGUUUAAUUAGAAGAGAGAACACCUAAUCCUACCUUAACGAAAAGGAAAGAAACUAUAAGAGUAACAAAGGUAACUUAUUGAUUUUUUAUUUUUCUAUAUAUGUUGAUCCAUAUUGACGUUCUGAACAAACCACAUUCCCAAAAAAAGCGUUCUGACAAAUCCAACCCCCUCGUACUGCAUUACCAAGAAACUAGCAUACUACCUUCACAUACCCAUAUCAUGUACCACAGCGUACCUUGUUCCAGGUAACAUUAUGUCAACCUCCAAUAAUAUAAGUCAAAUCACAACAUUAAGAAUAUAUAAACAGUAAAAAGAAAAGUUACCUUGAGGAAAUUUAUGAAUAAGUUCAAGAAUGAACUUAUCAAUUAGAAACCUAAACACUUUUUCAGCCCUUGAGUGAAGCCUUGAGGAAGUCCCUUUCAUGACAUGCCAUAACAAAGCCGUGACUCCACCUUUUCUUGCCGGAGAUGGAGUUUUAGCAACCUCCUUUACAACCUUCGUUAAGCCUAUAGAAAAUCAGAGGGGGGAAAAAUUCUUCAAGUGAAAAAUGUAAAAAAUCCACACAAAAAGUUCAUUAAUAGCUCAGUCAAGUUGAUUAAUGUAAAUUUAUUCUUCCAAUAUUAACAGUUGCCAUGCAAUGCAUUAAAAAAUGACUAUAGGAAGUGUCAGGAAUGAUUGUGUUCCUAAUUACACGUGCAUGGACUAGUGAUUAGAAAGUCCACAGAAACCCAAGAAAUAGGCAAAAUACAUAAAAAGGAAAAGAUAUCCUGAGAGCCCAAAAUAAUGAUUUUCAGAUAAAAAUAAUUUGGGGGCUUACUUUCUACAAUACUAGGGCAUGCACGCAUGCAGAAAAGAAUCUACUAAUACACAGCAUAAGCAAUAACUGUACAUCAACAAUGAUGAGCUACAUAUACAUAUUAGGCUAUUUACUCUAACAAAUUACUUUCAUUUCUCAGGCAUUGUCUCCACAUGUUAUAUCCAACAAAACAGAUCAUAUUCCCAAAAGUGAUCAAAAGAAAUUACCUUUAUAGAGUUGAUUAAUGGGUGAAUUCCUCAGCACAAAUGAAACAGCUUCGGCCAUGAAUUCUCGAACAUAAUCCUUGGGGUAAAAUCUUAAUUGAGCUGUAAUUCUUGAAUGAAGAAAUAGAAGGAUAAAUACAUAAUCUCAGUCAACAGUAGAAGGGGAGGUUUCAUAUCAAGGAAAACUAUAAUCGGAUGUAGAACAAAAAUUAAUGAAUAUUUGUGAAGAAUCGCAAACACAUAAUCGGUCCACACUCUUCUGUCCAUAUAAUACCAAGUAUGAAUAUCAAAUCUUCAGUAACAUAAUAACGGUAUACUUACAUCAGAAUGUGCUGAACAUCUUUAACAAGAUACUUUUGUAGAUACAUCAUGAUGUAUGACCAAGAUGUGAAGACCUGGAAUUAAACAAUAUCUUGGAGUUUAAAAUACACCAAGGCAUCAGAAAAUAUUACAAAUUACAAGUGCUACAUGAAAUACCUGCUCCAAAACUUCAGGAUCACGAUCUCCACCAUUAGUAAGAAGAUCUACUAAGGAGUUGGUGAGCCUUUGCAACAAACUAUAGAGAAGAAAACCAAUCAGAAUUAUUUAGCAAAUUAGUGAGCGUUCAUCUGUUAAUCUUGAUAUAGUAUUAUGAUUUUUUUAGUUUUUCUAAGCAGACCAAAGAGGACGAAUAAAGAAACUUCCGGAAUGCAUACUAGCCAACAUGGCAAGGGAAAGGGCAAAUAUGCAUUCGGCCGCUAAAUAAAAUGGCAAAUUUUAAGAUCAAAAAAAAGGAAAACUUACGGCAGGAACUCUUCAAGGACAUCUCUGGAGAAAGAAGCAAUUAACCUGUUCAGGCAACAUAUUGCUUAGGCUUUUGCUGUGAUCGAUUUAAAAGCAGUUCCCCAAGAGUAACAGCGAAUAGCCAAAACAGACAACGUAGAAUGCAUUGAGCAAACAAAUACAGGAACUUUUUUUCUUUUUGUUCAGGGAUGGCACAAAGAAUUACAAAGAUUGGUAGCUGAAUUUUCAUUUCUUUUUACAUUCUUCUGGACAGUAAAUGGAACCAUAUAUGGCACUCCAACAUUAGAGAUGACUUUAAGAAACUAGCACUACUUUAAUUUCCAAUGGAGCUUCAUAAUGUGGAUCCGAAGCGAUAAAAACUUGCUCAAAGUUGCCAAACCAACGGAAGUUGGGUUAAUUUCUAAAAUGUUGAACAAUUCAACAGGUUUAUACAAUCCAAAGACACAAAAACUUGCUGAAAGUUGGAAAACCAACAGAAGUUGGGUUCAUUGCAAGAAUGUUGAGCAAAGUAAUGUUUGUAGAGUUAUUCGUAACCAAAAUAAACCAAAUGGGAUUAGUACUUGUCAGGCUAAUCGAAGUGACUGGAAGUUCAUUUAGUUUGCACUAUUAUACAGAACAAAAGACGAAAAAAAAAAAAUCAUGUUACGAAUUGUUUUACUACCCACUAAAUUGAGGCAAAUGAAUACAAAGCACAGCUUACUUCCAUCAAACAAAACAGGAAGAAAUUUAGUAUUUAUUCAACAUUAGAAACUGUACAGCAAAAUGCAACAUGAUGUGACAUUGAAUUAUGAUUCUGAAUGCUUUCAAUCAUCAAAAUUUGUUAUACAAAAAAUAUGACUGUGAACUCACUGACAUUAGUAUUGGCUCAAGAGACAAUCUUGCUUUCAUGUUCAAUCUCUUAAGCAGCUCCGAGAAAAUCAGUUCUCGAUGCAGUAUAAUCUGAGGCAGUGUCUGUACCAAUGGCAUCAUCUUCUCAUAAAAUGAUAUAAAAUCUUCUGCAGUAUUUAGUUCCUGCAAUUAAAGUAAAACCAAGAAAAAUAUAUAAAUUAGCAUUCGUUUCAAACCAGUUCCAAAAACAAUAAGAAUAACGUAAAAAUAUUGAACUAUGUUGCAUUUUGAAUAUGACCCUUUGAAGUUUAGAUUUAACCACCUAAUGAGUAAAUUACACCACGGGUCGGUGAGCUUAUCGUGAAUUUUCAUUCAGGUAGACAAACUUCAAAGUGCAAUUUCUGUUUAAAUUAGAUCUGUCCACCUACUUUUUUAAUUUCCGUAACAAAUAUGUGAUAAAAUAGCUAAUUCAGAAGCCAAAAGAUGGCACGAUAAUGACUCGUCAGUUGAUUCAGCUGCUAUAAAUCAGCAACCACGUCAUCUGAGGGAGAUGAACUACUAAUCAUGCCAUUAUUAGGAGGUGACGCGAGAGCUGAAUUAGCCAUCACUUUGUCCUGCUGUCCGAAAAUUAAUAUGCCGUCCAACAAAGUAAACAAAAUUUAAAAUUUGUUGCCUCAAUUGAAACAAAUAGAAGCUCGGUGAUUAAAGUGAAACUUCACCAUAAGUCCAUUGACCACUUCCAAAUUAAAAGCGCCCAUAACCACGUAACAAAAUAUUCCAUCAGAUUACAAAAUAUUGCAUCACAAAGUAUUCAGUAGUGAAAUCAAAACCUUUAAAGCUCAGGUACAUAACUACAUAUUCAAAGAUCAGAACAUGCUAUAAGAUUGAGCAUCAAAAUCAAAACUUUUUAAAUUCCAAUACAAAUUGCAACGUGCUUACUCGCCACUGCAAGAGGCUCUCGCGAAAGAAGGAGGACCCGCUCGAGGGCUCCAAUUUUACGGGCUCCAAGCUGCGGAACACAUCGAUGUCGAUCUCCUCCACGCGCUGGUAGAAGCUCUUGAACUACAAUUCGAUCACAAAAACCACAAGAAGCAGGAGAUUAGAAGCCGCAUCCGAAUCGAUCGUAGAAGGGGGAAAUUAGGGUUUGCUGAGGAGCUUACGACGAAGCGCUUCCCCCCGGUGGAUGUGUUGAGGCACUUCACCGCGUGCGACUGUGCGGUCGCCAUGAGAGAGAGAGAGAGAGAGGGAGAGAGAGAGAGAGCUCGGGGUGUUUGGGCGAAAGAGGGGUCGCGGGAGGAGAAAGAAGAAGAAGAAGGGUUUAAUAAGGGUUUUGAUGCGGUAGCUUUUAGCCGAUCUCCACCGUCCGUUGAUGUACUUGGACGGUGGAUCGGUGAUCUCCGCAUGCGACGCGGUUGGGUCGGUUUUUUGCGAUGUUUCACUCCUUAAUGUUCGCGUUAAACGGUUAGAUUGGCUUGGAUCCGAGAUGAUUUCGGGUUGAACUCGACCCAACUUUUAACGGGCCCGGUCCAAGUUUCUGGACAAUAUUCCAAUCUUUUCAUUUAAUUAAAAACUCAAAAAAAUAAAAAAUAAAAAUAAAAAUAAAAAAGAGUAAAAGUCUAGCAUAUAAUUAUAUUUAUGUUAAAAAAAAACACGAAUUAUUAUUUAGGACAUAAUAGGCAAAUCAAAUCAACCUUUUAUUUACAAAAUAAAUUUUAUCAAAUUAAAUGCAUCUAUCUGUGGAUGUAGUGGGCUAAGGCCCGUGCCCCAACUUGGCCCAAUUUGGUCCAAUCCUAGUCCAGGAAACUUGGGCCCAACAUUUAUUAUUGCCUACACCUGGUGCAACAAACCAGCCCGUGCACCAUUUUUAAUCCCGGCCGUCCAUUCACUCUCACAUUUGCAAUCCAACCAUCGAACUUAUCCUGAUCUUCAAAUUCCAGAAAGGUCUAGUGUGACAGAAAAGAGAGAGAAAUUAUCACCCACAUCGAUGGAGCACAUCAGCCAUCGGAUCAUUGGCUCUUACCAUUAAUCUCAAAAGUUUACACGGUUAGAAAUAUACGACCAAUUCACUUAUAGUGUAUGGGCGCAACACCUACUGGUCUCGAUUGUGAGUCGGCCCAACCAAUCUUAUGCCACUUUGACCAUGGCUCGACCCAACCAGACUUCACGCAAUUUCGAACGUAACCCGAUCUAGUCUGGCCUCCAACCACAGAGUAGAAUGCUGGUCCAUUUAAACCAACAAAUCACAGUCGGCAAUGCACCAUGCUUGCACUUUUCUUUCGGUCGACUCUCAUAAUCUCCGUGCACGGUGCAACUGUCGAAGUCAAAAUUACUUUCUACCUAUCACAUUUUCUUAAAACUUUUAGCAGUCGAGAUGGGGGCUGCGGUGCACAACUGACGUGGUGCGCGCAUAGAUGAUUCUCUAGUCCAAAGUCGAACUCUGGCCGCCGCCGAGCAGAGAAAAUCUCUUUCUUCCUUUUAAUUUUGAAACUUACUUGGUCAGACACGAAUCAAUUCGCGAAUCAUAGAUUUGGUUCGAGCUGGGGUGUGGUUACUAGAACUAAAAAACUUGAGCCUGAUUUUGUUAAAUAUAAAAAUGUUUAAACGUCGUUCUCUAAAAAUUUAAGCUUUUAGAGCACAACAGUUGUUUCAUAUGGUAUCAGAGCAGAAGGUUCUGAGUUCGAGUCAUUCAAGCCCACGUCAUGAGCCGACUAAAAAGUCUCGAGCCCGGACAUUUAAACACCGUUCUCUAAAAGAUUAAGCUUUUAGAGCACAACCGUUGUUUCACAGAUUUUGGCCAGGCCUGUUUACACGCCACCUUCAUCAGAGCUGGGUGUUUGUUCGUUUUAUAAUCUACGCAAUAGUUUAUGUUUUGAGCUCACGCAUGGUUUUGAAUGUACCUAGCAAAAUACGACGUGUACAAAACCAACUCAAUUCAUUUGUCAUCUUUUUUAUGUUUUAUGUCAAUGUCAAUGUCAAUGUUAAUGUUACUUCAUUAGAAAUAAACAUCGAUACCGACCGUUCCUAGAGCAAGUGGCAAAGGACUUGGUGGUUGGUACCAGAGACCCAAGUUCGAAUUCUAGUUGAUUCACAUUUCCAGCUAAGUUUAUUUCUAAAUGAAAUAAACAAAGUUGAUAGCGACCUAUCUCUCUCAAAAAAAAAAGAAGAAAUAAACAUUGAUCCUACUAUUUAGUUUCACGAUGCAACAACAAAGAAAAAAAAAAGAAAAGACAAGGAAAAAGAAGAAAAAAAAAAGAACCAGAGUAGAAAACGUUCUUGUGAAUUAAGUGGUAUUAGCAUUAGAGUUACUUGUAACUGAAAGCAAAAGCAGAAACAAGGCCGAACAGUUUUGAAUUUAUUACAAGCAUUAUUUAUUUCUUUAGAUUUUUGUUAAAGUUGUUUUUAAAUAUAUAUUAAAUUACAAAAUAAUGUGGACAAUUUGGCGUUAGAGUUUUUAUAAAAACGUGAGUCAACCAAACUGGAUAGAAAAUCUAGCUGAACUCCACAAAUUUUACAGUCGGCGUAGAAAAUUUUUAAAAAGUCAUAACUUUUCGCUCCAAUAUCCGUUUUCAGCAUACAACCCAAUUUGAAAAACACCUUUUCAGAUCCACGUGUUGAAAAAUAAAGCCAUUCUACCCAAAUUUGGGAUUCAAAUUCAACUGUGUAGUCCUCCAUUUUUUACAUUUUUAGGUUACUUUUGGAAAUUUUCAUAUUUUUUUUAUUUUUAGUUCAAUUAUUUAAUUAUUUCUUAUCAAUUUAGAUUUACAGAUACAUUAGAAUUUAUUACCUUCAAUUUUAGUAGAACUGGGUACCGAUCAUAUAUAUAUAUAUAUAUAAAUACACGAUGUUCAGUUAAUAUAAUCAACUUUUAGAGUUUAUUAACAGCAUUUUCGUCUUUGUCAAAAAAUAUAUUGUUUUUUGUGUAUCUAUCUUUUUAUUCUCGGCUUCUCCUCUUUCAAUGUGAAUUACGCCUGCGUCGCAAAAGAACUUCAAAAGAUGGUUGAGUAUUGCUUUUAAAAGCUUUUCUAAGAGAACAUAUAAAAUGAUAUUAUCAAUAGCAGGAAAAAGUUUAAAAUUAUUCAAAAAAUUGUAUUUGGAAUAUAAAUUUAUUUAAAAUAUAUAUAAAUAAAAUGUUUUGUAAAAUAAAGAUAUGAAAGCGGGGAUAGCUCAGUUGGGAGAGCGUCAGACUGAAGAUCUGAAGGUCGCGUGUUCGAUCCACGCUCACCGCAAAAAAUGUUUAAAAUUUUAAUUUUUUUUCCUUAAUAGAUUUUGCAGGAAAUGUUAAAGUAAUUUGUAGAUUUAUUCCAAAACAUUUAGGUAGCAAAAUUAUUUUAAAUCUUUCGAAAUUAUUUUAAGUUUUCUUUGAAUAAUUUGUGAAUUUUUUAAAUACUUUUCUCCAAAACUUUAGGCAGGAAAAAUAAAGUUAACUUGUAGAUUUAUUUCAAAACAUUUAGAUAGAAAAACUUUUUUUUUUUGACUAAUUGCUGAAUUUUUAAACUAUAUUUUUCCCCGAUACUUGAAACUAUUAAAGGUAAUUUGUAGAAAAGUAUUUAAAAAAUUCACAAAUUGGAAAUAAAUCUACAAAUAACAUUAGUAUUUCCUGCAUAAAAUGAUGUUACCUUCUAUAGUGAAGAAGUAUUAGGGAAAAACUUUUUUUUUUUGACUAAUUGCUGAAUUUUUAAACUAUAUUUUUCCCCGAUACUUGAAACUAUUAAAGGUAAUUUGUAGAUUUAUUUCAAACAUUAAGGUAGCAAGAUUAAUUUAAUUCUUUUGUAGAAUAGUUUCUAAAUUUUUAAAAUAUUUUUUCCCUAAUACUUCUUCACUAUAGAAGGUAACAUCAUUUUAUGCAGGAAAUACUAAUGUUAUUUGUAGAUUUAUUUCCAAAUAGAAAUUGUUUUAUCUGUUUUUUUUUUUUAUUUGGGUGUUUCUCAUGUUAUUUAUUCUUGCUACGCACUUGUGGUGUUAUGUUCUUUUCCGCAUGAAAUGAUUUUUUCUAAAUUAUAUAUUUUUUUGACUUGUUUCUCUAAUUUUUGAAUGUAUUUUCUUCCUAGUUACCGUUAAAAAGAGAUUAAUUUAGAAUAGGAAGAAAAAUAGAAUGUUAGCUUUGAAGGGCGUGUUUGUUUCGUUGGAUCUUCGGUGCAGAAGUUCCUUACCUUGCUGCAUCGUGAGACGAAAAUAUUUAGAGGAAACUGGGGAAGAGCAAUUGGAUUCGUACGAUCUAUGAGUACCUGUCCCGACUUCGUGUACUACGUGGGAGGCAACUUCAUUCCCUACCACGGUGAAGUUAUAUAAGAUCGGAUAUAUGGCAGGAACUCGCAACUUCUGACCUCUUCCAUUCCAAGCAAAACAAACACGCCCUAAGCGUGACCAAAUGCUUCGUUAAUCUAAAAAUUUUAUUUAUAUAUAGAAAAUAAAAAUUCUAGAACUUUCCAUCACAUAAUAGCAUCUUCUACUAUUUUUUUUUUCACUAAAAGAAAUAUCAUUAAAAAUACUCUAAAAUUAGAUAGUAAAACUACAAAUUUCAAAGCACUCAUUUUAAAGUACAACAUUACUCACGCAGAGUAAGUUAAAGUUAGAUACAUUUUUACCUUCACAUAAUAUAAGGCAUUUUUAUACCCAUAUAUAUAUAUAUAUAUACACACACACACUUGUAUAUGUGUAUAUGCAUACAUGUAUUCAUCAUCUAUUCCUCAUUAUUUGUAUUAUUAAUUUAAAGUUUAGAAAAGGUUGUUCAAUUAAAUUAGUAGAAUAUAUAAAAAUUGUUUCCGAAGUUCGAGAUUAAACGACCAAAAUAACCAUAACCAAGUACAAUUAAUCCAAAAAUCCAUGUAAAGUGUACUAAAAAACCAUACUAAUAUAUUCCAAACAAUUUUGACCAAGUUGACCCAUUGAGACCUACAAAAUUACCUCGGGGUAAUUACCAUUUAAUCCUCCACACAACCUUUAAAAGAGUAAAUUUCUUAAGGUCAAUGCACUUUUACUAUAGUAAAAUAAGAAAGUAAUUUAAGUGAUCCAAACUUUAUAUUUUCGCUUAUAAGCCGUCUCUCAAAUUCGCUUACAUCGCGACAAUUCUAUAGAAACCUAUAAUCAGCGAGUCAAAUAUUUGAUUUGAUUGAGAUUUUGUUGUUCAUAGUCGAGAAAGUUGAGCCAAACAAGUUCACGAACAAUUUACAUCAGAGAGAAAUUUUUUUUCUAUAUUUGGCCGUCAGGCUUAUACUGUUUUUCUCUUAUAGCUUUAGUUGAUAACCAGCAUUUUUUAUCGUCUUUCGAUGACACGGACAAAAAUAAUAAUUAAGAACAUUUAAAUAAAUCACGAGAUGGUGAGCCCCACAUAUUGGAUGAUCAGAUUCUUAUUAUGUAUAAGCGACAAAAAAGAUUAUAGGACCACAUUAGCUUUGUUGAUUCACCCAACCAAAAAAAAGGGAAAAAGAAAAAAAAAAAAAGAAAAAAAAAAAGAGCCUUGUACAUGGACUCAUAUUUUCUAGGAGACAAACUCCUCAAAAACAAACACUAAUCAUGAACUAAUCACGUGAUUACUACUCUGAGCCCCAGUGGUUCCACUUCUAAGUUAUAUUAAAAUAUGAACUGGCUAGCUACUACACUAUCGGUAUCACUGAGACCUCCGCAUUAUCAAAUUACUUUUAAUGAUGUGACUUUCGAAUCAACGAUCGGCUAUGUUAAACUUAAUAUACACUUUUCAAACUAUUUGAAAAUUAAAUUUUAUAAUUUUUCGACAAUAUUUAGCUAGUGAUCAAAAGGUCUCAAAAUUGAUUAUUUUAAUGGUCGAUGUUAUGCGUUUGUAAACUUAACAGUGUAAAACAAUCUAAAUCUGAUGAAAUUUUAAUAAAAAAUUCUUUUCGCUAUUUAGAGUAAGUUUAAUUCCUCUGAUUUUAAAUUCAACUCUUUUGUCAUUAUUUUUUAUAAAAUUUUUAUUUUGAAUCAUUCAUUUUAGACGAUUCGUUUGAUAGGUAAAUAAUGUCAAAAAAUUACAAAAUUUAGUUUGCAAAUACUUUUAAUAGUGUAGAUCAAGUCUAACAGAGCAGAUCGUCGACUUGAAAGCCGCAUUAUUGAAAACAACUCAGUUGCCGAUAGUACAGCAGCCGAUCUCUUUAAUUAUUUAUCAUAGUGGAAAGAGUAGUGUCAUAUAAAUUUUACACUUUUUUAUUCAAUGGCCUAUAUUGGUCUUUUGUCUUAUCAAAGUUAUUAUAUAUUAUUACUUUCAAAUACUAAAACUUUAAAAAAUUUUCAAAAGUAAAAUAUUAUAGUCAUCCGUAAAUUUCAUUAAAAAUCGAAUAUUAUAUCAACUAUAAGAAUUAAAAUCAGUAUUUCUAGUAAUUAAAGCCAUUAGAUGGUUAAUAACAAAUUCUAAUUAAUCAUAGUAAUUGGAAAUAAAAACGAUUUAAUGUACCCAAAAAAAAAAAGAAAAACAAACAAUUGGGGACUAGAGUACCAAUUUAGAAUAAUCUAUAGUGUAGGGGUCUCCAUGCAUUUUAAACGAUGGAAAAAUAUUCCUAAUGAUUAAUUGACCAAAGUUAUGGCGCCAUGGCAAAAGCAUACGAAAAAUGCGAUGUUCCCUCGCAUUUGUCACACCAUUUUUACACACAUUAUGCAAUCAUUUACCAUGUGGGGGACACUCUCAAAACCGAAGCACAACAAGUUGCCUCUUUUUUCCUUUUUUUUUCCUUAAAUUAUUAUUGUUAUUAUUCUUUUUUCUCUAUCACUUUUUCACCUUUUUAGAAAACAAUGUAAUUAAUCCACACCCGGUCAACUACAUCCCAAAGUCAUAGAUCUCUAUUAAAAAAAAAAAAAAAAAAAAACCAACAACUCUACUAUGUAUUAAAGAAUAAAAAAGUCUCUCUCUCUCUCUCUCUCUCUCUAUAUAUAUAUAUAUAAAGAAAAACUUCAAAUACUCCCUGUGGUUUCGCACUUUUUCACUUUAGUAUCCUAUGGUUUAAUAUUUCGUUAAAUUAUAUAUCCCGAAAUGGAUAAUAAAAAGAGAAAAUUGAAGCCACAGAGUACUAACUUGAUACAAAAAUAAAAUCACAGAGUACUAACUUGAUACACUUGAAAUCACAGGAUAUUAAAGUGAGAAAGUGCGAAACCACAUGGGAGGUAUUUGAAGUUUUCCCAUAUAUAAAAUGAGGAACAUAACUAUCUCACAAUGUAAUUAAUUUAGAUUAUUUAAAUGUUAAUGUGUUGCUGAAGUGGAAGUGUGGAACUAAUAUGGUAUUUUAAUUGUUAUCGCGUCAUUAAUCGUAAUACUAUUAUAUCACAUUUAUAUUGGAUUAAUGUAGCAUUUAAUUGCAAUAAUUCUACAAGUUUGAGUCGAAAAUAGUCAUUAAUUUAGGUUUGAGAACCAAAAGACAUAUUAAGUUUAAGUCGUGCUAGUCUAUUAUCAGCAGUAAACGGCUCGAUUUACUACCGAUUUAUUUUUUCAAUAUAGAGUUUCUAAAUCAAUGAUUCAUACCGUUGAAUAUGAUUUAGACAUUCAAAAUAUCUGAAAAUUAAAUUUCAUGCAUUUUCUAUAUUGUUUACUUGUGCAUUAAGUGGAUAAAAUGUGAAUGACUGAGAAUAAAUAUUCUUCAAAAUGUGAUGAUAUAAUUUUUAUAUUCAAAAUUUAGAAUCUAGAUCUUAUUUUAAAUAUUUUUUUUAAAAAAAACGAGCAAACGCACCGUAUCUGCCAUUCAAAUUGCAAAUUUUGUGACCAUUUAAUCAUUCAGUUAGUAAUAUCGAAAAAACACAAAAUUUAAUUCCUAAAUAAUUUAAAUGAUCUAAAUUAUAUUCAACUGUGUCGAUUAUUAAUUUUUGAAAAUUUUAUCAUUGAAAAUAAAUCGAUAGUAACCACAAUGAAUUUAUAUACGCGCCUCUCUCUCUCUCUCUCUCUCUCUCUCUCUCUCUCUCUCUCUGUUCACGUGAUUUAGGCCCCUCCGCACGCAGCAGGUGGGAACCAUAAUUUCGCGCUGUUUUUCAUUCUCUCUUUCUACAAAAGAUGUGGGGACGUGGACAUGUGUGUGUAGUAAACACAAGUAGAAAAGAGGUUGCCAAAGAUCACGGCUCCAUCGUGAGGGUGGCGUGGGUCCCACCUGUCGCCCGGAUCUGCUCACCAUCUGUACCCGUUGCUGAUAUAUUGACAUGCUGAUAUCUAACAUAUAAUUUGAUAUUACCGACCGUCCCUACAGCAAGUGACAAAGGGCUUGAUGGUUGGUACUCGAGACCCAAGUUCGAAUCCCAGUUGAUUCACAUUUCUAGCUAAGUUUAUUUCUAAAUAAAAUAAACGAAGCGGGUAGCGUGCUAUCUAUCUCUCUCUCGAAAAAAAAAAACAUAUAAUUUGAUAUUUACGGUAUAUAUCAACUUAUCAGCUGACAUAAAGGAUAUAAUUACUAACCUAUCUGAAACGUAUUCUUAUAAACUGUAAUAUUGUAAAUUGCAAUUGUCAGAUGCAUCACCUAAUACUGUAUAAACGUAUUUGAAUAUAGGAUUAAUUUCAUACAGAUCCCUGCAGAUAUAGUACGUGAAUGAUAAAUAUAUUUUUAUAAAGUUCAACUUUUAUAUAUUGUCUCUAUAAAAAUCCUGAUAUUUUCAAAUAUGUCCCCACAUCUAUAAAUUUGAAUAUAUUGUUUAUCUUUUAAUGUCUUGUUAAGAUACUUCAUAUUAUUUUCGCAACUAUAAAUUUAUUAAAGUAAUAAUUAACUUAAAUUUUAAAAUUAAAAUAUUAUUAACUGAUUCAAAUCAAAUACAUUAAAAGAUUAAAUCGUGAAAAUUAAGAUUUUGAAUAGCUGAAUAAUCAAUCUAAAAUGGUUCACAGAUCAAAUAAGUUCUGUACGUUUUUUUUCAUGUGUAUAAAAAAUAAUCUCCUUUGCAAUGAGAUCUUGUUAAGCUCACCUGGAGAGUGAGCAGAUCCCAGCAGAAAAGCAAAUUCCCGCUUCUGGGGUGAGCAGCUGCUGCUGCUGCUGCUGCUGGAAGCUGUAAAUGGCUUGUAGUGAGAAGAAGCAGGCAUUGAAUUAAUUAAUUGAUUAAUUAUUUAAUAAAUGCUCAGAUAUAUAUGACUUGGGAUAGAACACUAUUAAUAGUAUUUGCUCCGUUUUGCCAUCAAAUUUUUAGUUUUGGAUAAAUUCAUUUGAUCAUUUCUAACCAUUGGAUUAAAUAUUAUAACCUAGUGGGGACCAAUCAACUCUAGGAGAACCACUCGACUCUAAACGACUAAUAUCAUCCUAACCCUAUAAUUUCUAAGCCAAGAGUUAAAAACUUGUUAGCAAGCCAAAAUGGACCAAAUACUAUCAAUAGUAUUUCAUCCCAAUUAUAUAUAUAUAUAUAUAUAGAGAGAGAGAGAGAGAGAGAGAGAGAGAGAGAGAGAGAGAGAGAGAGAGAGAGAGAGACAGAGAGUCUGGCUACUAUACUCUUAUGAGUAUAGGCUCCUUUAUACUCAUAAAUUUUCGGUCAUUAGAUCUAUUGCUUUGACCAUUUUCAUCCGUUAGAUUAUACUAUUCAAUCAACCACCCAUUCAACCCUAAAGGACCACUAUUAACCUAACUUAAGACCACUGUAAUCCUAACAACACAUCUCUUCAUCCAACGGUCGAAAAUUUUAGAGUACAAAGAGGCCUAUACUUAUAAAAGUAUAGUAGCCCUAACAUAUAUAUAUAUAUAUAUAUAGAGAGAGAGAGAGAGAGAUCGGUUGGGCUAGAAUACUAUUGAUAGCAAAAAGCCUUUUUUGCUAUCAAGUUUUUAGCCUUUGGAUUAAUUUCAUUCAUCAUUUCUAACCAUUAGAUUAAAUAUUAUAACCCAGUGAAAACCACUCAAAUAUAUAUAUAUAUAUAUAUAUAUAUAGUGUUAAUUUUAUACAGGUCUCUGAAUUAUAAAUAUAUUCCUAUAAAAUUCAACUUUCAUAUGUCGUCCUUACAAAAGUUCUAAUAUUUUCCAAUACGUCCCUUUAGUAUAUUACUGUUAAAAUACUAUUUAUUUAAUAAGUGAAAUUACUUUUUUGCCAUCACAAAUAUAUCCCUUCAAAAAUCUAAAUUAUUAAUUAAAGAGGAAUAAAAAGAUUAAUUCAUCAUAUUAACUAACUAGGAUUAAGUAUUUUACCUAUGAUUAACUAAUUUUUUCUAACAAAUACUAACGGUAAAAAUAUAUUUAAAAAUAUCAUGAUUUUUACAGAGACAACAUAUGAAAGUUGAACUUUGUAGGAAUGUAUUUGUAAUUUACUAUGUUUGUAGGGACUUGUAUGAAAUUAAUCCAUAUUUGUAUAUGUAGUGAAUGUAAAAUGUAAAUGGGGAAGAGGUUAAAAAAAGAAAGAGAAGAGAAGAGAACAAAUGUUCAGAGUUAAAAAAGAGAUGGAUUCUCUGCAGGGUUAGGGCUUAGACAAAUAGAAGGGAAGGGAAUGUUGCUUUCCUAGAAAUACUCACAAACAUGGUUUUUUUUAAAAAAUGGGAAAAAAAAUAAUGUAUGGAGAAGAAAUUUCUAGGAAAUAGCAGGACAAAAAGGACAUCUCUUUGCUACGCGAGCGCCACGUGACAUUUUUAAGUUGAAUACGAUGAUCGAAUCAUCGUGUUUAAACACGGUAAUUAAAUCACCGUAUUUAUAUCCAUAUUCUAUUUCUUUUUAUUUAACUUACAGGCAAUAAAAAAUUAUAAAAAUAAAUGCAGUGGCCAAUUACUGUGUUUAAAUAUGGUGUUCCAAUUAACAUAUUCAAUUUAAAAACUCCAUCUUACCGCUCAUGUAGCAAAAAAAAAAGGCUAUUUAUGUAAAUAUAAAUUUGUUAGGACUAUAUGUAAAGAAAAAAUUGAAGGGGUUAUGAAAUAAGAGCCUAUCACAUCUUUAAAUAUCUAAUUUUAUUAUAUAAUUUUUUUAUUUAUUUAAUUUGAGCCAAUUAAUGAUUCUUUAACUUCAUUUAGUUCUGUUGAUUUAGUUAGUAUAUUUUAUGUAAUUUAUAUAACUAUUAAUUUAUGAAAAGAGAUAAUUAACUAAAAUUUUGUAUAUAAAGAGCCAUCAAAAUAUUUAAAUUGAAUAAAUUAAAAGGUUGGGUAUUAAAAUUGAAAUUUUAAAGGUAGGAUAGUUGAAUGAAAAUAAUUUAUAGUUUAUGAUAAAUUUUAUAUAUUUUUACCUUCUCUUGUUACAUAAAUUACAUAAAUGUCCAUGAUUUGGAUAGAGAAAUAAUUGAAAUUCGUAGUUAUUUGCUUUUUGUGACUUAUUUUUAGAAAAAGGUAGUGAAAAAAUUAGCAUGCUAUUUUCCACUUUAUUUAUAUUUAUAUUUAUUUUUAUAUAAAUAAAUUUAAUUGAAAAUACGAAAUAACUAAAUUUCCAAAUUGGGACAUGAGAUACCAACUAUCAAUUUUUUUUACCACUUGCGCUAAGAACGGUCAUUGUUUUUUGCGACUUUAGUUUUAAUUUUUUCUGUAAAAGAUUAUACUUAGGUUCGAUUCUUACUCCUUAGACAUGAAAUUUUUUUCUCUCCAAGAAAAUGUAUCCGAAUACAUUUAAAAUGAUUCAUACAUAUAAGUAAGAUUUCUUAUACUUCAGCUAUAGAGACUUUCAUAUACGUUGUGCUAUGUAUACGAUCUGAUAUCGCACUUUCUGUGAUUGUCACAAACAGAUCUCAAUCUAAUCAUACUCUCUCUCUCUCUCUCUCUCUCUCUAUAUAUAUAUAUAUAUUAGGAAAAACUUCAAAUACCAUCACUAUGGUUUCGCACUUUCUCAUUUUAGUAUCCUAUAGUUUAAAAUGUAUCACCUUUAUAUCCUGUGAUUUUAUUUUUCUCAUUUUGUUAUAUCCUUUACUAAUUUUUUUUCGUUAAAUCAGCGACAAUGUUAAAACUAAAAGAUAUUAAAGUAAAUAUUCCAUAAACGGAGGGGCCGAUGAAAAGAGAAAAAUGAAACCACAGGUACUAAAUUAACACACUUUAAACCACAAAAUACUAAAAUGAGAAAAGAGGAAACCGCAAGAGUGGUGUUUAAAGUUUACUCUAUAUUUAUUAUAUAUUAUUACUAACUCACCCACUCUGCCGAUUCCUCGUCGUUUUUCUCAUCCCGCGGCGCGGAGCGGAGCGUCACUUACGGGGUGCGUUAAACUAUUAACGUGGCAAUUUACAGUGAUCCCCCUUACGCAUUAGUAGUUUUGAAACACAACCUUAACACUUUUUUUUUUUUUUUUUGGCUCGUGUGGUCUAGCUCAUUUUACUUUACAAUUUUGUAACUUAAAAAAUUACACUUAACUACUCAUGUGGUCUAGCUUAAUUUACUUUACAAUUUUGUGACUUGAAAAGUUACACUUAACUACUCUAUGUUUAACUUUUUUUUACUGAAAAAAACUAUUGUCAAAUUAAAAAUUAUAAAAUAAUACUAAUAUUUAACAAUAGAUUUUACAAUAAAAUAGCAGAAUAAUUAAGUGUAAGUUCUCGAGGCAUAGUUUAAUAUAAUAUUUUCAUCUAUAGAAUGAUAAAAUAAAAAUACGCUGUACUAUAGAAGAAAAAUUACAGCUUACCAUUUUUUUAAUAAUUACUAACUAAUCUCGUGAUUAAUAUAUAAUUAACUGACAAUAAUCGAGGAGUAUCUUCUACUCAGUUUAAAAAAAAGCAACUCUAAUCUCAAAUCCAAAAAAUUAAAGAAAGAAAUUUUAAUUAUCAUUUCAAUACCUCAAACUUUUGAGUUUGUAACUUAGUUAGAUUACUAAAUUCAAAAUAGUAUAUAAUUGGGGGGUGUCCGUGCAUAAUUACCAUCACUAUUUUAACGGAAAAAGGUCCGUUACGAUGGGAGUGGUUGUAACUUGUAAAUAUAAGAGAACUAAAGAAGCGGAGUGAAAAAAGGGGUAAUUAAAAAAAAAGGAAAAAAGAAAAAAAAAAAGGAAAUCGAGUUCCCGCCUCUGCGCUCUUCUUGAAUCGUCCAAAGAGUGAGAGAGUGUAGAAAGGGACGAGGAGAGAGAGAGAGGGAGAGAGAGAGAGAGAGAUGGAGAGGAGAGAGAGGGGGGAGUAGAGAGAGAGAGAGAGAGAGAGAGAGAGAGUGAGAGAGAGAGAGGGAGAUGUGGGGGAGCUCCGGGAGCUUUGGGGGCGAUCGCGGCGGAGAUGGACACCCCCGAGCGGAGCACGGUCGGAGCGGCGGCGAUCUCCAAGUUCGAGGUGAUUCAUCUCUGGUUUCUUGGGGUUUAUCCCGAAUUUGAGCGAUUUUGGAGGGUUUUGGUGUUUUGGUCGUGAUUUGGAAUAGGUGAAGGGGUUUCGGGGGUUUCUGGGGGGGUUUGGAUGAGGGUUAGGGCGUGAAUUUGUCGGAGCCGCUUUGAUCUCCGAGUUUGAGGUGAUAUGUCCCUCGUUUCUUGAGUUUUAUCUGGAAAUUAGGCGAUUUUUUAAGGGUUUUGAUGUUUUUGGUUGUGAUCUGAAGUGUGGUGAAGGGGUUUCGAGGGGUGUGGUGGUGGUUUGGGGAUUGAAUUCGUCGGAGCUGCGUCGAUCUCUAAGUUCGAGCUCAUCUAUCCCCUGUUUCUUUGGUUUUAUCUCGAAUUUGGGCGAUUUUUUAAGGGUUUUGAUGUUUUUGACUGCGAUCUGGUUUGUAGUGGAGGGGUUUUGGGGGGUUCGCGUUGGAGGGGGUUGGGUUCAGAGGACGACCGGGGCUUGAAUUUUUCGAAACUGUGGCGAUCUCCUAGUUUGGGGUGAUUUAUGCCUUGUUUCUUGGGCUUUAUUGAGAAUUUAGGCGAUUUUUUUAAGGGUUUUGUUUUUUUUGGUUGUGAUUUUGGCGUGAGGCAGGGCUUUCAGGGUUUUGGGAGUUUAGAGGAGGAUUAGGGCUUGAAUUCGUCGGAUCGUGUACAAUUUUUGGGGAUCAGAAGAUCUUCUUGUAGAAUUUGUGCUGAAUCUUUAACUUGUGUUCAAUCUCUUGGUCUCUGGCUCUUUAGCCGGUUUUUACAGUUAUUUUCAUGAAAAAGGUUGGUUUUUCUUUUCGGUAGGGUAAGGUUUUGCUACCGAUAACAGUGGGAUUAUAAUCCUGUUUUGGGAAAUCUUAGUGUUUUCUCAUGUGUAUUCUCAGACAAGCUAAUUUCAGCGAAUUUUGUUGGUGAUCUUUGUUUUCUCUUUGGAUCAGUUGCUUACUGUUUCAUCGAUCUAUUGGAUCUAUUAGAUAACAUGGUAUCAUAGCCGGUCCUAUGCCCUUUUAGUUUCAAGAUGUCAUAGGUUCAUUUCCCACAUCUUCCAUUAUUGGGAUGAUUCCAGUUUGUUAUUCUGGUACCUCCUUUUUUUCGGUGCUGGGGCAUGGUUAUCCCGAUUCAUGUAAUCAGGGGGUGUUAAGAUUAUUCUUAGGCUUUUCCCUAUCAGAUCGAUCUGCUAGGUAACAAUUUUUGCCCCUAAGGCAUGAUUUGACCAAGAAUAGAAUCUAUGCCGAUCCAUAGUAUGCUACUACUCUAUCUUCAAGAUCCUCUCAAUUUUCUUGUGAAUCUGGUAAUUAAUACCAUGGUGAUGGAAAUUUAGUGGCUUAAUAGCAGGAAUGCGAGAUUUGACUUUAAUAAUUUAUAAUUUUAUCAUGUAGGGUAAUUUUGUCUGAUAGUUUGCUAAUUCGCCCAAUGUUGGAUUUUGAAGCACUGCUGUUAGUCAACUAUUCAGUUUUUGCUUGAUUUUGUCUUGCUGUCAGUCAAAAGUCUUUAAACAAAUCUUACUCAGAGACAAUAUUUUGUGUGUUUCCUGGUGUCUAUGGAGUUGAACGAGUGACAAGUUUCAGGCCUUACAUUUUAUCAGGACAUAUAAUUCUCCUUUGCAUUAGAUACAAAUUGUGGAUCCAGUCAUUAAAUGUGUGUGGAAAUGUGUGCUAAAAUCGAUUCUUCAUGGAUUUUGUAUUCAUUUCUUUGAAAUUCCUAAUUUAAUUUUUUUUUUAAAAACCAUAAGAGUUCAUUGUGUUUUGAGGAAAGAUAGAAUUUACUGUUAAGUGCUUAUUUCUUGUCUAACAUAGUCUAAUUUAGAUAGAAUAUACAUAAUAAUGUACAUUAAUUUUCGGUUGGAUAAUGAUCAACUUCAUUGUGCAUGAUAUGUAGCUGGUGUGCGUAAGAAACUGUUUUUUGCCAUUGCAGGAUUCUCCAGUCUUCAACUUCAUCAAUAGUUUAUCUCCUAUCCAGAUGGUUAAAUCAAUAGAUUCAGUACAGAGCAUACAAGCUUACCAAUCUUUGAAUUUUGCAUCUAUUCCCUCCAUCUUUACUUCACCACAUGCCAAUACCCAAAAAGACUCUAAAUUGUCAGCAAGGUAACUUUUGACUCGCUUCUUCUUGGUUCUAACAUUGGUGAUUUAGCUCACUUUGCUCUUCAUCCUACCAGGAAUCCUUUUAAAGAACUUUCGGAACAAGAGACUAGUAGUGUAACAUGUUUACUUAAUGAAGCGUUAGUUGAUCCUCCUGAUGACUCGUCAAUUGUGCCUACCAAUUUGCCUCAGCCUUUGCAAUUUGAUGGUGGCAGUCCAAAUCAUAGUACUACACCUCGCCAUGGUGCCAAAACAGAUCACGUACAAAGCAAUCUUAACCUUUUUCAAAGUAGUCUUGACAAAAGAAAGAGCUUAUUUGCCCCUGAAAGGGAGAUCGGGGAAAAUCAUCCAGCCAAUCAAGAGAAUAAUGAAGUGGUAGGAUUGGAUUGGACGAAUUUGAUGUCCGAUAAUGUUGAUGACCUUUUGAUUUAUAACCUUUCAAUUGAAGUGGAUAUUUGCAGAGCUGUGGAUGGAAAGCAAGGGCUCGGUGAUGUUAAUUACAGUGAUUUUUUCUCAUCAAAGUAUGCAGGGGAGAUUAAUGAUUCACAGAAAACACAACCUGAUGUGCUUUCUGCUCCUUGUGUCCAAAAUGUUACUGAGAAUCCUCAUGUGCUUUGUGAUGAAAUGUUUGGAAAGGAAGAUGAUAUGGAUCAUACCCCAGAAAUUCUCUCCGGUGGUCCUAACCAGGUUGUUCCAAUUGAUCACAUCCAGGAGAAUUUGAAUGAAGCCAGCGAUUGUAUUCCAUUAGGCUACAAGGUAUAUCACUUACAUCCAUGCAUACUUUGUUCUAAAUUAACAUAAUUAUACGUAGGGGCCUUACUACCACUUUAAUAAAAUGUUUAUGUUGCCAAAUCAUGCGACUAAUCUGACAGCUAUCUUUAGGUUGAUUCCCAACAACAACGUGGCAUGCGGAGGCGCUGUUUGGUUUUUGAAGCAGCUGGGCUUUCGAAGAAGAACACAGGCAAUGUGAAACCUCGUUCUGCAAUCUCAAUAACAUCCAAGGGCAAAAUGGCUUCUUAUGAUAGCCACUUAAAUCCUCUGAAAACUCCAUCACCACGUGUCUUACCUGGUAUUGGUUUACAUUUGAAUGCUCUUGCAACAACUUCAAAAGAUAGAAUGGUCACACAGGAUACUUUAGCUUCUGGAAAACAACUAAUAAGCAUGCCAUGCACUAUUGGUUCCUUUGUUUCAACUGGGCAGAAAACAGAAAGUAAGUCUCAGCCUGUUGCAAAGGAUUUUGUUCAUACUGGUAGUGAAUUUCAAGAGCCUCAAGUUAUGAACAAUGAGACUUCACCGCCAACUGUGCUCGAAAAUGCUGAGGAGUCCAGCCCCAAGAAGAAGAGGUAUACAUUUUGUCCUCAUGGAAUGCUGAAUAUAAUUUUCAGAUGUCUGGUUCGGGUCUCGUUGCCUUCAGUUUAUAGCUAACAGGUAAUAAUUGUGAACCAGGCGCAAGUUAGAAAAUGGUGAAGGUGAAUCAUGCAAGCGUUGCAGCUGUAAGAAGUCAAAGUGCUUGAAGCUGUAAGUUCUUUUCAUUAUUUCACUCAAUACUGGAUUCCUUAAAUAUAUUGUUCUUUGACCAGUAUAAAUCAAUAGUUGAAAAAGAUUUUUCAAAUUCGGAAGCUGUCAUGUAGAUUGUAGAAUUAUCUUUUCAGACCUUUUUUGGAUAAACGGAUGAAAUUAUAUUUUGCUUUUACAAUGCUGGAACCUGUAAAUUUUUACGUGUUUCCUAUUGUUUGUAAGUAGAUUGAGACACGAUUUAUCGUGCAACGUGUGUGUGUAUGUGUGUGUUUCCCAUUGUUUAUAGGUAGAUUAAGAUAACAUGAUUUAUCUUGCAACAUGUGUGUGUUUGUGUGUGUUGGAUAUUAAUUUAAUGAACUAGGAGCUUAGAAGCAAGGAUUCUCAUUAGACAGUAGCUUCCCCUUUCUUCUGUGACAUGUUGCAGGACAAGAAGAAGCAUAUUUUCCAGCUUUUCCUUGUUAAGACUUGCCAAUUGUAUUAUCUAAACUCGUAAUAACUUGUGUACCUGGUGACCUAAAAAUCGUACGGUAAUAAUAUUUCACAGUUGACACACCCAUAAUUUCAGACUAUUACGUUGAUGUGUUAUUUCCUUUUGUCCGGAAGUCUAUGGCUUCAGCUGAAAUUUUAUACUUUUCAUUAAUGACUUUCAUUUCUUUUCUUCAAGUAUAACUUUAGAUAAUUUCUUGUGUUGUUAGAAAAGCAACUAAUUACUGAUUACGUUUAGCUUUUUUGGAACUUGAUCCAUUUUUCCUACUUAUGUUGUUUAACUAAGUGUUUGCUCGCUUGAAAUGUUUUUCAGCCUUUUUCUUAUUACAUUUGCAUGAUCGCAUCAAUUUGAUUCCUGUGCAGUUAUUGUGAGUGUUUUGCUGCGGGGGUCUACUGUUCGGAACCCUGUGCAUGCCAAGGAUGUUUCAAUAAGCCUAUUCAUGAGGAAACCGUUCUUUCUACUCGCAAGCAGAUAGAAUCUCGUAAUCCACUUGCAUUUGCUCCCAAAGUGAUUCGAACGUCUGAAACUGGUCAGGAAUUAGGGGUAUGAAUACCAAUUGAGAUCUUGCAUUCAUCAAGCUGCUUUAUUUCUCUAACCCUCCCUUUGCCUAUUCUGUUCAUGAACUUUCCAUUUUAUUUUUAUGCAGGAAGUUUCUGACAAGACUCCGGCUUCGGCUCGUCAUAAAAGAGGAUGCAAUUGCAAGAAAUCAAGCUGUCUAAAGAAAUACUGCGAGUGCUAUCAGGUUUUGCUUUGUGACUUGCACAAAUUUUUAUUGGACAUUGUAUGUUGUCUGAUAUUGGCAUCAUUUUCUUGACCAAAGGGAGGUGUUGGAUGCUCCAUCAGCUGCAGAUGCGAGGCUUGUAAGAAUGCUUUUGGAAGAAAAGAUGGUGAGUGCUAAGUUGUAGGAUGGCGUUCUUAAUAAGAAAACCUCUAGAUGUAGCCAUUCCUUAUACCUAGAGUUCUUUCACUUCUACCUACUACAGAGUGAAACUGCGUAUUUGGUUCUUCGUUUAGCCAUGCCACUUGGUAGAGUUGAUUCCUCUCCAAUUCUAUUUUGAGCGAUCUCUUUUCCUAUACCAACAUUGUUUAAGCUUUCUGAUCAGUUUAGAAGGUCAUUUGUUUUUGUUUCUCUCAGUGUCCAAUGCUUUCUGAUCAGUUAUGAAAUUUACAAUUUCAUUUUUGUUUCUCUCAUAACCACAGAAUUUACACCAAACAAGUGGAACAAAGAAAUUAAACUUAUAACUUUGUUGAAGUUCCAUAGCAAUCAUGUGUUAUGAUUGCUGUGUUAAUAGAAUUGCUGCUUAUCUUGCUUAUACAGGUUCAACCCCUGGUGGUGCCGAAGAGAUUGAACACGGAGAGGAAGAAAAAGAUGCCCAUGAGAAGAAAGAGGAAAUGCCAGACGAUGGCCAACAAAAUGCUAGUGUCCAAAAUCAUGAAAAUCAUUCGUCAGAAAAUCUUGCCAUCACGCCUUUCAAAGCAUGCAGGUUCAGUGCUGCACGCCUUUUCAUUACACAGUAGUUUGAUUAAUUUCUCAAUUAAGGGUUUUACCUUAGAUAUCCCUGUAAAAUCAUCUAGUUACAUAUAUACCCCUUGUAGAAAUCUUAUUUUUUGUAUAGAUACUUCAAAAAUGCAGUUUCAUUAUGAAAUAAUCUUUUAUCUGAUUCAUCAACAAUACUUUGUUUCUAUUAGAGGAGUUUUCUAAAAAACAGAUUUAUUCUGAGGGUUUAUUUAUAAGGAAAUGUAAUUUUAGGGCAGAAUUACAUUUCCUGAUUUUUCAGGGCAAUAUAUGUAAUUGGAUAAUUUCGUAGGGGGUGCAUAUGCAGAUAUCUCUUUCCAUUAAUAAAUUGCUGAAUCAACUUAAUUUUUCAGACAAUUGGUCAAACUGUCGUACUUCUCAAGCUCAAAGCCGCCAAGACCUUCAGCUCCUACUGGAUAUUUCUCUCGGCUGUAUAACACUCAGGCUCUUCUCAAGUCCGAAGCCAUGCUUCUUUGUAACAAGUUUGAGAACCACGUCAAUAACUUUUGUGAUGACGAUACAGCGAACAUUCUAAAAGAGAAUGGCUCCCCUAGCAAUGUUAUGAAAACCUCUUCACCUAAUGGAAAGAGAAUUUCUCCUUCUAAUGGUGUCGGUUUCUCUCCAAGCCGAAAGGGUGGGCGGAAAUUGAUACUAAGAUCCAUCCCUUCAUUUCCAUCUCUUAGUAAUGUGGAUAGUGAUGAUGCAGUGAAUGAUACCACCAAUUCUUUUAACCCAUCCACACUCACCUGAGGUAUGUCGUGAAUAUUUUCCCAUACACAAUUUCUAUUUAUAGAGGUAAUAUCUUAAUUUUUAUUCUGAAGCAGGUUGUUUAGAAAGCUAGAAGGGUGGAAAGUGUGAGAUCAACCAUUGAUGCACAGUGGCGCACCUUGUGGUCUGAUAAUGCAUCACAAAUGAAGGUUUCUUGGAUGUUCAGAAGCCAAGUUAUUCGUGCAAGGACUGGUAAAGUGUAUUAAGAACUUCUAAUGGUGUUGUAAGAAAUUAAUUCCUAAGUUGUAUCUAUAUGUUGUCUUGUUGCUAGAAUAUUCGUGUGUUCACUUCAUUUUUUCCCCCCCCCAUGUGUAAUGUUUCCUACUCUAGGAAGUUUGUGCAAAGGCUCUUAGUUUCAAUCGAUCAUCAUUUUUCCUUGUUCCCGCUUAUGUUGUCUGAGUUUUUUUUUCUUUUCUUUUUUUAAUAUAAAUAAAACUUCCAUCGUUUCCAUCCAUUACAUAUGUUUUAAGUGUGCAUAACAAAUUACGUAGAAUUUGUGUCGCUUGUGCGAGAGGGCUGUUCUUUCUAUCUCCUCUUUCCUAAUGUUUCAUAAAUUUGGCUUAUGUAAUGAUAUUUGGCGAGUCGCAUUCAUUUUGUUAGGAACAUCUACACAAAUUCUAUUUCUUUGUGCUGUUAUAUUCAUAUUUUGCUGAAAGGAGUCUCCAACAAACAGAAUUCCAAGGACUCAGUUCAAGCUUCUGCAAUUUGUACUUCACGUGGAAUUUCCUUUGGACAAAUUUUUCAGUUUGGUGAUGGUGGUUCCUUUGUUCUAGUCUUUGUGCACCUGAAAUGUAUUUCUUAUUUUUGUGACUAUGGAACUCGCGAAUGAUUUAAGCCUCAUGUGGCCCGACUUUAUGGUGCGCUUUAGCCACUUUGUUGGGCUGCUUUGGCAAUGCCGCGACGCCUGCCGUCACAAAUGCCUGCUAUAUUCAAUUGUUCUAGAGUUGUAACUUCUGUUGAUUGCUGCGCGGUGUGCUCUAAAUCGAAAUGCACUGCUGAGCCGAACAAUCAAAAGGCCGAACAAAGCUUUGAUUGGAGCUUGUUGAAACUUGAAACUGUUCCGUAAAGAAACUGUGCUGUAAAUUUCUGUCGUCUGUCAUCGAAGACUUAUCUUAGUAAAUUCUAACAGUGAAAAUUAACCAAUAUUUUGAGCAUCAAAUACAUGUGUGGAGACAUGUAUUUCAUUGUGCAUCUUGCAACUUGAUCUUGUCCUGUAAUUCUACAUAUACUAAUCCUCUCCUUCCUAUGUUGAUUUGUUGAUCUGAAUCUGAUCUCAGUGGAAUCUUCAAAGAAGCUUGGUAAGAGGAAUCCGAGGCGGCUUUUUCGCCACAUGGUAAGAAGGUAUUCUUUUACUAGACCUUUUGCUUUGAAUUAAUAUAUGAUAUGAAUUAAAUAACAUUUUCUACUUGCCACAUGAUCAUCUAAGUUUAAUUUAAUAUGAUAAAAUCAUCUGACUAUAUACAAAAUUUUUCUGAUGAAAUGAUGUUACUGUUAAGUCAACUAGGCUGUUGUUUGCAUCAAAUUGAAUGUAGCAACAUGAGAUAGUGUUUGAUUUUUUUUUUCUUCAAACUAUAGUAUGAGUUAAACUGAAAUGGGAAAAAAGUCAGUGAUUUUUUUUUUUUCUCUUUUGGGUGCUUCGAUUUAAGGUUGGUUGGUCAAAUUGUAAAUAGAAAAAAAUUGUGAUUGUGUGAUUUUUAUGUGUCCUACCAAUGCAACCAAUCCUACUAGCAAGUAAUUGUGUUAGUUAGCCGGGUCGGACCGGGUCGGGCUUUUUCGAAGUGGUAAUGUGGGCAAUGGAUGGGCUGAAAACUAGGAAAAUAUUGAAAACUAGUCUUAGUUCGAUGCACGGAUUGAUCUCCAUGGUUAAUAUUUUGGGUGCAGUUACGUAAUAGCUUAGUGAGCAGGAUUUUUCUGUACACAGACUCAUCCUGCUAUUUCUCUGACCCAUAACGGAUGGUUUCGAUUCAUCAUGAGCUGCGGAACUACCUGUGCAAAAGAAAAUAUAAGAAAUGCAUAACCUAACAUCUUAAGCAGAAGUACUUCUUUAGCUACAAAAAUUAUAGGAAUUUGAACUUAAGGAAUCAAAAAAACAUUGGCAAGGGCCAAAGUCAUAAGUUUCCACUUUGAAAGGCUAGGAUUUACUCAUCUAGCAUAUCAACUUUUGAUUCUAAAAUACUAAAGGCCUAAUAAGGGAAUUUUAUAAACCCUUGGAUCUAAGAGAUGUAAGAUGUACACUACUAUAUAAGAUGCACAGGUAGUUUAUCCAAAUUGGAUAAAAAUUUCUUCAUUAUUUGAGAGAAGAAAACAAGUUUCCAACUGUGAACCAAUACACUCACUGAGGUAAAUAAACAAGCAAGAAUUUGGGUAAAAUAGGGAAGUUUGUAUACCCACAGGAACAAAAUUUGCAUUGAGGGUAAAUUUCAAAUUGUUUCCCUGUGGUUUAGCUCAUUUUCACUCUGUCACUCCUCGGUUUUAAAAGUUUCACUUUGCCAUCCUGUGGUUUAAAACAUCGCGCACUUUGCCUUCCUGCGGUUUUUCGUAUUUUUUACUUUGCCAAUCUCUGAUUUUUUUUUUUUUAAUUGUCGGCUUCGCUACCCACUUUUAUGGAGAAUUAUUUGGUGAAAUAAAAAUUAAACCACAGGAAUGGUAAAGAGACAAUUUUUUAAACCGCGAUAUGAGGACGGAGUAAAAAUAAGCUAAACACAAAAGGGUAAUUUGAAAUUUAUUCUGAAAAAACUAAAUACUUCCAUAUUUAAUGAAAGAAAGGCAUUAAUUACUAAAAGCGUAUUAGCUUAAUUUUUCUCCUUGUAUCAAUCAAUCAUUUGUAUAGGUUGACAUGUCUAAGAUCUUAUUACUAUUAGGAUUUUGUAUUUUGUGGUUCACCACAAAUAAGUGGCCAAAUCAAAGCGUGUGGUGGGUUUUUAUUUGCCUACUUUAUGGGGUCCCAUUAAUGUUUUUAUGUUUUCGAGUGUGUGUGUGUGUGGUCCCAUGACACUCUUUUUUUUUUUUAAAAUUUUUUUUAUUUGGCUAAAUUAUAAAAAUUUUUCAAACACUUUAGCACUUAUUAUGUCAAUUAUUAUUACUCUUCUGUAUAAAAAAUUACAUUAAAUAUUUCCAGCUAUUUAUGGUAAUUUUUGAAUUCAGCAAUAAAAUUCUAUAAAAAUAAAUUUGCAGACAAAAUUAUCUAUAAGUAAUACAAUAGAAUUAUAUAAAUUAAAUAAAUUUUUCAAUAAAAUAUUAAUUUCGCCAGUAUCAGCCAAACAAGAGAUCUCUUUUAACUGAAUUUUUUUAUCUAUUUUUUGAGUUGUAAAUUGGAUAUAUAUUAAGACGUGACAUAAUAUAAUAUGUCAAUGUCAAUUAGUUUUAGUAUGAUUUUACGGUCUAAUUUGUGAAUCUUUUUAACUUUUUUUAAUUCUAUUUGAGAUGGUGAUACAAUAUACGAUUAUAAUUAAUACAAUUUUUAGAUUGGAAAGUGCAACAUUUUAUUUAUUUUCUUUUUUUUUCCCUUUAUUUUUUUGCCACUAAAAAAAAUAUGCAUAUCCCGUAUGAAAAGGGGCAGCUUUAAUAGUUAAUACAACAGCAAAUCCCCAUCAAAAGCCACAAUCCAGCUGUCACCUCCCAAGAAACCCUUCUACUUAUUCCACACAGAAAAAAAAUUCCACCAUUUAAUUAAAUAUCUCUCUACAUUGCAUUAAACACAAAUUUUUUUUUUCAAAAAAUAUUUUAAUAUAUAUUAUUAUAUUGUUCAUAUUUAAUUUUUUUUUUGUCAAUCCUAAUUAUUACAAUAAAACUAUUUUCACCAAUUUGGGGCCAUUUGGUUUCUNUUCUUUCUUCAAAACAAUUCAGAAAAUGAAAACAUUAGUUUUCUAUAAAAUUUGAAAAAGAAACUUUCCCACAAAAUCUAAUUUCUUUGGAACCGAACGGCGAAGAAAUGAAAAAGGGAUUUUCCGUAGAAAAUUUUUUUUACUUACAAAAUUUAUUUUCAUAUUCCGAGAAACCAAAUAAUCCUUAUAUACUUAAAAAUCAUGAACUAUCACCACCGUUUAGUGAAGUUGGUUGAUUUUUAAAUCACAGACUAAGAGGUCAGGAGUUUGAUUUACUGCACAAGCUUUUAUAUCUUGGGGAGAAAAAAGAAAUUGUAUCUUGCUACAAAUUUUUCCCUCGACAAAUCUGAGUCGGGUUGGGUCCGACCCAUUUUCACCCUGAAUUACAUGUAUCGAAUACUAACCCAUGAUAAGGAUGUAAAUGGAUCCGGAUUGGUGGAGCUCCCGCCUUGAUCUGCUUCGAUCUCUCCGGAAUGAGACCGUAAGUGAAAACCAAAAAUAUAAAACAAUAUAAUUCAUCAUGAAUGUGUCCUUAUCCGCCAAAAAAAAAAAAAGAAGAAAGAAGCUAGAUGUGGGACAAAAAACAGAGAAGGAGGUGGAAGAAUCAUUACUGCGUUCCGAUCCGCCCUGUUUACAUUCCUAGCCAUGCAAUUCAUGCAAUGAUGCAAUUAACCCAAUCCUACAAAAGAGGGUGUCAAAAGGAAAGAUUAGGUGGUCAAAGGCUGAGAAAAAGUCAUGUGGAAGGAAAAGGUAUUCUCCAUGCAUUAUCCAUCAUCCUCAUUGCCUACAUCAUAAUGCAAAAACUUUCCAUUGUUGGGUCCAAAAAGUUACAAACAUAUAUAAUAAUUAUAAUUAUUAAGACAAAAACAUAUAAAACUUACUCCUUACCUAUAAAUCAUUUUAAGUUAAUUAUUCAAUCUUUUAAAAUUUUAAUUUUGCCUCCUAUUUUUUCUUAAUUUGUUUAGUUCGAGUCAGUAAACGAUAUUUCGACUUUAAAAUUUUAGCUAAUUAUUUAUUUUUAAAUGAUGUACACUAAUUAAAUCUGUAAAAAUAAAUUAUAUACUCAAAUUUGAUAGUCAAAGUGUCAUUGAUUGACUCAAAUUAAAUAAAUUGAAUGAUUGAAUGGUAAAAUCAAAAUUUUGAAAAGUUUGAUAGCCAGAUCUAAAUGGUUCAUAGUUCAGAUAGCUUCUGCACUUUUCUACCGAUAAUUAAUAACUUACCAUUUGUGGUUAAAAUUGCAAAAUCCUUAUGCUUACAGGGCACUGAGGGUAAUUUUGCCGAGCUAAUAAUUUUCUAGUUAUCAAACCACAACAUUUUAAGGUCAGAGAUUAGAGUCUGUGUGUAGCCAUGAGUUCGAAUUUAAUAAAUAUAUUACGGUUAAUUUCAUACAGAUCCCUACAAACAUGAUGAACAGCAGAUAUAUUCCUGCAAAGUUCAACUUUCAUAAGUUAUCCCUGCAAAAGUUCUAAUGUAUUUAGAUGCAUCCAUGCCGUUAAUAUCCGUUAAAAAAAUCUAGUUAACCACAGUUAAAAUACUUAACCAUGAUUAAUUAAUAAUGUGAAUUGAUAAUUUUGUCCUUCUUUUUCUUCCUCUUCUUCUUCUUCAUCUUCUUCUCCGUAUCCUUAUUUUCCUUCUCCUUUUCUCCUUAUUCUUCUUCUUCUUCAUCGUCGAUGAUCCGAUCGUCGUCGCCGUCAUGGUGCCUGCGUGGGCCAUCGUCACGGGCGCCUCCGAUGGCAUCGGCCUCGCCUUCGCCUUCCGCCUCUUCCUCGUCCUCGUUGGCCGCAACCCCAACAAGCUCCGCAAGGUCGCCGUCGCUGUCCACUCCCACAGCUUGAAAAGGAAGAGGAAGAGGAAGAGGAAAAGGGCAAGGGUAAAAGUGUCAUUUCACAACUCUACUGUUAAAAAAUUAACAGUUCUCUAACAGAUACUAACCAGAGGGACAUAUCUAAAUACAUUACAACUUUUACAGAAAUAACUUAUAAAAGUUGAACUUUGCAGGGAUAUAUCUGCUAUUCAUCAUGUUUGCGGGAACCUGUAUGAAAUUAACCCAAUAUAUUAUUGUCAAAAAAUAGAAGAAAAUUAUUUAUCAUGUGAAUAGUUUAGUUUGCAAAUUACCAUUUGUACCAUAUUGCUAUAUGCCCAUUGCCCAAGAUUACUAUUAUUAUUAUUAUUCAUAUCACUAUUGUUAUUAUUAUACAUUAUUUUGUAAAUUACUUUAUAUAUAAUUUAACUGAAAUUAUAUAAAUUGACCAUUAUUCAAUGAGUCCUUGUCCUUGUGUGGUGACAAUAGUUCUAUCUGAGUAAUGCCUUACUGCCUUAGCUCCUAUACUUUCCAAUAUUAUUAAUGCAUCAAAUUUGUAGACUGAUAAAAAUUAACUAUAUAUAGGCUAAAUAAUAUUGUAGAAUAGAUAUUUUGGUUUGUAAGUUAGUAUUGUACAUAUGGUUGGAACCAGCUAUAUUCUUAAAACAAAAAAAAUCAGAUGUACUGUUUAAUUGUACUAAUAUUUAACUUAUCACAUGCUAACUAAUUAAUAAUAUUUUUUUUCUUUAAAAGAUAUAGGAUGUAUUGUAUAUAUUUGAUGAACUAAACUAACUACUGAUCGAUGCUACACUUAUAAAACAAAUUCAUGAAUAGCAUGUUUAAGCUAUAUUGCUAGUGUAAUAUAAAAAAAAAAAAUAAAAUUGAGCCUUAAAAAUAGAUACUCUAUUUACUUUGGUUUAUUGCAACACUGCAAAAAGAAAUUCUCUUAUAAGGAUGCUUUAGAGAAUGUGGUUAUAUGAAUUCUUUCUUAUAUCAAAUCAAUUUAGUGAAGAAUAAAUUGCACUAUUAUUUUUAUUUUUAUGACACUAUAAAGCGUCAGGAUUUUUUAAAAAAAAAACUAGAUAUUUUAAGUAGUCAGAAUAUAUUUCACUGAUGCAUGCAUGGCUCGAGCAUCAGUAUAUAUGUGAUGAUUCUUUAUUUACCGGCGUUGCAAAUACAAUGGUAGACAAUUUUGGAAUGCUUUUUAAGUAUUAGUAAUUACCCGAAAAAUAGAGCAUCAGGGCUGGGUUCACAGAGUUUUUAGGCUAAAAAUUAAGAAGAAAUAAAAAGCUUAAAUGAUGGUAUUCAAUUCAGAAAAAGACUUUUUUUUUUUUUAGAGAUAGAUAGCACGCUACCCGCUUCGUUUAUUUCAUUUAAAAAUAAACUUAGCUAAAAAUGUGAAUCAACUAGAAUUCGAACUUGGAUCUCGGGUAUCAACCACCAAGUCCUUUGCCACCUACUCUAGGGACGAUCAGUCAGAAAAAGACUUUUAUUGUACGCAAUUUCCUGCUAGUUAUAGAUUCAUCUUUCAACUUCAGUUGCCCUACAGUAAUUGAACGGUUGCCACUUCGUCGGAAUUGCUCCGGUCAUAUUUCGUCGGUUACAAAACUGCUUUCGUAUCUCCAGCUGUUCCGACCCAAAAUUUAUUUGUCUUCAGACUCAUUUUUUUUUCCGACUCUCGAAGCACGCACUACGUGUCACCUUUCUAUUUGACUACGUGAGCCGAACCGACCAAUAGUUUGCACUGCAAUUUCCUGCACCAACAGUACUAUGAUAGUACUUCAUCACAUAAUUAAUACCAUAUUGUACAGUAAGAUCAAAUAGUUUCUUAGCAUUAAGGAGAUGAGAUUUGCUUUUAAGCUUAGAAUAAUACUAUUUUGUUUACUUGAGAACUUGGAACACUCCUGCAAUUGUCUCAAAAGAAGAGAGAAAGAAGGUCAAGGAAGCAGCAGAAGAGGAAAGCAAAAAGAAAGGGGCAAAAUAGAAAUGGUGGAAACAAAGCAAAAUAGAGAGUAUAUAUAUAUAUAUAUAUAUAUAUAGAGAGAGAGAGAGAGAGAGAGAGAGAGAGAGAGAGUUAAACUCUUUCGGUAGUAAACGGGUUUCGUUACUAUCUAUUUAUUUUUUAUGAUGGAGCUUUUAAAUCGACGAUUGGCAUCGUUAAAUAUGAUCUAUACCACUUAAAUAUCUAGAAAUCAAAUUUUAAAUUUUUUCGACAUCAUUGACCUAAUAAUCAAAGAGUUUCAAAAAUUAUAAUUUUAAUCGUAGAUAUGAGCCAUUUUCUUGUUUAAUGGUGUAAAGCUAUUCAAAUGAAUUGAAUUUUGGUUAGAAAAUUUUUUAAAUUAUUUAGAACAUGACCUAUACUAUUGAUCUUGAUUACAAAAUUUCUAUCAUCACUUUUUAUAGAAUAUUCAUUUUCAGCCGUUUAUUUUUAUGUCCAUUUGAUGGACGAGAAGAAUAUAAAAAAAGUAUGAAAUUUGAUUUUUCUCAAUACUUCAAGUGGUAUAAAUCAUAUUCAACGGUGCCGAUUGUUGAUUUGGAGGCUCCAUUAUUGAAAGUAAAUGGGUGACAACUGAACCCGUUUGUUACCAUUAGUAUUUCAGCUCAACUCUCUAUCUCCCUUUCUCUUUCUCUCUACCUCUAUAUAUAGAGAGAGAGAAAGAGAGAGUCCGGCUACUAUACUCUUAUGAGUAUAAAUCUUUUUGUACUUAUAAGUUUAGACCGUUAGACUUUCUAUCUUGAUCAUUUUCAUCUGUUAGAUUAUAUUGUUCAACCAAUCACUUACUCAACUAAAGAACCAUUGUCAUUCUAAUCGAGAACCACUAUCAUCUUACUUGUACAGUCCAUCAUCUAACGGCCGAAAAUUUAUAAGUGUAAGGAACCUAUACACAUAAAGAAUAUGGUAACUCUAGAUUAUAUGUAUCUAUUAUAUAGUGGAUAUUUUAUUAUUAUAUUAUUAUUAUUAUUAUUAUUAUUAUUAUUUAAGUACAAAUGUACGGUGAUCUCCUCAACUGCACCGUAUUCUAAAAUAGCCCUCUCAACUUUAUUUUUUUUUAUUUAAUUUUUUAUGCCUAGUCAAAAAAAUAAAUUUUAUUAAAUUUAAUAUUUUUGUCAAUUAUUAACUUUAAUUUAUUUACCAAAAUAACUAAAUUUUCUAAAUUUGGUGAAAUCACCAAAUUCUCAAAAUUUUUUAAUUCAAAAAAAUUAGAAGCUGCAUCUAUUCGUACUUACUAAAAAGUAAUUAAAAUUAUUAAUAAAUUUGAUAAAACUUUCUAACUUUUUUAAACUAAAAUUAAUCAUUCAGCAUCAAAAAAUUAGAAGCUGGCCUCAAUUAAAUUUUAAAAAAAAGGAAAAAUGUUGAGGGGGCAAUUUGAAAAUAGCCAAUAGUUGAGAGGGGUCUCCGUACAUUUUCACAUCUAUUUUAUUAUUUAUUUAUUUUGUUCCCGUGAUAUGAGAGGUUGUCCUUGCUCUGUUUCCCGUGCCAAAGCUGACAAAAAAAAUAUAUUAUUUUCUUUUUCAAAAAAAAACUCAAUUUAAUUUUUUUUGGUGUAUUAUUAUUAUAAUAAUAUUGGUAUCAUUAUUAUUAUUAUUAUAAAACAUUAAAUCAAGUACUUGUAAGUGAAACACUACAAGAGAAGUAUAAAAGUUUCCAAAGCGACGUGUCUCCCAUUUUUUAUUUUUAGUUGUUUAAUCCUUUUUGCUUAGAAUCUAUUUUAUUAUUAUUAUUAUUAGUAGUAGUAUUAAUUAACCACAUGUAUAAAAAUAAUAAUAAUAACAACAACUUAUCCCAGUGCUUGUAUGAAUCCCCUCUCGCGCUCAAAUUUAAUGCGCGUGAUAUUUUAAUUAUCAAAUUUUUAUUUUAUUAUAAAUUUUAACUCGGGUGUUUUAGCUUACUCUAAUUAAUUAAAUUAUGUUGAUGUGUUAAUAAUGUGGCAGUGAUACGAUAGUAUUUUAGUUGAUGAAUCAUGUUAAAUCAGAUUAGAUGAAACAAUCGUUGUUUUUUAAAACUUAAACUAAUAUAGAACAAUAAUUUUUUGUAUUUUCAUAUUUAACAUCCUAUUAUAUUUGGACUAGAGACUUUUUGAUAGAUUUAUGACUUAAAUUUAAAUUAAAAUUAAAAUAGGAGAAAAUUAAAUUUGUUAGGAAUCUGACGUGAUUCGAACUUAGAAUCUAUUAUUCUCAUAGCAUGUAAAAAUAUCUAAGUAAAUUUCACUCAAAUUUUAUUGGGAAAACUUCAAAAACUCCCCUAAUGGUUUCGUAGUUUCUCUCUUUGUCCCCAUAUGGUUUAAAAUAUAUUAAUUUGCCCCCCUGUGGUUUCUUUUUUCUCUUUUUCUUAUCAAUUUCAUUAUUUUUUUCUUAAAUCAGUGAUAAAGUUAAACUUAAAGGGUACUAAAGUGAAUAUUUGAUAAAUCCAGAUGGGUAUCUGAAGUUUUUUGUAUAUAAUUUAAUAAAAUAUUAACGAAAAGUUACCAAAAAAAUAAAAACGAAACCACAGGAGGGCAAUUUGAUAUACUUUAAACCACAGAGGGGCAAAGUGAGAAACUACGAAACUACGGGAGGUUUUUUGAAGUUUUUCCAAUUUUAUUUAUCAAACUUUAGUUUAUUAUGAAUUUUGACUAAGAAAAUAAAUAACUUAUCUUAGUGCUUGUAUGAUUAAAUUUUAUUAGAUAUAUCACAUUUUCGAACUCAUGUGAAUUUGGAUUGAACUUUUGAACUCCCUCACAGAGAGCUCGAAAUUUUAAAAUAUCGUUAAUUAAAGUUUUUUACUAUAAUAAAAAAUUUUAAACUUUUUUUAUAAGCAUUUAGUUACUAGAUAGUACUAUAUUUAUGGAGAGUGACAACGAAAACCCUUUUCCACUUUAUUAGGAUCCGUUCAAAAUUAAGCACGGAAAAAUUAUUUCAUUCAUUUUUGUAAAUACUAUGUCGUUUAUAAUAAUUCAAUUAUAAAUGCAGAGUUACUAUAUUAUCGGAAGUACAGAAAAUUUGAUAUUUUCGACUUUUUGAUCUUUGGAUUAAGAAUUAUACGGUUAAGAUGAUAGCAGUCUCCUCAUGGUUGAAUAGUAUCUCUAGGAUUGAGUAGUCCCCAUAAAAUAAUAGUAUUAAUCUAAAUAUUAGAAAUGAUCAAAAGAGUUAAUUUAAUGACCAAAAAUUUGAAAGUACUAAAUUCUCUAUACUUCCAAUAGUAUAGUAGCUUUACUCCAAUUACACUAUAAUUUUUUAUAAAAUAAAAAAAAUUAUAUUUUGGUACUUUUUGCAUAAAUUUUUUAUUUUUUAUUUUUCAAUAGUGUUGGAAUAUUAAAUUUUUACCAUCUAAUCGAUCAAAUCAAUGACGGAAGCAUAAUAUCGCAAAUAAAUUAAUAAUUUUUAAGUAUAACAUAAUAGAGAUAAAUAACCGUAUUCUAUAAGGUUUUCCAAGAAAAUUCAAAUGGUACAACAAAUAUAAAAGAAAUUAGAAGUGAUUUUAAUGUUACGUCCCGCUUUUCAAAGGUUCAUCCAUCCCAGGAUUACAUUAACUCUAACAUACUUAAUUCUCUUAGGUACCGUUUGAUUCGGGUAUAAACAAGAACUAGCUAUUACAGAAAUAGAUACAAGUAUGAGAAUAAGAAAAAUAGUGUUUGAAUAAAAAUUGAGUUGUUUCCGGAAAUAAGAAAAAUAUUAGAUAGUUUUAUAUAGAAAAUGGAGGUGUUGGUGAAACUAACCGAGAACUACUAUAUUCGGAUAAAAAAUUAGCGUUUGGGUAUAAAAGGGGAUAUGGGCCUAUCUCUAUCCCUAUCCCUAUCCCCUAGCGUUUGGGUAUCGUUUGGUUCGGAGAUAAGCAAAAAAUGACAAUUUCAGAAAUAGCUAUAAAUUGAGGUAUAACCGGGGAUUAGAUCAGUUUUAUAUUUGGAUAAAAAUUGGGUUAUUCCUGAGAAUUAAAAAAAUAGCGUUUGGUUAGAUAAGAUGAGAUAAGAAAGAUAAUGGAUUUUAUAAAUAAAAAAAUAAUGAUAUUAUUCUUUUAUUAUAUUUAAAUUUGAAUUUUUAAAUUUUUAAAUUUAAAAUUUUAACUUUGAAAUUUCAAACUUUGAAAUUUAAAAUAUCAAAAUUUAAAUUUUAAAUUUAAAUUUUAAAUUUAAAACUUUAAAUUUAAUAUCAAACUUAAAUUUGAAAAAUAGCAAAUAUCAAAUUUUAAAUUUUAAAAAUUAAAAAUAAUAAUUUANAAAUUAAUAAUUUUUUUAAAAAAAUUAUUAUAAUAUUUAAAUAUAAUUUAUUAUAAUAUUUAAAUAUAAAUAAUAUGUAUUAAUAUAGUACAAUUAAUAAUUUUAUAAUAAAAAUAAUGUAUUAUAAUAUAUAAUAUAUAAUAUUUAUAUAAUUUAGUUUUAAUUCAAUUUAUAAUUUUAAUUACGUUUGAAAUUAAGUAUUGGAAUAGUACUAUUCCACCAAAAUGGUGGAAUAGCAAAUCCCACCGUUUAUCCCCCGAACCAAACGGGGCCUUAGAGCGCAGUUUGGUUCGGGGUUAAGGGGUGGAAUAAUCCCUUAAUCCCGAAGUUAUUCUCAAACACCCAAUUUGGGGGGUGGGGUUAGCUAAUCCCACCCCACUACUCCAACCAAACAAAACAUUAUUUUACCGACUAUCCUUCUUAUCCCACAUAUUCUAACCAAAUACUAUUUUACCUAUACCUGGACUAAAUCCAAUUCUCAACCAAACAUAAAAUUACUCUAACCUGACCUUAAUCCCGAACUUAAUUUUAUCCAUGGAAUUACAAGCUUUUACUUAAUUCCGAACCAAAUGGUGGGUAAAAUAUUCAUGACACAGACCAAUGGGAGAAGAGGUUUUGAGUUAGGCUUCAACAUCUGCGUUUCGCCCACCUUACGCCUCUCCUUUUCCCCCAAAAUCGAAGCAAAAACACACCCAAACACACACACACACACACUACUGGAUUUGACCUCUCUCUCUCUCUCUCUCUCUCUUAAUCUCUCUCUCUUAAUCUCUCUUUCUCUCUCUACCCUCUCUCUCUCCUCUCUCUUAAUCUCUCUCUCUCUCUCUUCCCGACACUGUAUCUCCUCGCACUACCUCACUCUCUCUUUCUCUCUCUAGACCUUUUCCCCCUUUUUCUCUCUUCUCCAUUUUUAUACUGCAACAAAGAAUCCCACAAUCAUCUCCUCCUUUUCUCUCUCUCUCUCUCUCUCUCUCUCUCUUCUUUAUGUCUCUAUAUGUGAUGAAGUGGUGGGCAUGGGAAAAACAGAGGAUGAAGACGAAGACCCACCUCCGCCACCAUUACUAUUCUUCUUCUUCUUCGUGAGAUCUCUGGUUUGAUCUCAUUUUAGGGAGACCGUGUAGAUCGAGGUAGUAGAGCUUGUUUACAAUGUGUGCUCAUUUCUUGUGAUUUGUCGCUUAAAUCCUUUUUCUUUUUAGGGUUCGUUGCUUAAAAGAACGUUUUUGGCCUUUCUUUCUUUGUUUAAUGAUGUAAAUGCGACGUCUUUGUCGGUUUCUUCUACGUAAUCGCUUCAGAUUUCGCUUGAAAAUGCUUUCUUUUUUUUGAAGUGUAAUGUUUUUGGGGUUUUUCGACCCAAAUCGCACUGCAUAUUUGUUUGAAUCCUUAUACUUUUUUCUGUUAAUUAUUAACUUCGUAAUUUUUGGAUUUUUUUUUUGGGGGGUUAACAAAUCGCGCUACAAUUUGUUUCAAAUCUCACUCCCGUUUGAAUCUUUUGUUUUUUGGUUAAUUGUUAACUUCUAUUUUUUAAUCUUCUACUUAAUUUUUGCCGCAAAAAAACCUAAACAUUUUAGGAUCGUAAUGUGUAUGAAUGUUUGUAUAUAUUUUGGUUUUUUCCCCCCCUAAAUGCUUGAUGUUGCACAUUUUCACCAAUGUACUUCCACAACUGUCUCUUAUUAACAGUAAACACCAAUUUAUUGUCUCAACUUCUUUUUUUAUUUUGAAAAAAAUGGCAACUGUUUAUAUAAUGGUCCUAGAAAUUUAAAUCUGUACAUUAUUGCUGUUAAUUUCUGAAGGAAAAUUUCCAAGCUCUCUAGCACAAGAUUUGUUACAUUUUUUCAAAAUGCAAUCUUAUUUUUUAAGAAAUAUCCUUUUCUGCAGCAAUCUUAGGAAAUUUUUGAAUCAGGAAAUUGAUCCAAAGAUGGAUCAGUAUGAGGUUUUGGAGCAGAUUGGGAAGGGGGCGUUUGGUUCAGCUCUUCUAGUGAGGCACAAGGUUGAGAAGAAGAGGUGGGGGAGUUCAAAAACCAUUUUUUUUUCCUGGGUCUUGUUAUUAUUUUCUCGAAGUUUCACAAAUUUUGUACAACAUUAUGAAGUAUUUUGAGGGUUACACAUUACUACUUUGAUGCAGAUAUGUCCUGAAGAAGAUCCGUCUCGCUCGCCAGACCGAUCGGUCCCGUCGGUCCGCACAUCUUGAAGUGAGUUUUCUGGAUAUUAUCAAGUUUUAUCUUCGGCUGUUACAUUUGAUGAUUAUUAUAUUUCCAGAUAAUUCUAUGUUUCUCUUUGUUAAAUAUAAAAUUUAAAAGCUUUUAGAGAAUAACUGUUGUUUCGUAUUAUUUAAUAUGACAUCGAAGCAAGAAAUCUUGAGUUUGAGUCAUGCCAGGCUCCUAUCCUGAUAUUAUUAAUUUCCUCUCAUUUAAUUCAAGUCCACGCUAUGGGCCUAGCAAAAUGUUUCGAGCCUAGGAGUGAGGGGGAGUGUUAAAUAUAAAAAUAUUUAAACACUGUUCUCGACUAGCUUAAGCUUUUAGAGAAUAAUAAUUGUUUCGUAUUUAACACUCUUUUGAAUGAGUUUCUGUGUUGUGCCAUCCAUAUGUCAUUUUUAGUCCUCAAUAGUUUUAAGCACUCUUUCCGCCAAGUCCUAAUUCAAAUAUUUGUGUGGAAACAUUGAUGUAUAAAUUUGGUCAAAAAGUGAUGCAAAUGGGCCAUGUCAUUUGUGCACUAUGACAUCCUAGUCAUAUUGCUUUUGAAGCUCAUUGUUUCUUUCAGAAACUGAUUCUAAAAGAUUUGUUAAUAUAUAGUUCACUCUCCCAUCAUCAUUGUGCUGUUGCUUACAGCUGUAGGCACAGGAAUGAACCAAAAGGCUAAUUUGACAUCAAUGGAAUGUCUAAUUUGCUUUUGCAGAUGGAGCUUAUAUCUAAAGUAAGGAACCCUUUCAUCGUGGAGUACAAAGAUUCUUGGGUAGAGAAGGUAAAAUUUGUUCGUUCUUUUUUAUUCUUCGUUAAUCUUAAAACAUGCGAAAUAAACUCUCCUGUUUUUAUUUUUCGUUUUUUUUUUUCAAGAGUUCAUUAGUCUCUGUACUCCAAAUUAUGACAUUUACCGUUAUUUUAAUAGGGCAUAAAAAAACUAGCUUAGUAUGUUAGGUAUAUCAUCCUGUAACUUUGUUAUUGCUUCUACUCUCAGGGUUGCUAUGUGUGCAUUGUGAUAGGGUAUUGUGAGGGUGGAGACAUGUAUGUAUCUUUAUGAGGUGGAUUCAAUUGUAAGUCCUUUUCUUCCAAUCUGAAAUCCAUGGUUAAAUUUGUGUUUUUUUAAAUUUUGUUUGUACAGGGCAGAAGCCAUUAAAAAGGCCAAUGGAACUCUUUUCCCCGAAGAGGUGGUUAACUUGAGUACUAACAAUCGUGACUUUCUUUGCCGACAAAAGUAGUUUCUUUUGUUGUCUAAUCUAUGUUGCAUUCAUGAGUUCUUUCACUUACGUGCAUGCAGAAGCUUUGUAAGUGGCUCGUACAGCUCCUUAUGGCACUUGAUUACUUGCAUGUGAAUCACAUUCUUCAUCGUGAUGUAAAGGUAGUCAUUAUAUGCUACCGCUCAUUUACGUUGGUCUUUUUUCUCUUUUUUCGAGAAAAAUUUACUGUUGAUUUUCCUUCAAUGUUGUUUCAGUGUUCAAACAUAUUUCUCGCUAAAGAUCAAAGCUUACGGCUCGGUAAGUUAUUUUUUAGAUAUGUUCCAGUGUUUCUAGAUAUUGAGCUGUACAACUUUCUUUAAUUUAAAUACCAUGUGCAGGUGACUUUGGCCUUGCUAAAGUGCUCACCUCUGACGAUUUGGCUUCCUCUGUCAGUUCUCGUCCUAAAUUGCUUCAUUUCUCUGAUAAGUUUAUCUCCUAUUUUUUCUUUAACGAUGGUUGUUUACUCGUAUUGAAGGUUGUGGGAACUCCCAGCUACAUGUGCCCAGAGCUUCUCGCUGAUAUUCCUUAUGGUUGUAAAUCUGAUAUAUGGUCUCUAGGUAAAGUUUUAUUCACGAGUAAUGUACAAAUCUUCAGUAUUUUUACGUUUUGAAAGAACUCUAUGCUUAAUUUCUCUACUAUGUAGGCUGCUGCAUAUAUGAGAUGACUGCCCUCAAACCUGCAUUCAAAGCUUUUGUAAGUCGCAGCAACUCCUUUCUUCGGCCGGAAAUUUAACUAUUCUUUUAUGUGCUACGUGCAACGACCUGACCCGCUAGCAACAAUAACUCGUUGGGCCCAAACCACUGGCCCAAAAUGCUUAAGCCCAGUUAUUAUUACUAACGUGUAGUCCUCAUAUAAACUGAUCGGAAUCAGUAUUCCAUCUGAUGUGGGACUAUUGGGGGCGUUACACUACGCAUCCCUAGUUAAGAUGUUAUCCGCUCUAAUGUCAUGUUUGCUUACUGUACUCUAGUUUCUGACACUUUGUUAUUUGCUAAUUUAAAUUGACGCCUCUGAGUCAUGUUACAUUCUCAAUUCUGAAAACAAAGAUAUGUUUAGGUACUUACUUUUUGAUGUUUACUUGGUCUUGUAAAUUUUAAUAUAUUUAGUGAUUGUUGUGGCUCUGUUAUUCGUACAACUUUAUGGAUAAUUUCAUUUUUGUAAAUUCUCUUCCUGAGCAGGACAUGCAAGCACUGAUAAACAAAAUAAACAAGUCUAUAGUGGCUCCUCUACCAAGUUCAUACUCUGGUGCCUUGUAAGCCCUUUCUCAUUCUAAUUUAAAGUUUUGAUACACGCUUCUUCGGAUUUUGUUUUCAUUGUAUAUUAUUCUUCUAAUGUACGUCCUGUUCUUGAUGCAGUAGGGGACUCAUUAAGAGCAUGCUGCGCAAAAGUCCAGAACACAGGCCGAGCGUAUGUAUUUGUCGAACCACUAUAUUCCUUUGCCCAAAUGCUUAUUGUUUUCAUAUGUACAUGCUUCUGUGAGGAGAUUAAUUGUGAUAUCUUUCACAUAUGCGUUCAUUGUUCUUAUAGGCCGCGGAACUUCUCAAGCAUCCGCAUCUUCAGCCCUAUGUGCUUCAAGUCCAUUUAAAGUCUAGUCCGACUCGCAAUAUGGUUCAUAUUCUCCCUCCUUUGAGCGAUAACAUUAGGAAGAUAAGCUUUCCUGAUGAUGAAGACGAUUCUGGGUGCAAGGACAAGGAGAAGAGGCAUUCAUUUGCGAAUGAGAGGAUUGUGAAACUCAGCAAACCCUCUGCUGAAGAGAACUCUAUUAGUUCUACCCAGAGUAUUAAAGAUUAUUCUAAUUAUCCGAUUCAAAGGGUAAAAGAAUUGUCGGUCGGAAGCAGCCAAGCCGGAGAGGUUGGUGUUGAUAAAGCAGUCAGUGAGAAGCACUUGAACAUUACAAAUACCCCUAGAUAUACUCCGGCGAAGACCUUUGCGACGCCUAGAAGGCGACUGGAGCCAUCAAUAACAUUUCACGCAAGAACAAGCACUAAAGAGGUAUGGCCAUAUAAAAUGCUAAAUUUCAAUGUUAGGGGAUAACACAAAUCCUUUUUAUCAAUUUAUGAAACUUAUCCUUUUAUGAUUAGAAUUUGAGCGAUGAGGCCGCAAAGUUUUUUUCAAAUUCUUAUAAUGUAGGGGCUUUUACAUACAUAUGUCCCUGCAAAAAUCAUCUACUAGGAUUAAUACCCUGUAAAAUGUGGGGAACAGUUUAUACAACAGUACAUAGAAUUUCCAUGCCUAACCUUUUUUGCUCCCUUGUUGCAGCUCCAUCCGACAAGAACUCCCGUGGAACAAACCGCACGAACAGCGCGAAGAGUAUCUCUCCCUUUGACAACCUUCGAAACCCCUCAAGGACGUAAUGCCAGCAUUCUCCGCCGCGUGGAAUCUCCCGACGUCUCAGUGAACACUCCUCGGAUCGAUCGAAUCGCCGAAUUCCCUCUUGCUUCCUCUGAAGACCCACUUUUCUCUGUCCGCAAGCACUCCUCUGCCCAUGGCUCCUCUAAUACUACACCGCGAUGUGUCGAUCGCUCCAUCACCAAGGACAAGUGUACGGUCCAGAUAUUCCGUACCGAAGGGGAUAACGGUAGCGAUUCUUCUGAUCGCAAUCCGACAGCAGCGGAUGCAUCAAGCAGGGGAUCCUCAGACUCGAGGCAGAGGAGGUUCGACACCUCGUCGUACCAGCAGAGGGCGGAGGCUUUGGAAGGAUUGCUCGAGUUCAGCGCACAGUUAUUACAGCAGGAGAGGUUCGAAGAGCUGGGGAUUCUGCUGAAGCCGUUCGGGCCCGGGAAGGUUUCGCCAAGGGAGACUGCUAUAUGGUUGACGAAGAGCAUCAAAGAAACUGGAAUGUGACCCUAACCCUAGGGUUUCAGGCCGUCUUCUUUUCGACGACUAGGUACCUUACAAACUGCUUCAUCAGUUUUGUUUCGCAAGUCGCUGGAUGGACUUUACAUGUAGCUCGGAAUUAGCUUUUCAUUUCCUCUUCUCGAACCUCCUGUUUAGCCUAGGUAUCGAAUCUCGGCACUUACAACUCUGAAAUUGACUAUAUCUAUUAAUAGUAAGUUAUGCAUCCACCAUUAGAGAAAAUCGAGGUUAGUUAUGUUUCACUUAUGCAUUAGGUUUGUCACAACCGCACGUAUAUCAUAGAUGUUAUAGAUGGUAUAUUCAUGGUUUUCGAGAUGUUGCUUUGGUGAACGGCGCACUAACACGAUAAAGAACGAAUGCUCGAUCUGAUCUGUUCAUCAUUUCUGAAAUGGAAAGUAAGAUUAACUACGACACUAGUUUAGGCACAUGUUGAUGAGGAUCGCUGGGCGAAUUAGAAAAUAGGAGAUUAAAGUUUCGCAUCGAACUUUCGUUGUUUAUUUUGUUAGUGCACCCUUCAUAGAUCUGAAUUUGCACAAUUUUUAUUUGGUCUUUGUGAUUGGUGGGCCAUGAACUUCAUGUAUCCCCUGAAUAGGGUUAGCUGUUAACAGCUAGAACAAAAACUCUACUUUGAAAGUUGGAGACUUUUGAAAUAUUUUGAUGGAUAUGUAACUUAUCUUAGAAGAAGCAAAAAUUUCUCACAAGUAUUGUGAUAUUUUUUUUAAUUGUGCUUUCUCGAAUGCUAAAAUCUUUAUAUUAGACUCUUAAAUUCAAAAUUUUCACCACUUUCUUUGUGGAGUGGUGCAUAUUACUUUGCAAAACCAGAUGAUUCUGAGGGUUUUAUAAAUGGUUUAGUACUUGGAAAAAGUCUAUAAAAUUUGACUAAAGAUAAGCAAGCAAAGUAAUCUUUGUCUAACAUAUACUUCAUAGUUGUUAUUGUUAAUAAGUAAUCAACAACUACUACUUACAUCAUUUUUCCAAGGGAGGCCAAAAUGAUAACAUCAGCUCUAAUUACUAAUGAGCUACUUAAUAUAUGUUAUGCAUCUCCAAGCAAUGUAAGGGGGCCAAAAAACUAAAAAAAAAAAAAAAAAAACACAUACCAAAUGGAAACCACAUUCUGAAACAUUUGGUUUCCAAAUCACACUCAGAUUAUCUACCACAAUUUUUUUUCACAUAAAAGAAAACUCUUCAUGAUUUGAACUUCUAAACAAUGCAAAAAAAAUUCCCACUAAUUUCAGUCAAGGUUGAGAGAAACACAUCCACAGUCUAUCUCUUCUCAGGAACCUGCAAAAAAUUGAGAACAGCAAAACAUCCUAAUCAGCUAAUGCUCACAACAGCAAAGAACAAAAAUGCACAGAAACAUGUUCAGGAAUUUCUUCCACACCAACCUCAUGUCCAUAUGGAGACCUGCAGCAUGUGGCGUAAGUCAAAGCCGUGCUCGUCGAAUCGCACUCGCUGUCCUUGAUCGACAUAUUCGAUUUAUCGAGCAUGAUCGGCCACGGGUACUGAAACAAGUUAUCGUUCACCGACGAGCCCAGGUGAGACGAGCAUCUCUGCAUUGUAUUCCCUCUCGGGAUCCCCCGCCCUUCCAUCGACGCCCUCCUCGGCCUGCUCGGUGGUCUCUCGCACGAGCUGGGCCGCUGCUUUGGCGCGCUCUGCGACCGAGCCUUCGCCCUCGAGGACUCCGUGUUCGCCAUGUAAUUCGGGCACGUCAACUGGUUCUCAUUGCAUGAGUUUGCUGCAUCAUCAGAGUUUGCAAAGUGAAAGGGGCUACUCUGUGCAGUGUUGAAGGAAAACUCUUCAAAGUGGCCACUGUAUGUUCUGGGGCUCAGAUCAGUUAAAGCUGAGGGAGUUGGUGAAAUUUGUAGGUGGAUAUCACUCUUAGAAGGCUUUCUCUGAUGCCCAGAUCCUGACAACUUAUUCUCUGUGGAAUGGCUAUUCCUGCUCUUCGACCUGACUCGAUCCAUCUCGACGAUUUUGAUGUUCUCCUCUGCAUUCCUAUCCAUGUCCUGCGUGAACAAAUUAAGCUCACAUAUUUUCUUUCGUAGAUUUAUACGUAUGAUCAAGUUCUUAUGAUCCAAAUAGUACUACAUACAAGUGAUGGGCGGUGUCGCGGAUGAAUCGGGGAUCUUCGGUAGGUGGAUUGGAUUUGAGAGCCGGUUUUUUCGCGUUCGAGCAUUUGGAUGCGUUGGGCUCGGGCUCGGGCUUGAACCGCGGCCAAUGCCUCCAUGCACCGAAGUGCGGCGGCGGCUUGUCUUCGCACCAAGUGCCCUCUCACUAGGGCUUGAAGCUUUACUAGGCCUCUCAAUGCGCACAACGCUUUCCUCGCCUGCAUUGUUACCAUUCUUUCAAAACUUUUGAAAUAUCCAAUUCUUUUAAGAGUAAUGUUUCCAGUACACUCCACUUUGAACUGUACAUCUUAUAUCCUCUUCAUUAAAGGAUCAUCAUUAUCUUACUUGAUACAUCAUUUUUUUUUAAUUUUUACUAUAAUUCAAUUGGAUUUUUUUGAAUUUUAGAUGGGGAGUGGAAAAUCUACAUCCAUUUUCUGAAUGUAUAAGUAAAAUUUUCCUUCUUUUAAUAGGAUGGAAUCUAAUUAGCCUUAGCGCAUUGGUCGAUUUGAGAUCUGAUUUGAUAUAAUUGAAUUUUUUUAAAACAUAAUAAUUAUAUAUGUAUGUACUGAGAAAAAAAAAUUGUAAGCAUUUUAUUAAAGUGAGAACUCCAUUGCAACAAAAUAGAAUGCGGAGGAGAUUAACUCUAAAUCCAAUAACUGAGAAAAUAUGAGAAAAUGUGUGCUGUAAAAUCGAAAAUACAGAUAUAUUGUAUCUGAUCAAUUCGUACAGAAAAUGCUCUGACUUUUAGUUUUAGUGCGAAAUCCAAUGCACACGAAUUCAUUGAAUUGAGAAUUAAAUUCUAUUUAGAUUUGGUACAAACAAAAAAGAGCAUCAAUUUGCCGUACCAAAUAAGACCGGAAAGAAGACUGAAUCCUGACAGCCGCCGCCUCCUCGACGGCGCUGCUGCUUCUUCUUCUGCUGGCGGUGGCAGCGGCGUUGGCAGUCAGACAAAUCACGGCGGCUGCAGCCUGCGCUGCCGCCACAGCGGCAUCCGCUGCCGCUGCCACCGCCGCCAUCGCAUGCCGUCUGUGCUCAUCCUCCAAAUCCGCAAUCCCAAGAGCGGCAACAUCUGCCGCUCCCGCCACCGCUGACACUGACGUCAUCGCGGGGCGGCGGAAGCUCCAUCUGCGCUUCUCUUUGGUGGCUGGCAAUGAAGAUGAUGGAUGUAUGCCGUCAAAGUUCUCCUUCUCCUUGUCCUGCUGCUGCUGCUGCUGCUGCUGCUGCACUUUCUCUCUGUCUCUCUCUUUCUUUCCUGUCAAGAAGAUGCUUCUGAGCCAUUUCCCAGUCCUACCCAUUCUUGCAUCUCUCUCUCUCUCUCUCUCUCUCUCUCUCUCUCUCUAGAGCUUUAAGAAGUGCAUUUGGAUGAUCAACUGGGGCUUCUUAUCAUGGAAAGUGUUCUGGCAUGUUCAUAUGUGGCCUCUUAAUUUAGUUUCCUAUUCUGAGUGUGUUGGGUAAGGUGUAAUAUCUCCCUUGAAAGCCACUUGCCAAGUUAGGAUUGAGAUUUGAUCCCAAGGUUGUUCUCUUUUUAUUUGACCAGCCUUUUUAUUUAUUCAUUUUUUUAAUCUUUUCUUUUAGUGUUCUUGCUUUUACUCAUAUAUAUAUAUAUAUAGAGAGAGAGAGAGAGAGAGAGAGAGAGAGAGAGGGGGGGGUCUCAGCUGCUAAACUAUCAGUAGCACCAAAUGCUUAAUUAGUGCUAUCAAAUUUUUCAUCAUUAGAUUUAUCUCUAUGACCAUUUUAUCAGUUAGAUUAUACUAUUCAAUCAACUAUCUAUUUAACUUUAGAGAACUACUAUCAUUCUACCAGUAUAUUAUCUCAUUCAAGGACCGAAAACUUAAUAAUACCAAUGACUUGAUUUAAUAGUAUAAUAGCCUAAUUUUAUAUAUAUAUAGACCUUCAAAAAAUUAUCUAUUCACAUGUUUGUCUUUGGAAAGUGUGAGUUUACUUAAAUGCCCGCCAAACUUUUAUUUAAGUUUGUGAAUUGUCAUGUUGACGGGAUGGUUGGUUCGGGGAGAAAAAGAUUUUAUUUAAAAUUCAACGCAUUUUGUUGGCGGAAUAGUUCGGCAUAUAUAAAUUAUUCAUGAAUAAUAAAUCUAAUAAAAAAAUUUAUUUUUUUCUAAUUUUUGGAGAAAAAAAUAAUAUACAGUCUAUUUUAUUCAAAUUUUAUAUAAUUCGUGAAUAAUUUAGAAAUUAACUAACUAUUUUCACUUUUCUGCUUCAUUCGGGAUGGAACGUGUUGGGAGUAAAUUUUUAACAGAUCAAGAUAAAUCAAGAAUACCA